AGCCAGACGGAGCGGUCGGCCCGGCCCGUCUCCAGGUGCUUCCCCUCCUCGGCCAUGCCCGCGGGUCGGUGGUGCUCCGGUGAGCGGUUCCCCUCGGAGUCGAAGGCUGCGCGGCUCGCCUGCUCGUGUGCCGGGAAUCGAGGCGCGUCCUGUUUUAACUCGGGGAUCGGGACGGUUUGGCGACGGGAAGAGGCGGUGGGGAUAUUACAGCAGGAAGAACAGGCUUUUUCUAUUUGCCGCCCUGUGCGGUAGAUUGCCAGNNNNNNNNNNNNNNNNNNNNNNNNNNNNNNNNNNNNNNNNNNNNNNNNNNNNNNNNNNNNNNNNNNNNNNNNNNNNNNNNNNNNNNNNNNNNNNNNNNNNNNNNNNNNNNNNNNNNNNNNNNNNNNNNNNNNNNNNNNNNNNNNNNNNNNNNNNNNNNNNNNNNNNNNNNNNNNNNNNNNNNNNNNNNNNNNNNNNNNNNNNNNNNNNNNNNNNNNNNNNNNNNNNNNNNNNNNNNNNNNNNNNNNNNNNNNNNNNNNNNNNNNNNNNNNNNNNNNNNNNNNNNNNNNNNNNNNNNNNNNNNNNNNNNNNNNNNNNNNNNNNNNNNNNNNNNNNNNNNNNNNNNNNNNNNNNNNNNNNNNNNNNNNNNNNNNNNNNNNNNNNNNNNNNNNNNNNNNNNNNNNNNNNNNNNNNNNNNNNNNNNNNNNNNNNNNNNNNNNNNNNNNNNNNNNNNNNNNNNNNNNNNNNNNNNNNNNNNNNNNNNNNNNNNNNNNNNNNNNNNNNNNNNNNNNNNNNNNNNNNNNNNNNNNNNNNNNNNNNNNNNNNNNNNNNNNNNNNNNNNNNNNNNNNNNNNNNNNNNNNNNNNNNNNNNNNNNNNNNNNNNNNNNNNNNNNNNNNNNNNNNNNNNNNNNNNNNNNNNNNNNNNNNNNNNNNNNNNNNNNNNNNNNNNNNNNNNNNNNNNNNNNNNNNNNNNNNNNNNNNNNNNNNNNNNNNNNNNNNNNNNNNNNNNNNNNNNNNNNNNNNNNNNNNNNNNNNNNNNNNNNNNNNNNNNNNNNNNNNNNNNNNNNNNNNNNNNNNNNNNNNNNNNNNNNNNNNNNNNNNNNNNNNNNNNNNNNNNNNNNNNNNNNNNNNNNNNNNNNNNNNNNNNNNNNNNNNNNNNNNNNNNNNNNNNNNNNNNNNNNNNNNNNNNNNNNNNNNNNNNNNNNNNNNNNNNNNNNNNNNNNNNNNNNNNNNNNNNNNNNNNNNNNNNNNNNNNNNNNNNNNNNNNNNNNNNNNNNNNNNNNNNNNNNNNNNNNNNNNNNNNNNNNNNNNNNNNNNNNNNNNNNNNNNNNNNNNNNNNNNNNNNNNNNNNNNNNNNNNNNNNNNNNNGGGGUGGUGCGCACCCCUGGUGGGCCUUAGGCCCACCUGGCUUAGGGUUUGCCCCCCUUCCCUCUCCCCUGCGCAUUGGGCUGAGUGGGGAGGCGCACCAGCCCACCUAGGGGAUGGUUCCCUCCCCCACUUGGCCCAUCUUACCUCCCUGGGUCAUUUCCCCCCUUCGGUGGACCCCCGGGGCCACCUCCGGUGAUCCCGGUGGUCCCGGUACGUUACCGGUGAUGCCCGAAACACUUCCGGUGUCCGAAACCAUCCGUCCUAUAUAUCAAUCUUUACCUCUGAACCAUUCCGGAGCUCCUCGUGAUGUCAGGGAUCUCAUCCGGGACUUCGGACAACUUUCGGUAACCUUGUAUAACAAUUCCCUAUAACCCUAGCAUCAUCGAACCUUAAGUGUGUAGACCCUACGGGUUUGGGAGACAGGCAGACAUGACCGAGACACCUCUCCGGCCAAUAACCAUCAGCACGGUGUGGAUACCCAUGGUGUCUCCCACUUGCUCCAUGAUGAUCUCAUCGGAUGAACCACGAUGUCAAUGAUUCAAUCAAUCCCGUAUACAAUUCCCUUUGUCUGUCGGUAUAGAACUUGCCGAGAUUCGAUCGUCGGUAUACAUAUACCUUGUUCAACCUCAUUACCGGUAAGUCUCUUUACUCGUUCCGUAGCACAUCAUCGUGUGACUAACUCCUUAGUCACAUUGAGCUCAUGAUGAUGUUCUACCGAGUGGGCCCAGAGAUACCUCUCCGUCACACGGAGUGACAAAUCCCGAUCUCGAUUCGUACCAACCUAACAGACACUUUCAGAGAUACCCAUAGUGCACCUUUAUAGUCAUCCAGUUACGUUGUGACGUUUGAUACACCCAAAGCACUCCUACGGUAUCCGGGAGUUGCACAAUCUCACAGUCGAAGGAAAAGACACUUGACAUUAGAAAAGCUUUAGCAUACGAACAAUACGAUCUAGUGCUAUGCUUAGGAUUGGGUCUUGUCCAUCACGUCAUUCUCCCAAUGAUGUGAUCCCGUUAUCAAUGAUAUCUAAUGCCCAUGAUCAGGAAACCAUGAUCAUCUAUUGACUAACAAGCUAGCCAACUAGAGGCUUGCUAGGGACACAUUAUGAUCUAUUUAUUCACACAUGUAUUACUGUUUCCUGUUAAUACAAUUAUAGCAUGAACAAUAGACUAUUAUCUUGAACAAGGAAAUAUGAUAAUAACCAUUUUAUUAUUGCCUCUAGGGCAUAUUUCCAACAGUCUCCCACUUGCAAUAGAGUCAAUAAUCUAGUUACAUUGUGAUGUAUUGAACGCCCAUAGCAUUAUGGUGUUGAUCAUGUUUUGCUCGUGGAAGAGGUUUAGUCAACGGGUCUGCAAUAUUCAGAUCCGUGUGUACUUUACAAAUAUCUAUUACUCCACUCUGAACAUGGUCCUGGAUGGAGUUGUAGCGGCGUUUGAUGUGCUUCGUCUUCCGGUGAAACCUGGGCUCCUUGGCUAUGGCAAUGGCCCCGGUGUUAUCACAGAAGAGUGUCAUUGGACCCGACGCACUUGGAACAACUCCAAGGUCGGUGAUGAGCUCCUUCAUCCAAAUUCCUUCAUGAGUCGCUUCUGAAACAACUAUGUACUCCGCUUCACAUGUAGAUGCUGCCACGACUUCUUGCUUGCUGCUGCACCAGCUCACUGCCCCACCAUUCAAAACAUAUACAUAUCCGGUCUGUGACUUAGAGUCAUCCGGAUUUGUGUCGAAGCUAGCGUCGGCGUAACCCUUUACGACGAGCUCUUCGUCACCUCCAUAAACGAGAAACAUUUCCUUAGUCCUUUUCAGGUACUUAAGGAUAUUCUUGACCGCUGUCCAGUGUUCCAUACCGGGAUCACUUUGGUACCUCCCUACCAAACUUAUGGCAAGGUUUAUAUCAGGUCCGGUACACAACAUGGCAUACAUAAGAGAGCCUACGGCUGAAGCGUAGGGGACAGAACUCAUCUUCUCUCUAUCUGCUGCCGUGGUCGGCGACUAAGUCUUACUCAAUCUCAUACCUUGCAAAACUGGCAAGAACCCUUUCUUUGAGUUUUACAUAUUGAACUUCUUCAAUAUCUUGUCAAGGUAUGUACUUUGCGAAAGACCUAUGAGGCGUCUCGAUCUAUCUCUAUAGAUCUUGAUGCCUAAUAUGUAUGCAGCUUCUCCAAGGUCCUUCAUUGAAAAACUCUUGUUCAAAUAGGCCUUUAUGCUCUCCAACAUUUCUGUAUUGUUCCCCAUCAAUAAUAUGUCUUCCACAUACAGUAUGAGGAAAGCUACAGAGCUCCCACUCACUUUCUUGUACAGACAGGCUUCUCCGUAAACCUGUAUGAACCCAGACGCUUUAAUCACCUCAUUAAAGCGAAUGUUCCAACUCCGAAAUGCUUGCACCAGCCCAUAGAUGGAGCGCUGGAGCUUGCACACUUUGUUAGCACCCUUAGGGUCGACAAAACCUUCUGGUUGCAUCAUAUACAACUCUUCCUUAAGGUUCUCGUUAAGGAACGCUGUUUCGACGUCCAUUUGCCAAAUUUCAUAAUCAUAAAAGGCGGCAAUUGCUAACAUGAUUCGGACUGAUUUCAGCUUCGCUACGGGAGAGAAAGUCUCUUCGUAGUCAACUCCUUGAAUUUGUAGAAAACCCUUUGCGAGAAGUCGAGCUUUAUAAACGGUUACAUUACCGUCUGCAUCAGUCUUCUUCUUGAAGAUCCAUUUAUUUUCUAUGGCUCGCCGGUCAUCGGGCAAGUCCACCCAAGUCCAUACUUUGUUCUCAUACAUGGAUCCUAUCUCGGAUUUCAUACCUUCAAGCCAUUUGUUGGAAUCCGGGCCCACCAUCGCUUCUUCAUAGUCCGAAGGUUCACCAUUGUCUAACAACAUGAUUUCCGUCACAGGGUUGCCGUACCACUCUGGUGCGGAGCGUGCCCUCAUGGACCUUCGCGGUUCAGUAGUAACUUGAUCCGAAGCUUCAUGAUCAUUGUCAUUAACUUCCUCUUCAGUUGGUGCAGGCGCCACAUGAACAACUUCCCGUGCUGCGCUACUAUCCUGUUCGAGAGGGGGUGCAAUUACCUCAUCAAGUUCUACCUUCCUCCCACUUACUUCUUUUGAGAGAAACUCUUUCUCUAGAAAGGAUCCGUUCUUGGCAACAAAAGUUUUACCUUCGGAUCUAAGAUAGAAGGUAUACCCAAUAGUUUCCUUAGGGCAUCCUAUGAAUACGCAUUUCUCCGCUUUGGGUUCGAGCUUUUCUGGUUGAAGUUUCUUCACAUAAGCAUCGCAGCCCCAAACUUUAAGAAACGACAACUUAGGUUUCUUGCCAAACCAUAGUCCAUACGGUGUCGUCUCAAUGGAUUUAGACGGUGCCCUAUUUAAAGUGAAUGCUGCAGUUUCUAAUGCGUAUCCCCAAAAUGAUAGCGGUAAGUCGGUAAGAGACAUCAUAGAUCGUACCAUAUCUAAUAAAGUGUGAUUACGACGUUCAGACACUCCGUUGCGUUGCGGUGUGCCAGGCGGCGUGAGUUGUGAAACGAUUCCACACUUCCUUAGGUGUGUGCCAAACUCGUGACUCAAAUAUUCUCCUCCCCGAUCAGAUCGUAGACAUUUAAUUUUUCUAUCACGUUGAUUCUCAACCUCACUCUGAAAUUCCUUGAACUUUUCAAACGUCUCAGAUUUGUGUUUCAUCAAGUAGAUAUACCCAUACCUACUCAAAUCAUCGGUGAGAGUGAGAACAUAACGAUAGCCACCGCAAGCUUCAACGUUCAUUGGACCACACACAUCAGUAUGUAUUAUUUAUAAUAGGUCGGUUGCUCUCUUCAUUAUUCCUGAGAAUGGAGUCUUAGUCAUCUUGCCCAUGAGGCACGGUUCGCAUGUGUCAAAUGAUUCAAAGUCAAGAGACUCUAAUAGUCCAUCAGUAUGGAGCUUCUUCAUGCGCUUAACGCCGAUAUGACCAAGGCGGCAGUGCCACAAGUAUGUGGGACUAUCAUUACCAACUUUACAUAUUUUGGUACUCACACUAUGAAUAUGCGUAACAUCACGAUCGAGAUUCAUCAAGAAUUAACCAUUCACCAGUGGAGCAUGACCAUAAAACAUAUCACUCAUAUAAAUAGAACAACCAUUAUUCUCUGACUUAAAUGAGUAGCCGUCUCGCAUCAAGCAAGACCCUGAUACAAUGUUCAUGCUUAAAGCUGGUACUAAAUAACAAUUAUUAAGGUUUAAAACCAAUCCCGGCGGUAGAUGUAGAGGUAGCGUGCCGACGGCGAUCACAUCGACCUUGGAACCAUUCCCGACGCGCAUCGUCACCUCGUCCUUGGCCAGUCUCCGCUUAUUCCGCAGUUCCUGCUUUGAGUUGCAAAUGUGAGCAACAACACCGGUAUCAAAUAUCCAGGAGCUACUACGAGCGCUCGUAAGGUACACAUCAAUAACAUGUAUAUCACAUAUACCUUUAACGUUGCCGGCCUUCUUGUCCGCUAAGUAUUUGGGGCAGUUCCGCUUCCAGUGACCUUUUCCCUUGCAAUAGAAGCAUUCAGUCUCAGGCUUGGUUCCAUUCUUUUUCUUCUUCCCGGUAUCUGGCUUACCGGGCGCCGCAACAGCUUUGCCGUCUUUCUUGAAGUUCUUCUUACCCUUGCCCUUCUUGAAACUAGUGGUCUUGUUGACCAUCAACACUUGAUGCUCUUUCUUGAUUUCUACUUAUGCAGACUUGAGCAUCGAGUACAACUCGGGAAUGGUCUUCUCCAUCCCUUGCAUGUUGUAGUUAAGCACAAAGCCUUUGUAGCUUGGUGGGAGAGACUGGAGGAUUCUGUCAAUUAUAGCAUCAUCCGGAAGUUCGACUCCAAGUGAAGUCAGACGACCGUGUAACCCACACAUUUUGAGUAUGUGCUAACUGACAGAACUGUUCUCCUCCAUCUUACAGCUAAAGAACUUGUCAGAGACUUCAUAUCUCUCGACACGGGCAUGAGCUUGAAAAACUAGCUUCAGCUCUUGGAACAUCUCAUAUGUUCCAUGUUGCUCAAAAUGCCUUUGGAGCCCCGUUUCUAAACUGUAUAACAUGCCACACCUAACCAGAGAGUAGUCAUCACUCUGCGUUUGCCACACGUUCAUAAUGUCCUGGGCUGCUGCGGGAGCGGGAGGGUCACCUAGCGGCGCAUCAAGGACAUAAGCCUUUUUAGCUGCUUCAAGGAUGAGCUUCAAGUUGCGAACCCAGUCCGCAUAGUUGCUACCAUCAUCUCUGAGCUUGUUUUUCUCUAGGAAUGCGCUGAAAUUGAGGUUGACGUUGGCCAUCUACAAUAUUUAUAAAGACAACUUUUAGACUAAGUUCAUGACAAUUAAGUUCAUUUAAUCAAAUUAAGUAUGAACUCCCACUUAAAUCGACAUCCCUCUAGUCAUCUAAGUGAUACAUGAUCCAUGUUGACUAACCCAUGUCCGAUCACCACGUGAGACGGACUAGUCACCAUGGGGAGCAACUUCAUGCUGAUCGUAUUCAACCAUACGACUCAUGUUCGACCUUUCGGUCUCUUGUAUUCGAGGUCAUGUCUGUACAUGCUAAGCUCGUCGAGUCAACCUAGGUGUUUCGCGUGUGUAAAUCUGGCUUACACCCGUUGUAUGCGAACGUUAGAAUCUAUCACUGUUGGGGAACGUCGCAUGGGAAACAAAAAAAUUUCCUACGCGCACGAAGACCUAUCAUGGUGAUGUCCAUCUACGAGAGGGGAUUUCCGAUCUACGUACCCUUGUAGAUCGCACAGCAGAAGUGUUAAGAAACACGGUUGAUGUAGUGGAACGUCCUCACGUCCCUCGAUCCGCCCCGCGAACCGUCCCACGAUCCGUCCCACGAUCCGCUCCGAUCUAGUGCCGAACGGACGGCACCUCCGCGUUCAGCACACGUACAACUCGACGAUGAUCUCGGCCUUCUUGAUCCAGCAAGAGAGACAGAGAGGUAGAUGAGUUCUCCGGCAGCGUGACGGCGCUCCGGAGGUUGGUGGUGAUCCCAUCUCAGCAGGGCUCACCCCGAGCUCCGCAGAAACGCGAUCUAGAGGUAAAACCGUGGAGGUAUGUGGUCGGGCUCCCGUGGCAAAAGUUGUCUCAAAUCAGCCCUAAAACCCCACUAUAUAUAGGAGGGAGGGAGGGGGGGGAGGCAGCCUAAAAACCUAAAGGUUUGGCCGAAAUUGGAGGUGGAGGAGUCCUACUCCAAUCCUACUUGGAGUAGGAUUCCACCUUCCCACUUGGAAACUCUUUCCACCUUGUGUUUUUUCCUUCUCAAACCUUAUGGGCCUUAGUGGGAACUUAUUCUAGACCACUAGGGGCUGGUUUAUCUCUUCCCAUAGCCCAUGAGACCCCUUGGGGUGUGACACCCCUCCUGAUGGUCCCCGGCACCCCUCCCGGCACUCCCAGUACACUACCGAUGAGCCCAAAACUUUUCCGGUAAUGCACGAAAACCUUCCGGUAACCAAAUGAGGUCAUCCUAUAUAUCAAUCUUCGUUUCCGGACCAUUCCGGAAACCCUCGUGACAUCUGUGGUCUCAUCCGGGACUCCUAACAACAUUCGGUAACCAACCAUAUAACUCAAAUAUGCAUAAAACAACGUCGAACCUUAAGUGUGCAGACCCUGCGGGUUCGAGAACUAUGUAGACAUGACCCGAGUGACUCCUCGGUCAAUAUCCAAUAGCGGGACCUGGAUGCCCAUAUUGGAUCCUACAUAUUCUACGAAGAUCUUAUCCUUUGAACCUCAGUGCCAAGGAUUCAUAUAAUCCCGUAUGUCAUUCCCUUUGUCCUUCGGUAUGUUACUUGCCUGAGAUUCGAUCGUCAGUAUCCGCAUACCUAUUUCAAUCUUGUUUACCAGCAAGUCUCUUUACUCGUUCCAUAAUACAAGAUCCCGCAACUUAUACUAAGUCACAUUGCUUGCAAGGCUUGUGUGUGAUGUUGUAUUACCGAGUGGGCCCCGAGAUACCUCUCCGUCAUACGGUGUGACAAAUCCCAGUCUUGAUCCAUACUAACUCAACGAACACCUUCGGAGAUACCUGUAGAGCAUCUUUAUAGUCACCCAGUUACGUUGCGACGUUUGAUACACAUAAAGCAUUCCUCCGGUGUCAGUGAGUUAUAUGAUCUCAUGGUCAUAGGAACAAAUACUUGACACGCAGAAAACAGUAGCAACAAAAUGACACGAUCAACAUGGUACGUCUAUUAGUUUGGGUCUAGUCCAUCACAUGAUUCUCCUAAUGAUGUGAUCCCGUUAUCAAGUGACAACACUUGCCUAUGGUCAGGAAACCUUGACCAUCUUUGAUCAACGAGAUAGUCAACUAGAGGCUUACUAGGGAUAGUGUUUUGUCUAUGUAUCCACACAUGCACUGUGUUUCCAAUCAAUACAAUUAUAGCAUGGAUAAUAAACGAUUACCAUGAACAAAGAAAUAUAAUAAUAACUAAUUUAUUAUUGCCUCUAGGGCAUAUUUUCAACAGUCUCCCACUUGCACUUGAGUCAAUAAUCUAGUUCACAUCACCAUGUGAUUCCAACGAAUCCAACACCCAUAUAGUUAUGGGGUCUGAUCACGUCUUGCUCGUGAGAGAGGUUUUAGUCAACGGUUCUGAAACUUUCAGAUCUGUGUGUUCUUUACAAAUCUUUAUGUCAUCUUAUAGAUGCUGCUACUAUGUGCUAUUCGGAAAUACUCCGAAUAUCUACUCUACUAUACGAAUCCGUUUCACUACUCAUAGUUAUUAGGAUUAGCGUAAAAGCUUGCAUCGACGUAACCCUUUACGACGAACUCUUUAACCACCUCCAUAAUCGAUAAAAAUUCCUUAGUCCAUCAGUUACUAAGGAUAAAUUUUGACCGCUGCUAGUGAUUCAAUCAUGGAUCACUCUCUGUACCUCUCAACAGACUUUGAGUCAAGGCACAUAUCAGGUGCGGUACCCAGCAUGGCAUACUUCAGAUUCUAUGGCCAAGGAAUAGAAGACGACCUUCGUCUAUUCUCUUUAUUCUGCCGGGGUCGGGUUUUGAGUCUUACUCAAAUUCACACCUCACAACGCAAGCAAGAACUCCUUCUUUGCUGAUCUAUUUUGAACUCCUUCAAAAACUUGUCAAGGCAUGCAUCUUGUUGAAACUUCUAUUAAGCGCUUUCGAUCUAUCUCCAUAGAUCUUUGAUGCUCAACGUUCAAGUAGCGCAAUCCAGGUACUCCUUUGAAAACUCCUUUCAAACAACCUUGUAUGCUUUACAUAAAUUCUACAUUACUUCUGAUCCACAAUAUGUCAACCACAUAUACUUAUCAGAAAUUCUAUAGUGCUCCCACUCACUUCUUUGGAAAUACAAGUUUCUCAUAAACCUUGUACAAACCCAAAAUCUUUGAUCAUCUCAUCAAAGUGUAUAUUCCAACUUCGAGAUGCUUGCACCAGUCCAUUGAAGGAUCGCUGGAGCUUGCAUACUUGCUAGUAUCUCUAGGAUCGACAAAACCCCCUGGUUGUAUCACAUACAAUGUUUGCUCAAGGAAACCGUCGAGGAAACAAUGUUUUGACAUCCUAUGUGCAAUAUUUCAUAAAUAAUGCAUCAACUACUAACAUAAUUCUAACAGACUUUCGGCAUCGCUACGAGUGAGAAAGUCUCAUCAUAGUCAACUGUUUGAUCUUGUCGGAAACAUCUUUGCGACAAGUCGAGCUUUUCUUAGUAGUGACUUAUCACCAUCAUCGUCUGUCUUCCUUUUAAAGAUCCAUCUUUACUCAAUAGUCCUAUGACCAUCAAGUAGUUCUUCCAAAGUCUACACUUUGUUUUCAUACAUGGAUCCUCUCUCGGAUUUCAUGGCUUCCAGCCAUUUGUCGGAAUCCGGGCCCACCAUUGCUUUCUCCAUAACUCGUAGGUUCACUGUUGCUCAACAACAUGACCUCCAAGACAGGGUUACCGUACCACUCUGCAGUAGUACGCGACCUUGUGAACCUACGAGGCUUGUAGUAACUUGAUCCGAUGCUCGAUGAUCACCACCAUCAGCUUUCACUUCAAUUGGUGUAGGCGCCACAGGAACAACUUCCUGUGCCCUGCUACACACUGGUUGAAGUGAUGGUUCAAUAACCUCAUCAAGUUCUACCACCCUCCCACUCAAUUCUUUCGAGAGAAACCUUUCCUCGAGAAAGGAUCCAUUUCUAGAAACAAACACUUUGCUUUCGGAUCUGAGAUAGGAGAUGUACCCAACUAUUUUGGAUAUCCUAUGAAGAUGCAUUUAUCCUCUUUGGGUUUGAGCUUAUUCGACUGAAACUUUUUCACACAAGUCUCGAAGCCCCAAACUUUCAAGAAACGACAUUUUAGAUUUCUCUAAACCUCAGUCUAUACUGUGUCAUCUCAACGGAAAUACGCGGUGCCCUAUUUAAAGUGAAUGCGGUUGUCUCUAAUGCAUAACCCAUAAACGAUAGUGGUAAUUCGAUAAGAGACAUCAUAGCAUGCACCAUACCAAAUAGUGCGUGGCUAUGACGUUCAGACACAUUAUCACACUAUGAUGUUCCAGGUGGCAGGAACUGCGAAACAAUUUCUACAUUGUCUUAACUGCGUACCAAAACUCGUAACUCAGAUAUUCAUUUCUAUGAUCAUAUCGUAGACAGUUUAUCCUCUUGUGACGACGAACUUCACUCCUGAAACAGAAUUGAACCUUUCAAUAUUUCAGACUUGUGAUUCAUUAAGUAAAUACUCUUGUAUCUACUCAAAUCGUCAUUGAAGUAAGAACAUAAUGAUAUCCACUGCGUGCCUCAGCACCCAUUGGACUGCAUACAUCAAAAUGUAUCACUUCCAACAAGUUACUAUCUUGUUUCAUCUCAAUGAAAACAAGGCCUUGCUCAUGUGGUAUGAUUUGCAUGUCACUAGUGAUUCAAAAUCAAGUGAGUAUAAAGAUCCAUCAGCAUGGAGGCUCUUCAUGCAAUUUAUACCAACAUGACUCAAGCGGCAGUGCCACAAGUAAGUGGUACUAUCAUCAUUACCUCGUAUCUUUUGGCACCAAUGUCAUGAACAUGUGUAACACUACGAUCGAGAUUCAAUAAACCAUUGAAGGUGAUUAUUCAAGCAAAUAGAGUAACCAUUAUUCUCUUUAAAUGAAUAAUUGUAUUGCAAUAAACACGAUCCAAUCAUGUUCAUGCUUAACGCAAGCACCAAAUAACAAUUAUCUAGGUUUAACACCAAUCCCGAUUGUAGAGGGAGUGUGCGACGUUUGAUCAUAUCAACCUUGGAAACACUUCCAACACGUAUCGUCACCUCGCCUUUAGCUAGUCUCCGUUUAUGCCCUAGCUUUCACUUCGUGUUACUAAUCACUUAGCAACCGAACCGGUAUCCAAUACCCUCGUGCUACUAGGAGUACUAGUAAAGUACACAUCAACAUCAUGUAUAUCAAAUAUACUUCUUUCGACUUUUGCCAGCCUUCUUAUCUACCAAGUAUCUAGAGUUGCUCCGCCUCAGUGACCGUUCCCCUCAUAAUAGAAGAACUUAGUCCUGGGCUUGGGUUUAAUCUGGGGCCUCUUCAUUAGUGCAGCAACUGCUUUGCCGUUUCACGAAGUAUCCCUUCUAGCCCUUGCCUUUAUCGAAACUUAGUGGUUUUACUAACCAUCAACUACUGAUGCUCCUUCUUGAUUUCUACUUUCGCAGUGUCAAACAUCGCGAAUCACUCAAGGAUCAUUGUACCUAUCCUUGAUAUGUAAUAGUUCAUCACGAAGCUCUCGCAGCUUGGUGGCAGUGACUUUGGAGAACCAUCACUAUCUUAUCUGGAACAUCAACUCCCACUUGAUUCAAGCGAUUGCCGUACUCAGAUAAUCUGAGCACACACUCAACGAUUGAGAUUUUCUUCUUUACUUCGUGGACAAAGAAUCUUGUCGGAGGUCUCAUACCUCUUAACAAGGGCACAAGCAUGAAAUCACAAUUUCAUCUCUUUAGAACAUCUCUUAUGUUCCGUGACGUUUCAAAACGUCUUCGGCGCCUUGCUUCUAAGCCAUUAAGUAUUUUGCACUGAACUAUCGUGUAGUCAUCAGAAACGUGUAUGUCGGAUGUUCACAACAUCUACAGACGACGCUCGAGGUGCAGCACACCGAGUGGUGCAUUAAGGACAUAAGCCUUCUUUGCAGCAACGAGGACAAUCCUCGGUUUUACAGACUCAGUCUGCAAAGUUUGCUACUAUCAACUUUCAACUAAAUUUUCUCUAGGAACAUAUAAAAACAGUAGAGCUAUAGCGCAAGCUACAUCGUAAUUCACAAAGACUAUUAGACUAUGUUCAUGACAAUUAGUUCAAUUAAUCAUAUUACUUAAGAACUCCCACUCAAAAAGUACAUCUCUCUAGUCAUUUGAGUGGUACAUGAUCCAAAUCCACUAUCUCAAGUCCGAUCAUCACGUGAGUCGAGAAUAGUUUCAGUGGUAAGCAUCUCUAUGCUAAUCAUAUCAACUAUACGAUUCAUGCUCGACCUUUCGGUCUCAUGUGUUCCGAGGCCAUGUCUGCACAUGCUAGGCUCAUCAAGCUUAACCCGAGUGUUCCGCGUGUGCAACUGUUUUGCACCCGUUGUAUGUGAACGUUGAGUCUAUCACACCCGAUCAUCACGCUGUAGGGGAACGUCGCAUGGGAAACAAAAAAUUUCCUACGCGCACGAAGACCUAUCAUGGUGAUGUCCAUCUACGAGAGGGGAUGUGUGAUCUACGUACCCUUGUAGACCGUACAGCAGAAGCGUUAGUGAACGCGGUUGAUGUAUUGGAACAUCCUCACGUCCCUCGAUCCGCCCCGUGAACCGUCCCGCGAUCAGUCCCACGGUCUAGUACCGAACGGACGGCACCUCCGCGUUCAGCACACGUACAGCUCGACGAUGAUCUCGGCCUUCUUGAUCCAGCAAGAGAUACGGAGAGGUAGAAGAGUUCUCCGGCAGCGUGACGGCGCUCCGGAGGUUGGUGAUGAUCUUGUCUCAGCAGGGCUCCGCCCGAGCUCCGCAGAAACGCGAUCUAGAGGAAAAACCGUGGAGGUAUGUGGUCGGGCUGCCGUGGAAAAGUCGUCUCAAAUCAGCCCUAAAACCUCCGUAUAUAUAGGGGGAAGAGGGGGAGCCUUGCCUUGGGGCUCAAGGAGCCCCAAGGGGGUCGGCCCAGCCAAGGGGGGAAGGUCUCCCCCCCCCAAACCGAGUCCAACUUGGUUUCGGUCGGGUGGAGUCCUUCUUCCCUUUCCCACCUCCUCCUUUUUUUCUUUUCUCUUUGAUUUUCUUCCUAUGGCGCAUAGGGCCUUCUUGGCUUGUCCCACCAGCCCACUAAGGGCUGGUGUGGCACCCCCAAGGCCUAUGGACUUCCCCGGGGUGGGUUGCCCCCCCCGGUGAACUCCCGGAACCCAUUCGUCAUUCCCGGUACAUUCCCGGUAACUCCGAAAACCUUCCGGUAAUCAAAUGAGGUCAUCCUAUAUAUCAAUCUUCGUUUCCGGACCAUUCCGGAAACCCCCGUGACGUCCGUGAUCUCAUCCGGGACUCCGAACAACAUUCGGUAACCAACCAUAUAACUCAAAUACGCAUAAAACAACGUCGAACCUUAAGUGUGCAGACCCUGCGGGUUCGAGAACUAUGUAGACAUGACCCGAGAGACUCCUCGGUCAAUAUCCAAUAGCGGGACCUGGAUGCCCAUAUUGGAUCCUACAUAUUCUACGAAGAUCUUAUCGUUUGAACCUCAGUGCCAAGGAUUCAUAUAAUCACGUAUGUCAUUCCCUUUGUCCUUCGGUAUGUUACUUGCCCGAGAUUCGGUCGUCAGUAUCCGCAUACCUAUUUCAAUCUCGUUUACCGGCAAGUCUCUUUACUCAUUCCGUAAUACAAGAUCCCGCAACUUACACUAAGUCACAUUGCUUGCAAGGCUUGUGUGUGAUGUUGUAUUACCGAGUGGGCCCCGAGAUACCUCUCCGUCACACGGAGUGACAAAUCCCAGUCUUGAUCCAUACUAACUCAACGAACACCUACGGAGAUACCUGUAGAGCAUCUUUAUAGUCACCCAGUUACGUUGCGACGUUUGAUACACACAAAGUACUCCUCCGGUGUUAGUGAGUUAUAUGAUCUCAUGGUCAUAGGAACAAAUACUUGACACGCAGAAAACAGUAGCAACAAAAUGACACGAUCAACAUGCUACGUCUAUUAGUUUGGGUCUGGUCCAUCACGUGAUUCUCCUAAUGACGUGAUCCAGUUAUCAAGCAACAACACCUUGUUCAUAAUCAGAAGACACUGACUAUCUUUGAUCAACUGGCUAGCCAACUAGAGGCUUGCUAGGGACAAUGUUUUGUCUAUGUAUCCACACAUGUAAAUGAGUCUUCAUUCAAUACAAUUAUAGCAUGGAUAAUAAACGAUUAUCUUGAUACAGGAAUUAUAAUAAUAACUAUAUUUAUUAUUGCCUCUAGGGCAUAAUUCCAACAGUCUCCCACUUGCACUAGAGUCAAUAAUCUAGCCCUCACCUCAUCAUGCGAAUUACAUUGUAAUAAAUCUAACACCCAUAUAGUUCUGGUGUUGAUCAUGCUUUGCCCGUGGAAGAGGUUUAGUCAGCGGCUGUGCUAUAUUCAGAUCCGUGUGCACUUUGCAUAUAUUUACGUCCUCCCCUUCGACGUAGUCGCGGAUGAGGUUGAAGCGUCGUUUGAUGUGUCUGGACUUCUUGUGAAACCGUGGUUCCUUUGCUAAGGCAAUGGCACCCGUGUUGUCACAGAACAAGGUUAUUGGAUUCAGUGCGCUUGGCACCACUUCAAGAUCCGUCAUGAAUUGCUUCAUCCAGACACCCUCCUUAGCCGCCUCCGAGGCAGCCAUGUACUCCGCUUCACAUGUAGAAUCUAUUUAUUAUUGCCUCUAGGGCAUAAUUCCAACACACGUGGUGUCUCGAAACGAAGAACUGUCGCAACGGUGCACAGUCGGGGAGAACACAAUUUCGUCUUGAAAUUUUAGUGAGAGAUCACCUCAUAAUGCUACCGUCGUUCUAAGCAAGAUAAGGUGCAUCAAAGAUUAACAUCACAUGCAAUUCAUAAGUGACGUGAUAUGGCCAUCAUCAUGUGCUUCUUGAUCUCCAUCUCCAAAGCAUCGGCACGAUCUUCUUGUCACCGGCGUCACACCAUGAUCUCCAUCAUCAUGAUCUCCAUCAACGUGUCGCCAUCGGGGUUGUCGUGCUACUCAUGCUAUUACUACUAAAGCUACGUCCUAGCAAUAUAGUAAACGCAUCUGCAAGAACAAACGUUAGUUUAAAGACAACCCUAUGGCUCCUGCCGGUUGCCGUACCAUCGACGUGCAAGUCGAUAUUAACUAUUACAACAUGAUCAUCUCAUACAUCCAAUAUAUCACAUCACAUCGUUGGCCAUAUCACAUCACAAGCAUACCCUGCAAAAACAAGUUAGAUGUCCUCUAAUUGUUGUUGCAUGUUUUAUGUGGUGACCAUGGGUAUCUAAUAGGAUCGCAUCUUACUUACGCAAACACCACAACGGAGAUAUAUGAAUUUCUAUUUAACCUCAUCCAAGGACCUCCUCGGUCAAAUCCGAUUCAACUAAAGUUGGAGAAACCGACACUCGCCGGUCAUCUUUGAGCAAUGGAGUUACUCAUAGCGAUGAAACCAGUCUCUCGUAAGCGUACGAGUAAUGUCGGUCCGAGCCGCUUCGAUCCAACAAUACCGCGGAAUCAAGAAAAGAAUAAGGAGGGCAGCAAAACGCACAUCACCGUCCACAAAAACUUUUGUGUUCUACUCGAGAAGACAUCUACGCAUGAACCUAGCUCAUGAUGCCACUGUUGGGGAACAUCACAUGGGAAACAAAAAUUUUCCUACGCGCAUGAAGACCUAUCAUGGUGAUGUCCAUCUACGAGAGGGGAUUUACGAUCUACGUACCCUUGUAGAUCGCACAGUAGAAGCGUUAAGAAACGCGGUUGAUGUAGUGGAACGUCCUCACGUCCCUCAAUCCACCCCUCGAACCGUCCCACGAACCGUCCCGCGAUCAGUCCCACGAUCCGCUCCGAUCUGGUGCCGAACGGACGGCACCUCCGCGUUCAACACACGUACAGCUCGACGAAGAUCUCAGCCUUCUUGAUCCAGCAAGAGAGACAGAGAGGUAGAUGAGUUCUCCGGCAACGUGACGGCGCUCCGGAGGUUGGUGGUGAUCUAAUCUCAGCAGGGCUCCGCCCGAGCUCCGGAGAAACGCGAUCUAGAGGUAAAACCGUGGAGGUAUGUGGUCGGGCUGCCGUGGCAAAAGUUGUCUCAAAUCAGCCUAAAACCCCACUAUAUAUAGGAGGGAGGGAGGGGAGGAGGCAGCCUCAAAACCUAAAGGUUUGGCCGAAAUUGGAGGUGGAGGAGUCCUACUCCAAUCCUACUUGGAGUAGGAUUCCACCUUCCCACUUGGAAACUCUUUCCACCUUGUGUUUUUUCCUUCUCAAACCUUAUGGGCCUGUGACAUCCUCGACUUUUGCUACAGUAGUGAUUGUAAUUAAGCUACAGUGAUCAACCGCUAAUGAUGCCACGUCAUCGAAUUCCCAUCACAGACCUGCGUGGCUUCGCGUCUGUCCGGGUCGAUGAUUUGAAAGCAAAGGGAAGCACUUUAUCGGUUCAUUACAAAUAUUAAAAGAACAUAUAUGAAAAAAAGAAAGUAUUAAAGAAAUAAUAAUGCUAAAAGAAAGAAAAGAAAACUGAAAGAAAUAAAUAAUAAAAAAAGGAAAAAGGUAAAACAAAAACAAAAUAAAACAAAUCAAAAAAAAAAUGAAAACAACCCCACUCCCCCGGCCCAGCUGGGCCUCCCACCGGCCCAACCGGCCAAACCCUAGCCCAUGGCGAGGGAGCAGCACCCCCCACGCCAACUCCCUCCCCCCCUGGGCGCCGCCGCCAGCCCCCCCCCCUCGUGGGGGGGCCCCACCCCCACGCCGCCACCUCUCCCUCCCCUCUCGUGACCCUCCCCACCCCACCGACACCCCCCCAUCUNGAGUCGUCCGGAUCUGUGUCAAAGCUUGCAUCGACGUAACCUUUUACGGCGAGCUCUUCGUCACCUCCAUACACGAGAAACAACUCCUUAGUCCUUUUCAGGUACUUCAGGACAUUCUUGACCGACGUCCAGUGAUCCACUCCUGGAUUACUCUGGAACCUUCCUGCCAUACUUAUGGCCAGGCUAACGUCCGGUCUAGUGCACAACAUUGCAUACAUGAUAGAACCUAUGGCUGAAGCAUAGGGGACGGUGCGCAUAUGCUCUCUAUUCUCAUCAGUUGCUGGGCACUGAGUCUUACUCAAUUUCGUACCUUGUAAAACUGGCAAGAACCCUUUCUUGGACUGUUCCAUUUUGAACCUCUUCAAAACUUUAUCAAGGUAUGUGCUUUGUGAAAGUCCUAUCAGGCGUUUUGAUCUAUCCCUAUAGAUCUUAAUGCCUAGAAUGUAAGCAGCUUCUCCUAGGUCCUUCAUAGAGAAACUCUUAUUCAAGUAAUCCUUUAUGCUCUCUAAAAACUCCACGUUGUUUCCAAUCAGCAAUAUGUCAUCCACAUAUAAUAUUAGAAACGCCACAGAGCUCCCACUCACUUUCUUGUAAAUACAAGAUUCUCCAACCACUUGUAUAAACCCAAAUGCUUUGAUCACCUCAUCAAAGCGUUUGUUCCAACUCCGAGAUGCUUGCACCAGUCCAUAAAUGGAUCGCUGGAGCUUGCACACCUUGUUAGCAUUCUUAGGAUCGACAAAACCUUCGGGUUGCAUCAUAUACAAUUCUUCCUUAAGGAACGCCGUUUUGACAUCCAUCUGCCAGAUUUCAUAAUCGAAAAAUGCAGCUAUUGCUAACAUGAUUCUGACGGACUUAAGCAUCGCUACGGGUGAGAAUGUCUCAUCGUAGUCAACUCCUUGAACUUGUGAAAAACCCUUUGCCACAAGUCGUGCUUUAUAAACGGUCACAUUGCUGUCAGCGUCCGUCUUCCUCUUAAAGAUCCGUUUGUUCUGAAUAGCCUUGUGGCCCUCAGGCAGUACUUCCAAAGUCCGCACUUUGUUCUCAUACAUGGAUCCUAUCUCGGACUUCAUGGCUUCUAGCCAUUUGUUGGAAUCUGGGCCCACCAUUGCUUCUUCAUAAUUUGCAGGUUCAUUGUUGUCCAACAACAUGAAUGAUAAGACGGGAUUACCGUACCACUCUGGAGCAGCACGUGGUCUCGUCGACCUGCGUGGUUCGACAGAAACUUGAACCGGAGUUUCAUGAUCAUCAUCAUUAACUUCCUCCUCAACCGGCGUCGCAACGACAGAGGUUUCCCCUUGCCCUGCGCCACCAUCCAGAGGGAUGAGAGGUUCGACAACCUCGUCAAGUUUUAUCUUCCUCCCACUCAAUUCUCUCGAGAGAAACUCCUUCUCGAGAAAAGCUCCGUUUUUAGCAACAAACACUUUGCCCUCGGAUUUGAGAUAGAAGGUGUACCCAACUGUCUCUUUUGGGUAACCUAUGAAGACGCACUUUUCUGCUUUGGGUUCCAGCUUUUCAGGCUGAAGCUUUUUGACAUAAGCAUCACAUCCCCAAACAUUAAGAAACGACAACUUUGGCCUUUUGCCAUACCACAGUUCGUAUGGUGUCGUCUCAACGGAUUUUGAUGGUGCCCUAUUUAAAGUGAAUGCAGCUGUUUCUAAUGCAUAACCCCAAAACGAUAACGACAAAUCGGUAAGAGACAUCAUAGAUCGCACCAUCUCUAAUAAAGUACGAUUACGAUGUUCGGACACACCAUUAUGCUGUGGUGUUCCAAGCGGUGUCAACUGUGAAACAAUUCCACAUUGUCUUAAGUGAGCACCAAACUCGAAACUCAGAUAUUCACCCCCACGAUCAGACCGUAGGAACUUGAUCUUCUUGUUACGAUGAUUUUCAACUUCACUCUGAAAUUGCUUGAACUUUUCAAAUUUUUCAGACUUGUGCUUCAUUAAGUAGACAUAACCAUAUCUACUCAAAUCGUCAGUGAAGGUGAGAAAAUAACGAUAUCGCCGCGUGCCUCUACGCUCAUCGGACCACACACAUCGGUAUGUAUGAUUUCCAACAAGUCACUUGCACGCUCCAUUGUUCCGGAGAACGGAGUUUUAGUCAUCUUGCCCAUGAGGCAUGGUUCGCACGUGUCAAGUGAAUCAAAGUCAAGUGAGUCCAAAAGUCCAUCGGCAUGGAGUUUCUUCAUGCGCUUUACACCAAUAUGACCUAAGCGGCAGUGCCACAAAAAUAUGGCGCUAUCAUUGUUAACUCUAACUCUUUUGGUCUCAAUGUUAUGUAUGUGUGUAUCACUAUCAAGAUUCAAUAUGAACAAUCCUCUCACACUGGGUGCAUGACCAUAAAAGAUGUUACUCAUAGAAAUAGAACAACCAUUAUUCUCUGACUUAAAAGAGUAACCGUCUCGCAAUAAACAAGAUCCAGAUAUAAUGUUCAUGCUCAACGCAGGCACUAAAUAACAAUGAUUCAAGUUCAUAACUAAUCCUGAUGGUAACUGAAGUGAAACUGUGCCGAUGGCGAUUGCAUCAACCUUGGAACCAUUUCCUACGCUCAUCGUCACUUCAUCCUUCGCCAGCCUUCGUCUAUUCCGUAGUUCCUGUUUCAAGUUGCAAAUAUGAGCAAAAGAACCGGUAUCGAAUACCCAGGCACUACUACGAGAGCCGGUUAAGUACACAUCAAUAACAUGUAUAUCAAAUAUACCUGAUUUUUCUUUGGCCGCCUUCUUAUCUGCCAGAUACUUGGGGCAAUUGCGCUUCUAGUGACCCAUGCCCUUGCAAUAGUAACACUCUGUUUCAGGCUUAGGUCCAGCUUUGGGUUUCUUCGUUGGAUUGGCAACAGGCUUGCCGCUCUUCUUUGAAUUACCCUUCUUGCCUUUGCCGUUUCUCUUGAAACUAGUGGUCUUAUUCACCAUCAACACUUGAUGCUCUUUACGGAGUUCAGACUCUGCGACUUUCAGCAUCGCAAACAACUCGCCGGGAGACUUGUUCAUCCCUUGCAUGUUGUAGUUCAACACAAAGCCUUUAUAGCUUGGCGGCAGUGAUUUAAGGAUUCUGUCAGUGAUAGCCUCUUGCGGGAGUUCAAUCCCCAGCUCAGCUAGACGGUUUGAGUACCCAAACAUUUUGAGCACAUGUUCACUGACACACGAGUUCUCCUCCAUCUUGCAAGCAUAGAAUUUAUCAGAGGUCUCAUAGCUCUCGAUCCGGGCGUUCUUCUGAAAGAUAAACUUCAACUCCAGGAACAUCUCAAACGCUCCAUGACGCUCAAAGCGACGUUGAAGUCCCGGUUCUACGCCAUACAAGACUGCACAUUGAACUACUGAGUAGUCCUCCUUACGUGCUAACCAAGCGUUCUUAACAUCCUGAUCAGCCGUAGCGGGUGGUUCAUCUCCUAGCGCAGCAUUAAGGACAUAAUCCUUCUUCCCAGCUUGUAAGAUUAGCUUAAGACUAUGAGCCCAGUCUACAAAGUUGCUUCCAUCAUCUUUCAACUUAGCUUUCUCUAGGAACGUAUUAAAAUUCAGGGUGACUGUCGCGUGAGCCAUGAUCUACAACACAAAUAUAUUCAAAGUGGACUUAGACUAUGUUCAAGAUAAUUAGAGUUUAACUUAAUCAAAUUAUUUGCUAAACUCCCACUCAAAAAGUAGAUCUCUCUAGUCAUUUGAGUGGUUCAUGAUCCACUUACACUAGCUCAAGUCCGAUCAUCACGUGAGUUGAGUAUAGUUUCAGUGGUAAGCAUCCCUAUGCUAAUCAUAUCAUCUAUAUGAUUCAUGAUCGACCUUUCGGUCUCAUGUGUUCCGAGGCCAUGUCUGCACAUGCUAGGCUCGUCAAGCUUAACCCGAGUGUUCCGCGUGCGCAACUGUUUUGCACCCGUUGUAUGUGAACGUUGAGUCUAUCACACCCGAUCAUCACGUGGUGCCUCGAAACGACGAACUGUAGCAACGGUGCACAGUCGGGGAGAAUACAAUUUCGUCUUGAAAUUUUAGUGAGAGAUCACCUCAUAAUGCUACCGUCGUUCUAAGCAAAAAAAAGGUGCAUAAAAGGAUUAACAUCACAUGCAAUUCAUAAGUGACAUGAUAUGGCCAUCAUCACGUGCUCCUUGAUCUCCAUCACCAAAGCACCGGCACGAUCUUCUUGUCACCGGCGCCACACCAUGAUCUCCAUCGACGUGUCGCCAUCGGGGUUGUCGUGCUACUCAUGCUAUUACUACUAAAGCUACAUCCUAGCAAAAUAGUAAACGCAUCUGCAAGCACAAACGGUAGUAUAAAGACAACCCUAUGGCUCCUGCCAGUUGUCGUACCAUCGGCAUGCAAGUCGAUAUUAUCUAUUACAACAUGAUCAUCUCAUACAUCCAAUAUAUCACAUCACAUCGUUGGCCAUAUCACAUCACAAGCAUACCCUGUAAAAACAAGUUAGACGUCCUCUAAUUUUGUUGUUGCAUGUUUUACGUGGUGACCAUGGGUAUCUAGUAGGAUCGCAUCUUACUUACGCAAACACCACAACGGAGAUAUAUGAGUUGCUAUUUAACCUCAUCCAAGGACCUCCUCGGUCAAAUCGACACUUGCCAUUCAACUAAAGUUGGAGAAACUGACACUUGCCAGUCAUCUUUGAGCAACGGGGUUACUCGUAACGAUGAAACCAGUCUCUCGUAAGCGUACGAGUAAUGUCGGUCCAAGCCGCUUCAAUCCAACAAUACCGCGGAAUCAAGAAAAGACUAAGGAGGGCAGCAAAACGCACAUCACCGCCCACAAAAACUUUUGUGUUCUACCCGAGAAGACAUCUACGCAUGAACCUAGCUCAUGAUGCCACUGUUGGGGAACGUCGCAUGGGAAACAAAAAAAUUCCUACGCGCACGAAGACCUAUCAUGGUGAUGUCCAUCUACGAGAGGGGAUGUGUGAUCUACGUACCCUUGUAGACCGUACAGCAGAAGCGUUAGUGAACGCGGUUGAUGUAGUGGAACAUCCUCACGUCCCUCGAUCCGCCCCGCGAACCGUCCCGCGAUCAGUCCCACGAUCUAGUACCGAACGGACGGCACCUCCGCGUUCAGCACACGUACAGCUCGACGAUGAUCUCGGCCUUCUUGAUCCAGCAAGAGAGACGGAGAGGUAGAAGAGUUCUCCGGCAGCGUGACGGCGCUCCGGAGGUUGGUGAUGAUCUUGUCUCAGCAGGGCUCCGCCCGAGCUCCGCAGAAACGCGAUCUAGAGGAAAAACCGUGGAGGUAUGUGGUCGGGCUGCGGUGGAAAAGUCGUCUCAAAUCAGCCCUAAAACCUCCGUAUAUAUAGGGGGAAGAGGGGGAGCCUUGCCUUGGGGAUCAAGGAGCCCCAAGGGGGUCGGCCSAGCCAACGGGGGGAACGGUCUCCCCCCCCCAAACCGAGUCCAACUUGGUUUGGUGGGUGGAGUCCUUCUUCCCUUUCCCACCUCCUCCUUUUUUCUUUUCUCUUUGAUUUUCUUCCUAUGGCGCAUAGGGCCUUCUUGGCCUGUCCCACCAGCCCACUAAGGGCUGGUGUGGCACCCCCAAGGUCUAUGGGCUUCCCCGGGGUGGGUUGACCCCCCCCCCCCGGUGAACUCCCGGAACCCAUUCGUCAUUCCCGGUACAUUCCCGGUAACUCCGAAAACCUUCCGGUAACCAAAUGAGGUCAUCCUAUAUAUCAAUCUUCGUUUCCGGACCAUUCCGGAAACCCCCGUGACGUCCGUGAUCUCAUCCGGGACUCCGAACAACAUUCGGUAACCAACCAUAUAACUCAAAUACGCAUAAAACAACGUCGAACCUUAAGUGUGCAGACCCUGCGGGUUCGAGAACUAUGUAGACAUGACCCGAGAGACUCCUCGGUCAAUAUCCAAUAGCGGGACCUGGAUGCCCAUAUUGGAUCCUACAUAUUCUACGAAGAUCUUAUCGUUUGAACCUCAGUGCCAAGGAUUCAUAUAAUCACGUAUGUCAUUCCCUUUGUCCUUCGGUAUGUUACUUGCCCGAGAUUCGAUCGUCAGUAUCCGCAUACCUAUUUCAAUCUCGUUUACCGGCAAGUCUCUUUACUCGUUCCGUAAUACAAGAUCCCGCAACUUACACUAAGUCACAUUGCUUGCAAGGCUUGUGUGUGAUGUUGUAUUACCGAGUGGGCCCCGAGAUACCUCUCCAUCACACGGAGUGACAAAUCCCAGUCUUGAUCCAUACUAACUCAACGAACACCUUCGGAGAUACCUGUAGAGCAUCUUUAUAGUCACCCAGUUACGUUGCGACGUUUGAUACACACAAAGUACUCCUCUGGUGUUAGUGAGUUAUAUGAUCUCAUGGUCAUAGGAACAAAUACUUGACACGCAGAAAACAGUAGCAACAAAAUGACACGAUCAACAUGCUACGUCUAUUAGUUUGGGUCUGGUCCAUCACGUGAUUCUCCUAAUGACGUGAUCCAGUUAUCAAGCAACAACACCUUGUUCAUAAUCAGAAGACACUGACUAUCUUUGAUCAACUGGCUAGCCAACUAGAGACUUGCUAGGGACAGUGUUUUGUCUAUGUAUCCACACAUGUAAAUGAGUCUUCAUUCAAUACAAUUAUAGCAUGGAUAAUAAACGAUUAUCUUGAUACAGGAAUUAUAAUAAUAACUAUAUUUAUUAUUGCCUCUAGGGCAUAAUUCCAACAGUCUCCCACUUGCACUAGAGUCAAUAAUCUAGCCCUCACAUCAUCUGGCGAAUUACAUUGUAAUAAAUCUAACACCCAUAUAGUUGUGGUGUUGAUCAUGCUUUGCCUGUGGAAGAGGUUUAGUCAGCGGGUGUGCUAUAUUCAGAUCCGUGUGCACUUUGCAUAUAUUUACGUCCUCCCCUCCGACGUAGUCGCGGAUGAGGUUGAAGCUUCGUUUGAUGUGUCUGGACUUCUUGUGAAAUCGUGGUUCCUUUGCUAAGGCAAUGGCACCCGUGUUGUCACUGAACAAGGUUAUUGGAUUCAGUGCGCUUGGCACCACUCCAAGAUCCGUCAUGAAUUGCUUCGUCCAGACACCCUCCUUAGCCGCCUCCGAGGCAGCCAUGUACUCCGCUUCACAUGUAGAAUCUNCUUUAAAUUCAAACUUCAAAUUCAGUGAAAAAUUGUAUUUUAAUGUUUCAAAAAAUUCUGAAAAAAUACAUAGAUAAAUUAAGGUAUAGUACACAAGUGUGUAAAUUUUCAGAACAAAAUACGUUGAAAUGGAGGGCUGUGACAAAAAGAACAAAUCUGAGGCUGUUUAACACAUGUUACUAUUCAUCAUUUCAGAUCAUGAAUUUGUCUUUUUUGUACAGAUCACGUUUUAAAGUAUUUUGACCUGAAAUUUUACACACAUGUCGGUUACAUCCUUACAUACAUGCAUAUAUUUUUUCAGAAUUUUUUGAACCAUAAAAAUUUGAAUUUGAAUUUUUCAAAAAUAAAGGCCUUCAUGAAGCUCGGCCUCCAAAACGCUAUUCUCUCCUGGGAAACCAUAAUAAAACCUGGAAAAAAAACAUUUGAGCAUUCAUUAUACACUAGCUUUGCUAAAGGCCCGGUCAGGAGGGCCGCGGUGCGACAAAUAGGAGAUCCAAAAAACAGAGAGAAAACCCAUCCGAUACAUGUGUGUCAUGUGGAUGGGUUGCGAUAUUUCUUAUUUAGGUCGUUUGUGGAUGAGCUGUACGCCUUCACCGAAGAAUUGCUUGUAAAAUGUGAAUGCUAAAACGGCUCCUAGACAUCACGAUAGAUCUUGUAAUUAGGUACACUGCAAGAUGCGUCUAUAUAUACUUUUUUUCAUGUUCACAGUAUGAGCUACGUUUACAUUAAGCUAAAUCUAAAGAAAAGCGUAUUGCAAGAUGCAUCUAUAUAUACUUUCUUUCAUGUUCACAGUAUGAGCUACGUUUACAUUAAGGUAAAUCUAAAAAAAAGCGUAUUGAUCACUGUUGUAAAGUGUCGCUUCUACCAUGAGAGAACAAAAUUAUAACAUUUAUCAUGACUAUAUAUAACACUAACACUUACAUUAAACCUUAUGAAAAAAUUCUACUUGAUCGCGUUUGCAGGAGACACACAUGCAUCUUCCGUGUGUGAAAGGGUUUUGUAAUGAUGAUGCAUAUGUGUGUGUGUCCAAGCUACUAUGGUUUUAUUUGUAUUUUUUGAAAAAAGGAAUAUAUUAAUAUUAUGAAGAUAGCAAUUACAUCCAGUCUUUGUACCAACAAGAUGUAUCAAAGACAUUCAGGAUACAUACAACCCGAAAACAAAAAUAAAAAUUAAAGGCAUUGCCACAAUGAUCAACUUCUUUCAGCGGCAGCACACAAACCACCACCAAAGACACACCCAGAAAACAUAAAAUGUCUCCAAAAGCGAUGUAUUUAAAAAGGAAACAUUGUACAAGCGUCGUUGUCGUCCGAUCUAAGAUCUUAGUUUUCACACUAGAGAAAGUUUGAGCUCUCAAAACAAUACCUUCAGCGAAGCAAUUGCCACGUACAACCAAUGAGGGUCAGACCUGAGAUUUUCACCCUGAAAGUCACGACUCGGCACCCAAGGAGCGCCACCAAAAAUGAAAUCCUCCAAUGUAGCCGCCCCAUUGUGAGUGUUGCUUCUGAAAAGUUAUCAAACAUCUAGCUGGCUCCAUCGCCUCCAAGGCACCCUAUGCCUUACUCAUCCUUAGAUCUCAGCCACCAUGACUUUCUCUACUAUUUUCUACGCCAUGGAAAUCGAGAUACCGGCAUGUCCCAUGAUAUCAAGAAACAAACAGUGCUUUGCACCGCGCCCUCAUGUAGCCGCAUAGGCAAAUAUGGACGCGCAUGACCGGAUUCUAUCCGAUCCAGAUAUCCUUGGGCAAGAUCUUCGGAUGCACUUCCGGAACACGUCGACGACUAGAUCAAGGAGGACCGAUCAGGCAGAUUGUCAUCGUGAUGCGAUGAGAACACUAGGACCGCCACCACACCGCUUCAUCCACCAUACCGACACCAUCGCCGCCAUGGUUGAGGACACUGGACCACGUUGCCCGCAGCCCACGCGGCCGGUUGAAGAUGAACGCCAGAUCAGGAUGGAUCCCGAUCCGCCAUCAUCCCCUUGCAUGUACGAUCCGCCAUCUCGAAGCCUGUCGUGCACCGCCGAUCCCGAACGACGUCGUCGUGGGGAUCCGCCACCACACCACCAUGACCCUCGCCGUGGUUUUCUACUACCGAUGUCAUUGUAUUGCAACAUCUUCAAUUCUUCCGCUGUCGCAUCGCGAUCUAGUUCUCUUCCUCCACUGAAGAAAUCACCUUGCACACCAACACGAACAACAGCCCAAACGACAGGGUUAUGACCAAGAAUAUGCAUUUUCAUCUUGUGCUUCCAACUAGCAAAGUUUGUACCAUCAAAAUAUGGACCUCUAGAGUGGUAAUUUCCCUCACUAGACGCCAUACUCUCCUAGGUUGUGAAACCAAUGCAAUGGAGACCAAAGCUAUAAUACCACUUGUAGGAUCCAAAGUAUGUAUAGAGGGGGAGGGUGAUUAUACUACUUGACCAAAUAAAAACCUAGCCUUUUCCCAAUUUUAGUUGUGGGCUAGUUUUAGGAAUUAUGACUAGUCAAGUUCACCCUGCACAUUCAUAUCUAAGAGUAUAACAGCGAAAAGUAAAGACAUGCAAAUGUAAUGUAGAGGGUAGGGAAAGGAAGAUCAAACGCAAAGGUUGACAUGGUGAUUUUUGGCAUGGUUACAAUAGGUUGCUAUCAUACAUCCACAUUAGUGGAGACUUCAACCACGGAGGGUAGCGUUUGUGAGAGUCCAUGGAGGGCUCCACCCACAAGGGGUCCACUAAGAAGCGGCCUUGUCUAUUCCACCAUGGCUUGCAUCCACGAAGGACUAGCCUCACUCGGGGUAGAUCUUCAUGAAGUAGGCGAUCUCCUUGCCCUUACAAACUUCUUGGUUCAACUCCACAACAUGAAGUAGGAAGCUCCCAAGCGACACCUAACCAAUCUAGGAGGCACCAUCCUCCAAAAAGUAAUAUAUGUGGUAGAACGAUGAACUCCUUGCUCUUGUGCUUCAAAAGAUAGUCUCCUCAACACUCAAUCACUCUCUCAUAGAUUUGGCAUGGAUUGGAGAAAUUGAUUUUGUGGAAAGCAACUUGGGGAGGCUAGAGAUCAAGUUUCAAAUGGAUGGAUUGGAAUAUCUUGAUCUCAACACAUGAGUAGGUAGCUCUCUCUCAUAAAAAUGGAUCUAUCAAGUGUGUGUGUGUUCUGAGUGCUUCCUCUCCGAGUGAGAGGCGGUGGAGGGGUAUAUAUAGGCAUCUCCCAAAAUCCAACCGUUACAACAUUAUUGCCCAACUCGGUGAAACCGAAAUGAAUCUCGAUGAUACCGAGUUGCACUAAAUGUGGCAACUUUUGAAUUCUCGGUGAGACCGAUAUAUGAAUCUCAAUGGUACUGAUACGAUGACUUAGAGCAGUUUCCAAUUCUUGAUGGUACCAAUUUCAAUCUAGAAAAUUCCAAUUAUUGAAAUAGAUACACCAACAAGUUGGUCACUCAUCUCGGUGGCACCGAUAUGAAACUUGGUGGUACCGAGAGAUUAGGGUUUGGCAAAGGAUUUGUCACUAGGAAAAUCGGUAGGGACGAAUGGAAAAAACUUAGUGGCAUUGAUUUUGGUGUGUAGGCUUUGGACAAAGAUUCUGUGAGAGAAUUGCUCAGUAUUUUUGGUGACUAUCUCUAAGCACUUGAGCAACCAAUUCAUCAUAAUACUUCACCGCGUUUUAACAAUAUUGGCUUUCCUAUGGACUCAAAAGUGAUUUAUCACCAAUAUAAAAUGUAGAAUCCUCUUGCUUGAAGCUUGGCUAAUCCUACUACUUUCCUUGCGUCAAUGGGUUUCUCCUCACAAUCCUUUAGCCAAUGCAUCUUUGAACUUUUCUAAAAUAUACUUGGAUAAGAUCAUUAGUUCAAUGAUACAUAUGUUUUUAUUAAUUACCAAAACCACCUUAGGGAGCAAUUGUACUUUCAGACGGAUGUCUCCUCCCUCGUCACGUGGUGCCCCUCUAGCGGUCCGCGAUGUGCCCUAGCCUGACUAUUUAAGCCGACUGCCUACACCAAAACCUACCCAUCCAUAUCCCACCCCUCUAUUCCGCCUCCGCCUUCACUUUCCGCUCAGAUCGAGAGUGGCCCCAUAGAUCAAUACGAAUGGGUUCCCGAAAAAGAACGUUCUUGUUGGGUAACGUAGCAUAAAUUCAAAAAAAUUCCUACGCAUAUUCAGAUCUUCCUAUGGUGAGACCACCAACGGGAGAGGGGUGAGUGCAUUUUCAUACCUUUGAAGAUCGCUAAGCGAAAGCGUUAUAUUUCCAACAUGCGGUUGAUGGAGUCGUACUCACAACGAUUCCGAUCGCGGUGUGAUUCCGAUCUAGUGCCAACUACGGCACCUCCGCGUUCAACACACGUGCAGCCCGGUGACGUCUCCCGCACCUUGAUCCAGCAAGGAGGAGGGAGAGGUAGGGGAAGAACUCCAGCAGCACGACGGCGUGGUGUCGAUGGAGAGAUGAGGUCUCCCGACAAGGCUUCACCAAGCACCGGCAAAGAGGAGGAGAAAGAAGGGCAGGGCUGCGCCGAGAGAGAGAGAAAAUCGUGUCCCAAACAGCCCCGAAACCUCAACUAUAUAUAGGGGGAGGGGGAGGGGGCGCAGCCCUUAGGGUUCCCACCCCCAAGGGGUGCGGAAGCCCCAGAUGGGAGAGGGGGCUGCGGCCAGGGGUAGGGAGGAGGGAUGGUGCGCACCCCUGGUGGGCCUUAGGCCCACCUGGCUUAKGGUUUACCCCCCUUCCCUCUCCCUUGCGCAUUGGGCUGAGUGGGGAGGCGCACCAGCCCACCUAGGGGCUGGUUCCCCCCCCCACUUGGUCCAUCUUACCUCCCGGGGUCGUUGCCCCCCUUCGGUGGACCCCCGGGGCCACCUCCGGUGGUCCCGGUUGUCCCGAUACGUUACCGGUGAUGCCCGAAACACUUCCGGUGUCUGAAACCAUCCGUCCUAUAUAUCAAUCUUUACCUCCGGACCAUUCCGAAGCUCCUUGUGACGUCCGGGAUCUCAUCCGGGACUCCGAACAACUUUCGUUAACCUCGAAUAACAAUUCCCUAUAACCCUAGCAUCAUCGAACCUUAAGUGUGUAGACCCUACGGGUUCGGGAGACAUGCAGACAUGACCGAGACACCUCUCCGGCCAAUAACCAUCAGCGGGGUCUAGAUACCCAUGGUGGCUCCCACUUGCUCCACGAUGAUCUCAUCGGAUGAACCACGAUGUCAAGGAUCCAAUCAAUCCCGUAUACAAUUCCCUUUGUCUGUCGGUAUAGAACUUGCCCGAGAUUCGAUCGUCGGUAUACCUAUACCUUGUUCAAUCUCGUUACCGGUAAGUCUCUUUACUCGUUCCGUAGCACGUCAUCGUGUGACUAACUCCUUAGUCACAUUGAGCUCAUGAUGAUGUUCUACCGAGUGGGCCCAGAGAUACCUCUCCGUCACACGGAGUGACAAAUCCCGAUCUCGAUUCGUACCAACCCAACAGACACUUUCAUAGAUACCCGUAGUGCACCUUUAUAGUCACCCAGUUACGUUGUGACGUUUGAUACACCCAAAGCACUCCUACGGUAUCCGGGAGUUGCACAGUCUUACGGUCGAAGGAAAAGACACUUGACAUUAGAAAAGCUUUAGCAUACGAACAAUACGAUCUAGUGAUAUGCUUAGGAUUGGGUCUUGUCCAUCACAUCAUUCUCCCAAUGAUGUGAUCCCGUUAUCAAUGACAUCUAAUGCCCAUGAUCAGGAAACCAUGAUCAUCUAUUGACUAACGAGCUAGCCAACUAGAGGCUUGCUAGGGACACAUUGUGAUCUAUUUAUUCACACAUGUAUUACUGCUUCCUGUUAAUACAAUUAUAGCAUGAACAAUAGACUAUUAUCAUGAACAAGGAAAUAUGAUAAUAACCAUUUUAUUAUUGCCUCUAGGGCAUAUUUCCAACAGUUCCCUCUUGGCACAAACGUCUGUGCAUCCAGUCCAAUACAUGUGCCAUGUCGUGUGCCACCACGGGUCACAAACGUCAUGAACAACAUGACCGUGCACGUUACUCCUGGCGGGAUCUAUACUGACCCCACAUAUCAAUACUAGUCUUUUAUAUGCACUUUGUCCUCACUCAUGCGCACCCGGGACCAACUUUCGGGUCAGUCACCAAUCCUAGAACUACUCCAAGCCAAACACGCUUAACCUAUGAGUUUUGUUCGAAUGGGCUACCGGAAAAGAAGGAUUUCCUUAUUGAUAUGAGUAGUCUAUCAUCCCUAAUAUGCCAUACUAUCAUAGCCAUCAACCAAUUUCCGCUAGUAGCUAUGCCCCCAUGCAGUCAGGCAACUUAUCUAACGCUGGAGCGCCGGCUGCAACUCUCGACAAGGUGUGAAGUCCGGAUAGCCGUGGGGCUACCUCCAGACGCGGUAGAUCCCGAGGAGAAGGAUGACGUGGGGACGCAAGGACAAUAGAUUUGCAGGUGGAGCACCAGGUGAUCCUCGAUUCCCUUCGGUCGAAAUCGUUGGCGAAGGCCAAGCGAUGUCUUCUCUAGGAGGCGGAGGUGGAGCACUCCGCGUACGUCGAGGAGAUACCCGCCGCUAUGGAUGAGGAGGAAGAGGAGGAGUCAGAGCACUCAUGUGCGCCUAUCUACCCGGCCCCUGGCACGGAUGUCGUGGACAUCUCGGACGAUCAAACUUAGUUUAGACGGGCAUGAUGUACGUAGUACAUUGAAAUUAUUUUGCUUGAUUUGUAUGAAUUUAGGGAAUAAAAUAUGAGGUAUUUGGAUGUAUGACAUCAAAUAUAAGAUGUGAACGGUCAGUACCCGCAGACGUGUCCUCACAUGUCUGCGCGAGCGUUUGAGGGGACGGAUUUUUCAAGUCUGGUUUCCCGGAUUUGUGGGGACGGAUCUCUAACCGUAUGACCAGAUGUUAGUUCAUACUAGUUGAGGUUGGCCAUAGUGGUGUUAUCUUAGCUGGUAACAUAUACUCGGGAAUAACAAACAUGAUGACGUGGCAGAGAAUUAAACCAGAAAAAGAAGGUUAUAGUGUUUUUCUGACUAUUAAACGAUUUUUUCAAUCACUGGACUCAGCAAUAUCGCUCGCCACCAAGUCUAAUACAAAAACUGGCAUAUCCUCCCCCCAAACAAAUGAGGAUUCAACCGAACCAUACCCAUGCAUCGCUAAAGUGUGCACGACAGUGUUACAAGUGUGCUUGCAAUGCAUAAAAUCAUGGCUUUCAAAGGCCAUUAUACAUAAACUCCUAGCAUCCCUGAUCAGGACACCAAUAUCUGAAAUUUUUUGCAUCCCCUUUCUUAAACGCAUGGACAAGUGUUUGGGAAUCAAACUCCACUAACACCCGAUGAACACCAAUGUCUGAAAAAUCUUCAAUUGCUGCUAAACAUGCCAAUGCUUUUGCAUGAAGCACAUUCUUCACGUACUUCAGUUUUCCCACCCCAGCACCAAUGGCGUCGCCCGUUUCAGUUAGCACCACAAACCCAUAAGCUCCAUCGCCUUGCUGCUUGUGAAACGUUGCAUCAAAAUUUAUCUUAACGAAUUUUUCGUACGGACGCUUCCAAAACUGUAUAUAUUAAAUGCUAUGUUACUUUAUACUCCCUCUAUUCCUAAAUAUAAGUCUUUUAAGAUAUUUCACUAGUAAUCUACAUACAGAGCAAAAUGAGUGAAUCUACGCUCUAAAGUAUGUCUAUAUACAUCCGUACGUAGUCCACUAAUGAAACUUCCUUAAAGACUUAUAUUUAGGAACGGAGGGAGUAUCAUGCAUGACAAUAAAUAAGAGCAGAUGUAUAUAGACAUACUUUAGAAUGUAGGUUCACUUAUUUUGCUCCGUAUAUAGUUUCGUAGUGAUAUCUCUAGAAAGACUUAUAGUAUUUAGGAACAAAGGGAGUACUUUUUUAUGAUACUCCUUAUUAGAGCAUGGUUAAUAGUAUAAUCAACUGCUGACUAUAAGCCAUCUUAUCGUCCAUCUCAUAACUAGCUUGUACAAUAGUUAGCUAUAAAAGAAUACUACUUUUAUCAUAUAUAGUCCACCUUUCAUUCUCACAAAGCACCUAUAAGCACGUGCUAGAGCUAGCUCUUCACGAAGAGCCCGUUUCCCUUCUCUCUCAUCCAACUCAACUAAAAUAUAGUAUUUUCAUUCUUACAGUCUGCUGACUGUACCUUAUUGUACUUGCUCUUAGGCUGGUCGUCAUGAGAGUAUCAUAAGUAGUAUCAUGCAUGUCAACUAGGCAUAUUUGAUGAUGUGGCAUGAAAUUAAAUGAGGAAAGAGAGGAUUGAGUAUCAUAAUAUGAUACCGUAUCAUAUUAAAUGUUGUUGUACUAUGUGUCAUGCAUGACAAUAAAUGAACUGUUCUAUGAUACACUAGUGGGGACAGGGCCUAUAGCCCCGGCCCGUAAGGGGCUUUAGUCCCGGUUCAUCAACCGGGACUAAAGGGGCGGGACUAAAGGCCUCACCUUUUCGUCCCGGCCCUCUUACAAGCCGGGACUAAAGGUGCUCCACGUGGGCGCCUCGUAGCGCCCCAGGGGCAGGCCCUUUAGUCCCGGUUCGUUACACGGACCGGGACUAAACAGUUUCAGAUUUUGCUUAUUUUGGGUUUUUUUUUGAAUGAAAUUAUUUUUGGGUUUUAGGGUUUUAGGGUUUAGGUGUUCAGGAGAUUAACGUGAUGCCUCGUUUGGUGUUCGGGAAUUAGUUUUCAUAUAAUUUAAAUAGAAAUAAUUAUGCAUAUAUAUAUAAGAUUAACUUAUCUUACAAGCGAUCAUAUAUAUACAAUUAUAUGGAGAUCUGAAUUAUCGGGACUAGAGCCCGUCUAUUCGAUUACAUGGACGAACAUCAGUAAUGGCCCUUAGCUACACUAAAUCGUCCUUUGUCUUCUAUAGCUUCCGUCCUCAGAAAUCCCGCAAGCUCCUCUGCAAUAGCAAUCGCGCGUUGUUGUGGUAGGACCUUCGUCCUCAUGGCCGUGUGCUAUAUAAAAAGAGGAGAUGAAUAUGAAUAUCAAUCAUGAUAACAAAGAAUGACGGGUAAAAAUAAAGGUGUGAAUGUUCAUUGCUUACGUCGAAUCUGUGAUCCUUGAACUCAGAGGUAAACGUGCGAAUGGUCUCGCAAACAUAGUAUCCGCAUAGAUGCGUUCCCCGUGGCUGUUGGUCGCACUUUACGAGAAUAGAAUAUAUAUAAUCAAAAUAAUAAUCUAGCAUCAUAAAUGUAUUGAAAAUUAAUAGAAGUAUAUCAUACUACUACUUACCUGAGCCGCUCUAAAGGUCAGCUUCUCAGGAAAGUUACCGGGAGUCACGCACUUGAACCUCUUCCAAACCCUGCCCGACAAGGAUAAUGAUUUGCUAAGUUUUUCAUUAAUUGAUAUAUCAGAAAAUCAUCGAAAGAGACCGAUAGAACGCAAGAAUGAUUAAAAUUACCCUUGGAGCAUGUCCUGCAGGCUUUGGAACUGUUCCAAGGGUCUCGAUAAUGGGUCGAAGGCAUCAAUUCUUCCCUUAUCAAUUUGAAUGUCCAACAGAAUCCAAUGGAAGCUGCAUAUAUAUAUAUAUAUAUAUAUAUAUAUAUAUAUAUGUGUGUGUGUGUGUGUGUGUGUGUGUGUGUGUGUGUGUGUGUGUGUAACUUAUCAAUUACACUUAUAAGUGAAUGGACACAACAGAGUAAAGACCAUCACCUGAAGUUGUAUGGAAACAGUAUGUGGUCACAGAAAUUUGAUCUCUUAGAAACCUUAGAAGGUUUUCCUCCGUCUCCUUGGGUUUGUCAGUUAGCGUCGCUAUAUGUAUUUUAUCUGGGUCAAUAAACCCAAUAUUUAGGAUGCUCUUACUUUUACACUCCAGAAUCUUCAUUCUGCAUAAUAGAGUACAAGUUAUAUAUAGACAAUGAAUUGAAAUAACUAAACAAGUUAUAUGUAGACAACGAAUUGAAAAACUUACAGACAAUAGCAACUCAUAAGCGAUUUGUCAAGGGCGUCGCCAUUGUACAUCUGGAAGAGUUCAUCAAAGUCGAUAUGGAUUUCUUCGGAGCGGUCGUAGUACUCCCGUGGGACACUCAACACGAUCAUCGUUCUCCCAUUCUUUGAUUCACUUAAGUACCAUUUAUGCAAGUAACGCAUAUUUGUUGGGAGAUCAUCUUUGCUGACCAAAGGCUCUCCCAUGACAAACUGUGGCUUAGGGGCUAUCACAGCCUUGGUUAUCUUGUCGUCUAGGGAAGCCAACAAAUCUUCAACCGCGAUACCACAUUCGACCGCCAACUCCUUUGCUCUUUCAAAAGCUUGCCCCUGCACCGGAGGGGGAACAUUCUCGGUUAACACCUUGAGGGGUGGGAUAGACUGUUUGGCCUGUUGUCCAAGUUGAGGAACGUCUGAUUUUUUCUUGCUUGUAGUUGAACUUGAUUUGCUCCCACUUGCACUUGCACGUGAGCUGCUCUUUUUCACUUCCUUCUGCAAUGUGCGUGUAUAGUCAUCAGGCUUAUGGUGUAAGUCAUACUGUGAUGGAAGGGUUAUGAAGUCUUUUGCCCAUGCUAUAUGCUUCUCGGUGUAUUCCGGGCGGGGCUCGGGUUCCUUCUUUUUCAUCUGCGCCUCAUGUUGUUCCUUUGUUAUCCUGGCGUUUUCCUCGGGGGUACGAUCAUAAGGUCUGAUAGGAAGAUUAGCAUGAGGUACCUUUGGGAGGGGCGACAGUUUGCGCUUUGGGGAGCUCCGUCGCUUAGAAAUCAUCGACGGAGCUUUCUUGCUGGCACGCUUCCGCUUAGUAUCAUGUGCGGGCGGCGGCGGAGACGGACGACCCAAGUCCGGCGGCGGUGAUCGAGAUGGACUCGUGUUGUGCUGGCCGAGGUCAUGUGGAGGGCUUGGAGGUAAUGGAGGUUUAGGUGACCUGCGACGACUCGGAGGCGGUGUUGUCCUUGGGGCCGAGCCUGGAAGCUUGAUGUAGUUCUUGUCCCAUAGGAUGACUCCACCCAGUACUUCUCCGAGUGUCCUCUCAUCUUCGGGUCCAGCUAUGUCGAGCUCCAUAUCAUUAAACCCCGUCAUGAUUUCAUCCACCCCGACUUUAGCAAAGCCAGCUGUAAUCUCACGACCAUGCCAACGUGCAUCAGGGCCAGAAGGUAAAGCUUGUCCGACGGCCACCUUCAUGGAUAUGUUCUUGAAUUUCUGAUGGAGUUCACAUGAUGUUGACUCCUUGAUUCCAUCCACGGGGUAGCCGGGACCGCCCUCUAUCAUUCUUCGUUCAUCGUCGGGCGGGGCCUCAGAUUCAGCCAUGCUGCUUUUCCGCUUAGAUGGGGCGCCGGUAAUAUCAAGUGGAAGAUCUUCCUGGCGCGGUACUCCUCUAAGCUCAUCAAUCUGCUUCUGUUGCUCGUUAAUCCUGGCAAGCAACUGGUUGAACUUGUCAUUCUCCUCAUCCUGCUGCCGCUUCUUUGCUCUCUCUCGGCUUCUGUAAGUGUCUUGGUCUCUGGCAAACCCAAGCCACCACGGGUAAGAUGGACCGAAGCCUCGCGUUCAUCCUCCAUGUUCGUCAUUGCCGAGGACCAGUGUGAGCAAAUCUUUAUCUCUAUCUGCAGUGAACUUUCUUUGUCCCUCCUUAAUUUCUUUCACUAUCCUUUUCCAAUUCUCCCUGGGUAUCCUAAGACCGUCAUUGCAGAUGAGGUCCCCUGUUUGUUCAUCGUACGACCCACCAUGCGCAAGGAACCAAUUUCUUGCUCUCAAUUCCCACUCAUCACGGAGUGGUUCAGGUACGAUGCCUUUACCUAGCAGAUCUUGCUCUUUCUUAUCCCACUUUGGGAUGGCAGUCUCAUAGCCCCCUGGCCCCAGCUUGUGGUGAUAUUUCUUCUUGUCGGCAUUUAUCUUGUUCUUUUCUGAUAAUGCCUGGGCAUCUUCUGACUCCUUGUACUCUUGAAAUGCCUUCCAGUGAUUCGCCUGCUUGGCUAGAUACCCCUCGAAUACUGGCACUUUCUUUGUCUUCAGAUAGUUUUUCCAUAGCUUCUUCUUCCAGCUACGGAACAGUUCGGCCAUCUUCUUUAGAGUCCAAUGCUUGACUUUGGCCCUCAUUUUGUCUGUGGCGUCUUCAUUCUCACAUUCUGGCAGGUUGAAAUGUGACAUGAGAUCAUUCCGAAGAUUAUCUUUGUACCUUUCGGCGACAUAGUCACUAUCGGCUGCCCCUUUGCGCUUGUUCCACUCCCGAACGCUGAUCGGGACGUGAUCCCUAACGAGAACUCCACAUUGCUUCUUGAAUGUGUCACCAACAUUCUUAGGAAGCUUGGGUUCGCCCGUAGGAAAUAUCACCUCAAAUGUGUAAUGCGUUCGUGCAUCCAACUUUCUAGUCGGGCCUCGUUUCGUAGUUUUGCUCAAUGUGGAGGCCUAAGAGGGAGAAACAUUCAUCAAAUGAAUGUAUAUGUAUACAAUAUAGAGCUAUCUCCAAUAUUUUUCACAUAUUACAAGUGAUUGUCGAACUUUAUAUGUAUACCUCGCCGGACUUCUCCUCUUCACCGGCUUCUCCAUCAGUGGAGCUAUCACCUUCUCCGUCAUUGGACCUAUCUCCUGCCCCAUCGGCUUCAUCUUCGUGUCGCUCGACCUCCAUUCCAACGUCCUGGUUUAGAUAUGACGACGGAGAUUCAGCUGGUUCAACGUCGGGGCCGUCUUUGAUUAUAUCUUCGAGAAGUUCUUCCUCUUUGAGGUUCCUGAUAUGUGGAUCCAUAGUUCUGCAAAAAACGGAUUCUCUUAACCUUUGUACCAAAAAAGAAUUAUUUUAUCAGGAACUCCGUUCCAAAACAACUUAAGUCCCGGGUCGUGGCUCCACCCGGGACUCCUAGAUUUCUGCAUAGUAUUCAAAGUAGGAGCAUUCAGUAAGCAAUACCAAAUCGUAAAAUAAAGUAGUAUUCAAAUUAGCAUGCAUUCAAUUAUAAGCUAAUACAUCAUCACUUUUGUCCGUACAUCGUCGAAUAUUAUCACUAAUACUCCUCGAAUACUAUCAUACAUAUAGCAUCACUAAUACAUCUAGAACUGUAGCACCCGACGGGUAUCGGCGCGGGCGGUGGACGCCCAAAGAGAAGGAACCAUCACAGGAUCAUAGCUCCAGUGAGAUCCCCGAAGAACCUGCCAGGUAUGCUCGAACCUGCCGUCCAACGCAACCAUGUAGCGACGGACGUGCUCAUCCUCCUCGCUGACACGGUGACGUACCACCUCUGCGGUGUCUGGAAGCCUCGGCACCCUCACUGGCCCACGCGACCGCCACCAAACAAGGAUCGGGUCAACGACGGGCUGGCUCCUCACCAACCUACGCCCCCCGGAAGGUAGCACCUCCCAAUACCAGCCGGGCGGAGCCCAGUCCCGGACAGGGCCCCUCUGAUCAAGCAGGUGUCCUCCGCCGAGUCGACGACGAGGAUGCGGGAUAGGCAUCGUAAAAUGAACUAAAAAAAUAAACUAGUUCUAUUAAUUUUCUUGCUAAAAAUAAACUAAGAAACACUAUUAACACUUAAGCAUAUACACUAUACAAUAGCAAAAUUCCUCCUCUUCUUACUUUCAUUUUUCUUCUCCUCCUCUUCUUUUCUUCUCUUCUCCUCCUCUUCUUUUCUUCUUUUCUUAUACACUAUACACUAUAUACACUAUAGCAAAAUUCCUCCUCUUCUUAUACACUAUACACUUAAGCAUAUACACUAUACAAUAUACACUUUUUCUUCUUUUCUUCUCCUCCUCUUCUUAUUUUCAUUUUUCCUAAUCUUAUUUUUUUAUUUUUGUUCAUAUUUCUUCUUCUUGUAACCCUAACCUAAUUCUAAAUAUUACUAACCCUAAUAAUAUAGCACAAACCUAAUAACAGUAGGAAUUAAAUGACAAAAAAAUCUUUUACUUUUUCUUCUUUUCUUCUCCUUUUUCCUCUUUUCUUCUCCUUUUUCUUCCUUUCUUCUCCUUUUUCUACUUCUCUUCUCCUUUUUCUUCUUUUCUUCUAUACUGGCCGGAGUGUUGGGGAGGAGGGGGUGGGGGGCUUACCGGCCGGAGGUGUCGACGGCGCGCGGUGAGGAGGACGGUGCGGCGGCGAGGAGGACGGCCGACGGCGAGGAGGACGACAGGCGGCGGCGGGCAGGACGACGGGCGGCGGGUUAGUUCGUCGUUGUGCCGCGCCGGGCAGGAGAACGAGAGGAAGAAGAAGAGAAAUGGACGAAUUGGGUUGGAAAUUUUCAAAGUCCCGCUUAAAUAGGUCGAUCUAUAGUCCCGGUGCGUGGCACGAGCCGGGACUAAAGACCCCCUUUAGUCCCNUCUUUUUGCAUAUUUGAGAAUUUGACAAAACUAUGAUAAUGAAAAGUGUUUCAAAAUUGAAUAAAUAAUGCUAAAACUAUUUUUCUAUUUUCAUAAUUAAUAAUUUUUACAAUCCAAACUAUUAACUUAUUUUGUUAUUUUCAAUUAAAAACUAUGUUUAUUAAUUUUUUUUUUGCAUAUUUGAGAAUUUGACAAAACUAUGAUAAUGAAAAGUGUUUCAAAUUGAAUAAAUAAUGCAAAAAUAUUUUUUAUUUUCAUAAUUAAUAAUUUUGACUAUCCAAACUAUUAACUUAUUUUGUUAUUUUCAAUUAAAAACUAUGUUUAUUAAAAAUUCUUUUUGCAUAUUUGAGAAUUUGACAAAACUAUGAUAAUGAAAAGUGUUUCAAAUUGAAUAAAUAGUGCAAUACUAUUUUGUGUGUUCAAAAUGCACCAUUCAAAGGCACAUCACAAAUUUUCAACAAUUUCUGACUUCAAUUGGUAUAUUUCGUGCAUUUACUUAUUAUUUUUGAGCUAGUUGACCCUGAAAUUGAAAAACACUACAAAUAAACUCUGAAAAUGUUGAAAGUUAGCAUGCUAUCAUAAUUUCACCCACAUAGCAUGUGUUAAAAAGUUGAGAGGGCUACGACAAAAACUGGAUGUAGUUCGUGUACAAAACUGACAAUCUCUCUUGAAGUAGCAGCGUUUCGAACGAGAACUCAUCUCUUACAAAGGGAUUUCAUUUUUUUGAACUUAUUUGAACUCCAUACUUUUUGUGUGUUCAAAAUGCACCAUUCAAAGGCACAUCACAAAAUUUCAACAAUUUCUGACUUCAUUUGAUAUAUUUCGUGCAUUUACUUAUUUUUUUGAGCUAGUUGACCCUGAAAUUGAAAAGCAUUAUAUAUGGUGGACACUAGCUCACCUGAUUUUUCAACCGUCGAUGAUGGUCGCUACUCCGACUUCCCCUAGUGCAUAACCAAUAUCUAGCACAAGGAGAAGAAGGAGAAGCGACCCCCACAACAAAAGUGGUUCCGCGGCACGCCACGUGGUUCCGCUGCAUGCCACGUGGGACUAAUGGUCUUUCAUUUUUAAAUGAUUGCUUUAAUCAAAAACAGAUCUGUUACAAAAGGGAUUUCAUUUUUUGAACUUAUUUGAACUGAAGACUUUUUGUAUAUAUAUGUGGUCGAAAUGCAUGAUACCAUGAAGUUAGAAAGGGCUAAACCAUUCAAAAGUAGCAAAUGAAGUUAGAAAGGGCUAAACCAUUCAAAUUUGGAAACUAUAAUGGCACAAACAGAAACUAGACAUAUAUAAAUUGGUCCAAGAAGUACAUGAUACUAGUCCAAACAGUACAUAAUAAUAGCUACAAUAGAUAUAUAUACAAGUGUUCGACGUUAAGAACACUACUCGUCUGAAUCAUCUGAAUCAGAAUGUCCACCUUCCUCGAGGUGACGCUGGCCAUAGUGGACGACUCGAAUCUUGCGGUACAACUCGUAUGACACAUAUGCAUCUUUUGCUGCAUACUCAAUGUUGAUAUCAUCAAGUGGGCCCUUCUCCCAAAGUCUGUGCUGAGACUUUGGGGAACUGGUCUUCAUAUCAGCAUAUGAAUCGUCGAUCAAGGCAACUGCCAUAUGAGCCAUCGAAGUCCUGUCAUGUCGAAGCCUGAAUAUCGUUUGGAGAUCAACGAGGCAACCAACUGGUAUCUCAAUACCGAAGCUGUGCCUCAUCUUCAGCUUGUCGUUCCUUAUGUCAACGGAAGCAAAAGUGAUGUCGCUGCGAAGGAAGUUCAUGAGUUCUGGACAAUGCUUGUCACUCCUGCAACAGAAACAAAUUAAAAUGGAACAAAUGUUACAUACUGCUGCAAUAAGGAAACAUGUUUCACUACAACUAAAGAGAAACUUAUCUUUAGGAUUCAAAUAGAACAUAUGCAAUGGAACCUAGAGAGAUCACUAUAGCUAUCCAAUGGAACCUAAAGAGAUCACUAGCUAUAUGCAAUUUUCAUGACUAUGACAUAUCAUAUUGCUAUCCAAUGGAACCUAGAGAGAUCACUAGCUAUAUUCAAUUUUCAUAACCUUGGAUCAAAGAACACCGCAUAAAAUUGUAUCACUACAACUAUGAUUUCAAUGGAACAUAUUGAACCAAUCAGAUUUUUCAGAUUAUGGAACAUUAUUCCAAUCAGAUUGUGUUCCCUUCAACUAAUCAAAAUUGUUUCACUACGACUAUUUGAAGCGAACCAACUAUGAUUCCAUUGCAACAUAUUAAACACUAGUUNAGGGUUCUAAUAUGAUUUUUCAGAUUAUGGAACACUAUUCCAAUGAGAUUGUGUUUCCUUCAACUAAUCAAAAUUGUUUCACUACAACUAUUUGAAGGGAACCAACUAUGAUUCCAAUGGAACAUAUUAAACACUAGUUGAUUCUAAUACGAUUUUUCAGAUUAUGGUACACUAUUCCAAUGAGAUUGUGCUCCCCUUCAACUAAUCAAAAUUGUUUCACUACAACUAUUUGAAGGGAACCAACUAUGAUUCCAAUGGAACAUAUUAAACACUAGUUGAUUCUAAUACGAUUUUUCAGAUUAUGGAACACUAUUCCAAUUAGAUUGUGCUCCCCUUCAACUAAUCAAAAUUGUUUCACUACAACUAUUUGAAGGGAACCAACUAUGAUUCCAAUGGAACAUAUUAAACACUAGUUGAUUCUAAUACGAUUUUUCAGAUUAUGGAACACUAUUCCAAUUAGAUUGUGCUCCCCUUCAACUAAUCAAAAUUGUUUCACUACAACUAUUUGAAGGGAACCAACUAUGAUUGAAACAAAUAAAUUUACAAUGUCAUUAUCUUGAAUCAAAGAAAGCCUCAAAACUUACUUCGCCCAUUGGAAGAUCAAGACAUGGCGUUGGAAGCAUAGCUGGAUGACGGCAACACCGCGUUGAUCGGCUGUGUACUCCAGAUCAAGCCACAAGAACUUCUCAUGAUCCGCUGCGUGGUCAAACCAUUUUUCCUUCAACUGUUGAAGAAAAAACGGCACCUCGUUGCUCAGGUUCGUGUACACGACAUCGAGCAUCGUCGUGCCAUGUGCGAGCACCUUACGAAAGCUAGUUGGCAUGGUGGAAGAACAGAGGAGAAGAACAGAGAGGGCGACGCGAGAGAGAAGAAGAACCGCGAGAGAGAAGAAGAACAGCGAAAUGGCGACUGUACGCUUCGGUUCAUGCUUUUCAUCGCCCGAAACGACGCGGGAUGCAAACCGUUUGGGCCUCUAGUCCCGGGUUGAGCCACCAACCGGGACUAAAGGGGGAUACCAAAAGGUUGCCACCACUACGGCAGGCCACGUGUUAGGCCUUUAGUCCCGGUUUGAGCCACCAACCGGGAGGGGAUACCAAACGGUUGCCACCACUACGGCAAGCCACGUGUUAGGCCUUUAGUCUCGGUUGAGCCACCCAACCGGGACUAAAGAGGUAUACCAACGGUCGCCACCACUACGGCAGGCCACGUGUUAGUCCUUUAGUCCCGGCUUGACCCACCAACCGGGACUAAAGGGGGAUACGAACGGUUGCCACCACCACUGCCCGCCGCGUAGCCCUUUAGUCCCGGUUUGCGACACGAACCGGGACGAAAGGCUCCUUACGGGUCAGGACUAAAGCCUCGAGGGAGGCAUUGAGAAUUGGGGCGACGUGGCCGGGUCUUUAGUCCCGGCCCAGAGGCAGGCCGAGACUAAAUGGUCCAGGCCAAAAGCCCGUUUUCCACUAGUGAUACUAGCACAUGAUACUAUGCAUUACGGAUGUAGUAUCAUACUCUAGUAUCAUAUGCAUGAUACUAGUAUAUGAUACUCCCCGUUGCAACCAGCUUUAUGAGUAUCCUGAUUCAUUCGUUACUUGUGAAUUGUGCGUGCAAAUUACUCACUCUUCACGACACGGUGGUUGCUCCGAGCGAGACCCUGACAACCGCCGUACUGAAGCACGCGGAUAAAACCACCGAAGCCACAAGCCCACAAAGGAGCGUGAAGAGCCACCGAGGGAAGCAGAGAGGAGGGGGAGCGAGCGAGGCGCAAUAAACGUGAGAGCGGAUCAGAGCGAGCGAUAGCCCCGAAGGAAUCCCCAAUCGGGAGAGGCCCGUUCGUUCCCAAUCCUCCGCGGCAAUGUUCAAGGCGCAGCUGAACCAGCUGUGCCAGCAGCGGCGGUGGCCGGCGCCGGACUACGCCCACCGGAGCGAGGGCCCGGCCCACCUGCUGAGGUUCCGCGCCACCGUAGCCGUCAACGGCGAAGUGUACCACUCGCCGGACGACGGCGGCGGGUCCGGCACGGCCAAGGAGGCCCAUAACCUCGCCGCCAAGGCCGCCUUCGAGCGACUCUCCGCCCUCCCGCCUCCUCCCCCGCCGCAGUCCGGUGAGCGCCAGAUCCCCUCAGUUCCCUAUUAGCGGUUGGUUACAUCUGCGGCCUUACUUGGGCGAACACUUCGUGGUCGGAUUUUGGUUCCCAACUUUCAGCUUCAGGUUUUGUUCCCGAGUAGCGCCUUAUACGUACUUGCUUGAUUCAUGGACGGCUGUUGGUUCAGGAUUCAUAAGUGCAGUUAGCGUCCUUGUGGUUACAUCUAGUUCAUGUCCACAUUAGGGGCAUUUUCUUUUCUUUUCAUCUGGGCCUGAACAAAGUGGUAUCAUCAACUGUAUAAAGGCUUAAGCCAUUUUGAUAGCAAUUGAGAUUCUAGUAAGAACGGUUAGUUUAUUGGCUAUUGAUUGGGGUUCUAGUAGAAAUGGAUAGUUUAUUGCUAUUGAACCACUAUGAGCCAACUUACACUGGUAUUAUUAUCUUGCAAAAAUAAAACUUUACUGGUAUUAUCAUCACAGACAAAUGGAAAUGAUGCUCAGUUUUACCGGCAGUAGUACAAUGCAUUCAUAUCGGUAGAUAGACUCACCAUCACCAGCACACGAUAUCAUUUGAUUUGGUAUUGAUGGGGAGUUACUGCAUUCAUUUUCUCAAGGACACCCUGUUUAUUCAGUAGCUAUCUUAUUCUGAAAAGGUAGAAGUUUGGUGACGCUAUAAUGAACGUAGUGAAUCACAAUUCAAUUCAAAAAGAACAUAGUGAAUCUGCUUGGUGGAGCGUGUACAUAGUAGCUACAGAGAAGCUGUGUUGAACUCACUGGCUUUUCCAUGUUUGAUUUUAACGUGGGUAUAUAACUGCCUACUUUUGGAUAAGUUCUAUCUGUGGACUAGUAAGAUCCUUAUCGUAACUGACAGAAACAUCGAGGAUAUACAUGCUCACCUAUCAGUAUCUUUUUUUAAAGAUUCCACAUAUAAAUGCCAACAAAUAUUAUCAGUGUUCACCUAAACCCCAUAUUGUACCGUAGUUUAUCCCUCCCGGAACCACACACAAAAUUAUUUGCUUAUGAUGAGUAAAAAAGUUGCACAUCUGUUGAUACUUAAUUUCCUGUUCUUGGAAGAAAACAAUGCAAAUUUAAUUGUUCUUUUUAUUCUUUCUAUAUCAUAUCUGUUGGCAUUUACUACCUAAGUAACUAUAUAAAUGCCUCUCAUCCCUCAAAUUGAUUUGAUUUUUUCAUCUCUCAUGCUGCUGUGAAGUUCUUCAUCUUGCCACUAAAAAGGUUCUUGAUAUUCUUUCACACUUGUUUCUUCUAUAUUUGUGGUACUAACUGUUCUGUACAUUGCAGAAACGCAACUUCCCUACAAGUCCCAGUUGCAAGUUUAUGCUCAGAAGAGACACAAAGAUUUGCCUUCGUAUGACACCAUUCGGAAUGGUCCACCGCAUGCACCUCUGUUCAGGUCUACAGUGACCAUAGAUGGGCGCACAUUUGAAAGUCCUCAAGACUAUCACACAACAAAGGAGGCAGAAUUUGCUGCUGCAAGAGUGGCUUUAAUGUCAUUAUCUCAAGAAGCAAACCCAUCAGAGCAAAUGCUGGUUGGUUGCACCUAUUUUUAUUCUUAUGGAUAGCUUUAAUUUGCCCCAACUCACCUAUGCAUCAGCAUUAACAUCCUUCAGCAUUUAUCUGUAUUAUUAGUAAACAUGUUCUCCCAUUUUACAAUAUUCAAGAACUGAGUAAAAACUGAAUUGAAAUCAUUGACUUCGUUUACAUUAUGCAGAAACAUUGUCAGUUUUCGUCUGACAAACUACUCUACCUUUUGUAGGUUGGAUCAGCUUCAUGUAUUUCUUUGCCAGGAAUCCAGAUUAAUCAUAAGCUUCAAUUGCAAAUUUAUGCUCAGAAGAGAGGAAAACAGCUGCCUAAGUAUCGCCGUACCCAGGAAGGUCCAUCUCAUGCACCUCUGUUCAAGUCAACAGUGACCAUAGAUGGGCAAACAUUUGAAAGCCCACAGUAUUGUCAGACAAUUAAGGAGUCCGAAAAUGCUGCUGCAAAUCUUGCUCUGAUGUCCUUAACUCAAGAAGUAAGCUCAGAGGAGCAAUUGCCAGUUGGUCCAGUAUUUUAUUUAUAGAUAAUUUUCUUACCAUCGCCUCACCUAUUUAUGAUAACUAAUCUAAUCACCAUAAUUUAUUUGUAUAACUAAUAAACGUAUGUUCCAGUUUCCCAAAUUGAAUAUAUUAUUAUUUAACACCUAGGAGCAAUGCAAAACUAUUUGUCACGGGUGCGCAUUGGAACAGUGUGGUACUCCUUCCGUUCCAUAAUAAAUGUCGUGGUUUUAGUUCAAAUUUGAACUUGAACUAAAAUGUUCAAAUUUGAACUAAAACCAUGACACUUAGUAUGGAACGGAGGGAGUAUAUUGGAUGACUUGGCUUUUGUAGUGAAAAUUUAAGAAAGCAACCUUUUAAGGGAAACACAGGACAAUGGCUUUUAAAUGGAAUAGUUACGGAAGGACCUGCUAUAGUUUCUAAUAGCUUGCACAGCGAGAAAUACUUCUGUAAGGUAUUUACUGUAUUUGUAAGUACUAAUUUGAUGGACCGCUCUAUCUUUUGUAGGUUCAAGGAAUGCAAUAUAUAAAUCCCCGGCAUGAAUUAGCUGAGAAAGAAGGCUGUUCCUUGCCUGUUUAUAAUACUUCAUCAGAUGAUUCAAAAAAUUCCUCCAUCUCCAAAUCAACCGUGCACACUCAAGGCGGAAGUUUUCAGGAGGGACCUGGUAACACCAAGAAGCAAAAACAGAUGACUGUUGCUGAGCUUGCUUUUCAACCUUCCAAAGACAGUAAGUAAUUUAAACUCUUGAAAUGAAGCUUCAUAUUGGGAAUGAACUUGACGAGUAGUUUUUGGUGGUUUAUCAGAUUAGAGAAAUUUUAAGAUGUCCCCAAAUGGUUAGGGACUGCCAAUUAAUAUUGAUCUAAUGGCUAGGAUGAUGUAUUUAUUACCUUAUAGAGGGUAAGAUGUCCCUUUGACCUUAUCAAGGGUAAUGUUGUCUCUCCAAUAGUUUACUCCACGUUAAUAUGUAGGAUUUAAAUGGAAAUCAUUAUGUAGAAUGGACAUGUUGAUACGCAUUAUUAUGGCAUAAUCAAAUCAUUAAUGACAUCAAUGUUUGACAUGCAGACCAUAUACGUAAUAGAAUGAAUUAUCACCUUUUUUAGUUCGUCCAAAACUAAUUGAUUGAGAGAGAAAAUAAUUAAAUUUAACAAAUGUUUUGAACAAACAUUUCUGAAUGUAACGAAUUACCAUGGUUUAUUCAUACCUUGAAAUUUAUAUGUACAAUAUGUUAUAUUUCUAAUCAACUGUUGUAUGUAUUCCAAAUUCAUCAUUUCAUCGAGCUAUUUACAAAUUCGUGUCAUUGAAAUAGCUUGUCAAAAUUACAGCUUCAAUUUGGUUGCUCGACGACUUUUUGCAUACCAUCUUGGGUACAAUUUAUUUAAGGAUACACCUCUAAUGUAGAAGUAAUCCAAAUAUAUGUGUGUUAGUUAGGAUAAGUGAUGUUGCCGUCAGGCUUGCCGGUGAUUGAUGUACUAGUUGGAGUCUAGUACGAUUAGGAGUCUAGCCAUUGUGUACGUGUAGGUAGCAGGUUGAGUCCGAUUAGGAUUCUAGUAAUCAAUGCACGAGUAGGAUUGGAAUUGGUGUUUGGAGUCGGUAGUCUAGCCUGGUCCGGUUAAUGUAUAUAUAUAUAUGCAGCGUUGCGUGAGUUUUGUAACAUCGAAUUGAGAGAAAAAGGAGAAAAUAAGAAAAGAGGCAAAAGAGGGCACGACAAGGGCCCUUUGACAAAGUUUUUUGUGAUCGCGUGUGUUCGUGAUUUGUUGAUGUAAUCGAUCCUAUGGGCGAAAAGCCAACAAUUGGUAUCUAGAGCAAGGUCGAUUUGAAUCUGCGCUUGCCCUGGGGUGGCGACCUGACUAGCGCCUCGGGGUGGGUGAUAUAGUUCUUGCUGUAGCGACGAGGAAGAGCGGGCGCUAAAGUCGUUGGGGGUGCAACGACAUGGAGGAUAAGACAAUCGUUGAACGGAGCGAUGACGAGAAGACAGUGAGGGUGUUGUGGCAAGCGAGGUGACGGGUGAUUGUCGUUCAGUGGAACUACUUGGAGUAGGGCGACAUGUUGUUGUCGGCAAGGUGAUGGUGAUCCUUGAUGGUUGUGGAGGUGUUGAAGUUGUGGCACUGAGAAUAUCAUCGAGGUCAUCAUUGGGAGUGCAAGAAGACGGUAAAGUUGUGUGCCGUUGUCAAGGGUGUGCACGUGAGUUCUUGCAAGAUGUGUUCAAGAGCUCGCAGGUGCGAGACUUCUGCUGCAGUUGAGAUGCGUCAUUGGUUGAGGAGAAUUAAGAGGUUGAGUGGAUGGAAAAAGGAAGUUGUGCCCUGCGUUUCUGUCUCUGAUCAAGGAGUUCCAGCGAGUUCGUAUACGGGAAGUUGUGUUGCGCUGUACGGCGAGUUGUGUUGCCGCUGGACCAGUCGGGUUGCCUCGAGAUCGUGCGCUCGAUCUUGGGCAAAGUUAACAAGUUCUGGCGAGUUCAUGUAUGGAAAGAUGUGUUGCGCGUACAUGACGAGUUGUGUUGCUGCCGGACGCGAAGUGUUGUUCGGUAAGAUGCGUCACCAACAACAAGAAUAAGGUGUGGAGUUGGGUCCAAGUGUUGGUCCGCGAGACGUUUGUCAUGGUCGAGGGACUCUAGUGAGGUGCACUUCAAGGCGCGAAGAAAUGAGAUGUCACGGUCGAGGAGCUCCAAUGAAGGUGUAUCUCCAAGGGGUGAAGACGUGCGCGGAGACAAGAUGGCGGGUGGCUAUCUGCAUGUCUCAACGAGAAGAUGAAGACCAACGUGAAGAUGGAUGCGAGCCAGUCAAGAUGAGUUCCUGCAUGAGGCUAUGCGUUUAGUCUACAUGUGGCACGCUAAGAUGCGGCAGCGUGGCUGGUAGUCCGGAUAAUCGUUGAUGUCAGUUUUCAAGUCGGCAUAAAAGAAGUAUGGUGAUGAAGUGGUGUCCAUCAUUGCAAGAAGAGAGAAGUUGUGAAGAGAUGAGGUGGUCAUCGGUGUGUUAGAUCCAGUUAAGAGUUGAUAGUUUGGAUUAGGGGGUGAAUAUUGAAGUAAUUCAAAUAUAUGUGUGUUAGUUAGGAUAAGUGAUGUUGCGGCCAGGCUUGCCGGUGAUUGAUGUACUAGUUGGAGUCUAGUACAAUUAGGAGUCUAGCCAUUGUGUACGUGUAGGUAGCAGGUUAAGUCUGAUUAGGAUUCUAGUAAUCAAUGUACGAGUAGGAUUAUAUAUAUGCAGCGUUGCGUGAGUUUUGUAACAUCGAAUUGAGAGAAAAAGGAGAAAAUAAGAAAAAAGGCAAAAGAGGGUGCGACAAGGGCCCUUUGGCAGUUUCUUGUGAUCGUGUGUGUUCGUGAUUUGUUGAUGUGAUCGAUCCUAUGGGCGGAAAGCCAACAUCUAAUUAGUAGUUACUUGCAAGAAAGUUUGUCAAUCAUACGCCACACCUGCUAUGAAGAUCAUACAUGACAUGUACCGCACAGCCUUUCUCAGUCAACAGCUCAGAUUUUAAACCUUAUCUUACCUCUGGUGAGGUAAGGUGGAGCAUCUUAAAAGUGCUCAUCAGAUCUUUAGCUCCUUAAAAAAAAAGGAAAUUCCCGAACCUAGUUGACAGUAGUACUUCUCAAUAAUCCUACCCCUAGAACAGAAAUCCCCUAAAUGACAGUAUUACCACCAGCCUAUGCCUAAUGCAUGUCCUUCACUAUGAAAAUGCUAGAGUCAAUAACGAGACUGAUCUGAUUUCUCUAAGCAUAGCCUCAAUAGUCUCCCAACCAUUUUUUUUUUGCUAUACUUCUACUUGUGUACGAUGCUUUGAAAUUAUGCUCUGUAUAUUGAAACGUGGAUUAUAUUUAAAGGCUUUUGUAUUCAAUUGUUCCCUCUACCCUUUUUUCUCUUGAAUGCACCUCUCUUGGAACUUUUGCGCAUGGUCACCAACAUAUUUUCUUUCUUCUAGGGUCACAGAUGCAGCAAGGAACUGAAACCCUCGCUGAGCAAGAGGUCAAGAUUGUAGAAUCUGAUUCUUCAUUGCCCCGGGUGUCAAUGGUAGCAAGUGAUGGGCAGAAUGACUCUAAUGCUAGUGAGUUUUAAGCCUACGUUCCUAUCUUUUUUGAAGAAAAAGCUUCCUCUUUCUUUCUGUACAUACUAUUGACAUGUGAUGAAACCUCAGUAGACUUCUUCUGAACCAGCUUCUGGUUCACGUACCUGUUUAAAAUUUGAUUUCCAUAAGAAACACAACCCAUAUAACAUAAUUUUUAGUGACAAGUAAACUGCAGGUGCUGUGUUUACAUACUAAUAACAUGUGAAUUUCAUAUUGUUAUCUAUCAUGCAUGUUUCACAAGUUCUCUGUUCUACCAUUUGCAUGAGCUUAAUUUAUGCUGCUUUAACUUUGAAGACUUCAGAGUUUGGACAGUCCACUGAUCACGCAAUCGUAGAUCAUGUUUUGGACAUUGUAGCAAUCUAAAUGAACUAUACCUUUCUUUUGAUUGUUGUCUUGUAUAUAUAUUUGAUAUCAAUGAUUGUGUUUCUCUUUGUAUUUAUUUAUCUUCAUUGUUCCAUCCAUUGACUCAUAUGGUUUGGCCAUUUUGCAGCUGCGCAUGAUUCUUGCUCUGUUAACUCCAGUAUUGAUCUUCCUGUUGCUGACAAAACACGAUCUCUUGAUGAACCUACCCAAUCUGGUAGUAUGGAAAAUAAUAAACCAGCUGCCCCAGAGCCAAGCAUCAAGGCUGAAGUAAUGGACUUGACACAAGAAUGCACGCCACCCCCGUCAGUUUCAGCACCACCAACUGAUACUCUCAACCUUGUGGCAACAACAGGUACAGUGCAUGUUGCUUUAGAAUCUCUUGUUGAAACUAUCCAGCCUGUAAAGAUGGAAAAUGAUAAACCAGCCAUUCCAGAGUCAAGCACCGAGGCAGAAGUAAUGGACGUUGCAGAACCAAGUGCUGAGGCUGAAGUAGACAUUCCAGAGCCAAGGAUCAAGGCUGAAGUAAUGGACGUUGCAGAACCAAGCGCUGAGGCUAAAGUGGACGUUCCAGAGCCAAGCAUCAAGGCUGAAGUAAAGAGCUCAACACCAGAACACACAUCUCUCCCUUUGGGCUCGACGCCGCCAACCAAUAUUUCCAACCUUGCGGCGAAAGCAACUGCAGUGCCUGAUUCUGCCCGAUGCGGUUACUCGAUGUCAACUAACCGAAUCCAGGUCUACCCAUGCCGUCCUAACCUGGAAUUACCAGAGGGGGCGACCGUGCUUCCCUUUAGCGACGACAAGUGGGUGGCCGUGAGCCUACCUUUUCCUUGAACCCUGAAGGUAUUCUUAGCUUACUGUCCCUUGUUUUAUCGGUGUCAUUUGCUCUGUCCUCGCUACUGAAGUUGUUUCCCGUGUCCAAACUCAAAAUGCAGGUGGUAGCACCACAGCUUUAGGUCCAUAAGAGAUGGUGCUUGCCAAUGCACAUGUUAUGUCGUUGUAGGUUGUAGUUUCACCCCGAGUUUAGUUGGACGCGCCUCCCUCAUGUCCUGCAGUAAGCUAGCGUAUCGUAUUCUUAAUUAUUCUCUUGGGACAUGGUUAGACUGAUGUAAGUUAUGCUAUCUAGCCGAUGGUACUGAGCUCGACCAUCUUGCUGAACCUGAAUUUCCGUUGUUACCAAGUUGUCACUUUUAAUUUAGAAGACUGUGAACUUUAUUGGGACCAUUCGGUGUUUUGAUCUUCAGCUUGCCUGCUGGUCGGCUUUCUCUUUUGUUUAGAUGGGCCUCUGAUUGCUGAUAUGCCGGUCGGCCUUUGCUCCAUCGAGGCAUGUUGCACAAUCUUCUUUCUUUCAUCGCAGUAUUUUGCAUUCCUAAGGCAUGUUGCACAAUCUUCUUUCUUUCAUCGCAGUAUUUUGCAUUCCUAGCGCUGUGUGGUCUAUUCUAGAGGCACUUGAUUGCGGAAUACCCUAGAGAGAUUCUGUGUGUUUUAACUGGCUACACUUCUACUUCCUAAAUAUAAGUUUUUUAGUAAUUUUAAUAAAAAUACAUAUGAAUGUAUCUAUUUUUGCACUCCAUCAAGGCAUGUUGCACGAUCUGUUUUGCACUCCAUCAAGGCAUAAAGACGUAUUUUAUAGUGUAGAUUCACUCAUUUUACUCUGCAUAUAGUUUAUAUUUAAUUCUUUAAAAGAUCCUGUAUUUAAAAACGAAAAGAGUACAUAAAUAGAGGAACGCCCAAAAGGCUUCGCUUUCGACUCUUCCAAUUUCGGUUCUAUUGUUUUCCAGGCUGGUAUCUGGCAGGUUGAUUGAAUUGACACAUCCCUUGAACCGAACCGAGCCUGGAGGCUAUUUGCGCUGAAACCCCGUUGUCGACUGUAUUAUAUUUCAGGCUGGCAUAGUGGCAUUUAGCUGGCGAUCGACCGGAUUCCCCAGAACUGAGCCUGAGGCUAGUUGCGUCCAAACGUAGUUGGUCGACUGUAUUAGUACUCCCUCCGUUCCUAAAUAUACCUCUUUCUAGAGGUUCAACUAAUGAACUACAUACGGAUGUACAUAGACAUACUUUAGAGUAUAGAUUCAUUCAUUUUACUUUGUAUGUAGACAUUCAAUGAAAUAUCUUAAAAGACUUAUAUUUAGGUACGGAGGAAGUAUAUUUCAGUACGACAUCUAGCAGGUUGAUCGACGAAUCCCCCAGAACUGAGCAUUGGGCUUCGUUCAAAUGCCACUGGCCGGCUGAAUUAUAAUUAAGCCAACCCGUCCUAGAGAUUGAACUAAUUCUUGAAAGAGAUUUUCGAUCCUCGAGUCAGGCUUCCAGCCCGACCUGGGGCAAGCUAUUGUGUAGACGUUUCAGUUAAAUCCUAUAAGUGCAAGCUAGAAUAUGAAGAGAUUCAAUCCUCACGUUGGCCAUUCCGUCUAACCUGGAUCUCGGGGCUACUACACAUCAGUUCAAAUUGAUCAAGUCUUUUGAAGAAGAUUUCUAUCGUCACGUCAAUCUUCCACCCCGGCCUGAGUCUUGGGGCUACUGGAUCAACAUUUUUAAGCGUAAAAAACUAAAUUCCAAGAAUAACUGUCGUCAUCUCUGCCAUUGUGCCGACUUCAGUCUUGGGGCCUACUGCAUCCUAAGUCCUAAUUAUAGGGAACAAUAAUCAAAUUUCAUUGAAACCGGUCUACGGCUCGUGGGGCACUCAACGGAGGUUGUGGGAAAAGAAAAGGAAAGAGAGAAAAAAGUCUAAGAUUCAUCGAGCCGACCUACACCUUGAGGUCUACUGGACCACAUAAUAAAAAAUUCAUUAGAAAUUGGCUCACGGAGCCGGCUUGGUGGAAAAACUUUUCCGCAGUCUCGGUCAUAUUCAUCAACAAUUCAAGAUCAGAGUGGCUCGUCCUUUCGAGAGCAGGUCAACCGAAAGAGGUCGGCAAUGAGCAUUCAUUGUUAAGGCAUCUUCAAAGAAGUAGUUUCAAUCUUAAAAAUCAAGAAUACGGCAUUGCAGAUUUGUGCCAAUCAGGAUGUUGAAAGACCACUUCACGGGCUACUAAUGGUGUUAUGGCCCUAAGGUGCCUCACAUCUUUGGUUCCCGGCCCAAAGUGGGCCAGCUCAAUGCCCCCUAGGUUGGUUUUCACCCUGGGUUAAUUUUUAGGUGUUCUAGGGUUAAUUUUUAGGUGUUUUAGGGUUUUGGUAUAUCAGUCGGGGUUGAGCUAGUCGAGAGAACACAUUAGAAUUUCUUGGUAUGUCCGUACUUUGUACACCUCAAUAGCAAUAUACACGAGGAUGAGUUGGGUUUUACCUUGUAAGGAGGUAAAUUUGUCUCCUAUUUCCCCUCCAACCUAAAAGCCAUGCCAAUAUACCCUGCCAAAGGAUCUAUCCGAAUCAUCUACGAUAGUAAACCAAUAAAUGCUUAACAAAUUUAAUAAAAUCCUAUUCUUGUAUGCAAUCACACUAAUACGGGGAAGUAAAUCAUGACUAACCUAAGAAAAAAUUAUCUCCCGACAAAUGUCAUAUAUUAAGAGGAUCUCCAAUCAUACUAGGCAAAAAUGACCCUCUAUCUGCCACUGAUAGAAACCGAUCACCCCUUAUAUGACAACCCCCCCCCCCCCGCGCGCAACCACACCCUCAUGUGCAUAUCUCAAAUCCAUGCAGACACAUGCACGCCGACCAUCAAACGAUAUGAAUACGCAUGAGGGAUGUAAACAUACAAAUAACAUUUAUUCAAAGAAAAUAAUAUAGUUUGAACAUAAAAUUCAUUUGUAGUGCAUAAUUUAAACCUAAAAUCCAGUGAUUUCCAACGUGGAUCCACAUAUGCUUCACAUUAUUAUCAUUGAGUAGUUGCACGUGCGCAUGUUCAUCUCGAAGUUGUGUACGCAUCUCUAGAAAGUUCACAACAUGAUGUGCAUCUUGUUAUGGGAGGCACAUGUACUAUAUACUUCUCAAAAUCACGCAUGCAGGAUGCCCCUUCACCCUCAUCCUCGAUAAUCAUGUUGUGUAAGAUUACACAACAAGUCAUCACCUGCCAUAGUGUCUCAUGAUCCCACAUCAUUGCAACUCCACGUACAAUGCCCCCAACAACUUUGGAGCACUUAAAACGCCCUCUCCACAUCCUUUUGUAGCGUCUCCCAUUGUUGAAAUUAUGCUCCAUAGGCAAUAAUGGAGUGUUUAUGAUGGCCUCUUCCUCUCUCAACGCCCCCCUCCCAGCCCCUCCUCCGACCACCACCCACUGCCCAACACCAUCGUUGUCAAGCCCCCUUCCUCCACAACUGACUCCACCAAUUUACCAUGACCCAAUCGCCUGGGUGGGAACUCCAUCCUCCCGGGUGCUAUGUGUGGCCCUCGAUGUGGGGGAUGCCAUGGGCGCCGACUUCAAAGCUCAAGUCUGGUGCGCGCUCACCAAACACACCAAUCCUCGCCCCUUGGAGAAGCCUUGCUACCUCACUGUGGAGGUUCACCACAACCAGGGGUGGAGCUGCAUGGAGCUGCCCUGUUGCACGGGCAACAGGGUCAAGUAGAUUUUUACAUGUAGUUUAGCACUUGGAUCAAGCAUGUGUAUAAGUGCAUCAGGCUAAACUAGCAACGGUGCAACAAGGUAGAUGCAGAUGCAACUCCGCCCCUGACCACAAUUCCCUCAACCUAGACAAGAAGCUCGUUAGUGUCCUCCUGCAAGCUUGCCUCAGCGACAAAGCUCUGGCGUUCCAGGUGCUCUACUUCUCUUCUGACUGAUUCUGCUGCCUGGUCUCUUAUUUGCGGAUCGUCAAUGCACCUGUGGCUGAGUCUUUGCUUGUCGGCCGAUCACACUCCAUCAAGUUUCUCCUUUCCCGCUACCUGAUGGGGUCACCUACCAGUGGUAGGGUCAUAGACCUAACAUGCAAGGCCCACCUAGGUCCCCACACGACCAUUAAAGUCUCAGGACUACAUAUGCAUUCGGAUGCAUACACCGGAUCCACCCGGGCCCAAGGAGUUACUCGGACGUUUUCCAGUUAGUCGGCCACACGUCAACACUUGGACAAAGAAAAGCGCGGACGACGUGGGAGCUGCAAUGACCGAGGGAGUUAACAUCAUACAUGAAGUGAGUCAAAGCCAGCGUUACCUGUAACGUACAUAGUUAAGGAUGUAGUUUCUAGUAGCACCCGUAGUUACUCACAUUUAAUGCCCUCAUAAUGAAGCACGACGGGUCCAGGAGAACUCUAUAUAAGACGCCCGCGAGCUAUGUGACAAGGGUUCAACAUUCGUUGUAAUCAGAUACCCCCACAGAAAACACAAGCCUCCAGGCAUGAGAAGUACGGUCUUUAUCUCUCUGAGAGGGGCCCGAACUCGCUAAAUUCGAGUGAUACAUCUCUAACAUAGCUAGGCUCCGCCCCUCAUUCGUACCCCUAGUACUAUUGUCAGGAUUGUUCCCUCGACAGUUGGUGCCCACCUUGGGGCUACGUGUCUAGCAAUUUACGGCCCAGGUGGAGUUUUUUCGGUCACCAUGAUGACCCUCGAGGGAGAGAUUAUGUUUGGUUCCCUCAGCUUCAUCGUCGUCGACUCAACAUGGCUGUAGGAAGCUCCACUGGACACAGAUGUGCUGCUCUCUUGCAGCACGACGCAUUUCUGUUCAACAAUGUUCGGAGUCCUUCUUCGACGGUCAUCGGUCAAGUACCGCUUGAUGUCCCUUCACUCUGCAGUACGCCGUCGCAAGCGCUCUGAGCGCUCGCGACUCCAUCAUUGGAUCAAGCACGUUGUGGCUCUUCAGACCACGGCUGAGCAGGUGGCCCCGCUCGACUCCAACGAGCCCAACCUCAACUUGUUCCCCUCCUCGUGUAGCGGCUCCUUCGACAAGUCUGAGUGAGAGAUUAGCGAGUCAGUUGCAGAAAUUCUGUUGGCCGGCAUGGCCGGAGGACCUCCGGGUUUCUCCGCGGGAAAUCCCGCGGGCGAGACAAACACAUCCACAACAACAACACCGACAAUGUCUACGUUCCCCGGCCUCUCACUCGGGAGCAGCUGUAGGAACUGAUGAAGAGGAAUGAGCACUCCGUGCUCACCCGUGUCACCAGGACUACCCUGGAAGAGAUGGCUUUAGAGGCCGUGCGCCAGGCCACUUUGGCUAAAUGCGAGUGGCUCGAGCGGCUGCAGAGGUCACUCGACAUCCGAGCAGCCUGGGAGCAGCCUAGCUCCAGUCGACAUUGCAAGCGGUUGUUCCCAAACGAUCACUCCCUCAAUUACCACGUGAUGCGCACUAUGCUGCAUAAUUUGGCCGGAGCCACUCGGAUCGCUGAUUCCAUUCAACCAUCUGAUUCUACAGCUCGGGAAGGCAUUCGACAAAUCCAAAUGCUCCUCAAGACUGCCUUGGAGCAAAACUCUAUGUGUCGAAGUCGCACAACCGCAUUCACAACAAGUCUGUCCGCGCGGACACGGUGUACUCGGCCAUAGUCCGCUUACACCCGGGAGAUACCAAUGCUCCCCCCUUUGAGAGACCAAUACGGUAAUCGGAGAGGUGAAGACCGCCGUUGUAGUUGGACGCCCCCUCUGAGGGGUGGUUCAUAUGGGUAAUGGUCCUACUACAACAGACGGCCUUACGAAGAUGAUCGAAGGCAUAGCCCCAUUCGGCAUAGAAAUUACGGGGAAGAAGACUUCCGAGCACCCUAGCUCAAUGCUAGAUCCAUCAUUGCCCAGGGACUGGUUAAAAGAGCCAGGGCAAGCAGAGCGACUGAAUGGUCAGGGCGCUUUUGGCCUCGAGUGUUUCAACAGAUACAUUCAGGACCCUCCAACUAUAGGCUGGCAACUAGAAUAGGCAAAUUCAACAGCGAGUCAAAGCCACAAACUUGGCUCGAGGACUACCGAGUAGCCAUCCAGAUCAACAGCGGCAACGAUUUUGUGCAAUGGGGAACNCACUUAUCCCUCAUGCAAGAGGGAUCUGUGAGGGCAUGGCUGAAUCAGCUACCCAUCGACAAUAUUUAAAACUGGGAAGACUUGGCCCGAGUGUUCGUAAAGACGUUCGAGGGCACUUACAAGGGCCCAGGCAGAUUGACUGAGCUACAACAUUGUGUGUAGAGGAACAACGAGACUUGCCGUGAGUACAUCCAACGUUGCACCAUGUUGCAUAACAUUGUGGAACAUGUGAUGGAGCAUCAGGCCAUUUGUGCCUUCAAGGUGGGCCUCCGGUACCGCAAACUCAUUCUGAAGUUUGGCUGGACUGAUGUUCUAUCCCUCAGCCGGGCUAUGGAAAUCGCCAGUUGGUAUGCCAACGGCGAGGAAGAAGACUGCACCUGUAGCGGCAAAAGACGCACAACCAAAGCCCCUCACCCGGGAAGCAACGCGGGGAAGAAAUGAAGCAGAAAGCCGAGUGUGCCAACAAAGCGGAAGAUGCAACCAUUCCCAGGAAGAGCAAGAGCAAGCAAAAUGAUAAGAAAGAUGGGGUGGCCAAGAAGAAAGGCGAGCCUAAGGGCGACAUCUUGUAUUAGUCGUGCCAAAUGCACACCAAAAGGGAUGAAGAAGGCGAAGUUGUUGGAAAUAUCCCCUAGGGGCAAUAAUAAAUUGGUUAUUAUCAUAUUUCCCUAUUCACCAUAAACAUUUAUUAUCCAUGCUAGAAUUUUAUUGAUUGGAAACUUAGAUACAUGUGUGGAUACAUCAACAACAUUGUGUCCCUAGUGAGCCUCUACUAGACUAGCUCAUUGAUCAAAGAUGGCUAGGGUUUCCUAACCAUGGAAAUGAGUUGUCAUUUGAUAAUGGGAUCAAAUCAUUAGGAGAAUGAUAUGAUGGACAAGAUCCAACCAUAAACAUAUCAUUUGAUCCUUUCACUUAGUUUAUUGCUACUGCUUUCUACAUGUCAAGUAUUUGUUCCUAAGACUAUGAGAUCAUGCAACUCCGUGACACUGUAGGAAUGUCUUGUGUGUAUCAAACGUCACUUCGUAACUAGCUGAUCUUAAACAUACUCUACAGGUAUCUCCAAGGGUGUGUGUUGGGUUGGCAUGGAUUGAGACUGAAAUUUGUCACUUCGUAGGACGAAGAGGUAUCUCUGGGCCCUCUCGGUAAUACAACUUCACAAGAAGCUUGCAAGGAAUGUGACUAAGGAGUUAGUCAUAGGUUCUUGUAUUACGGAAUGAGUAAAUAGACUUGCCGGUAACUGGAUUGGACUAGGUAUGGAGAUACCGACGAUCGAAUCUCAGGCAAGUAACAUACCAAUGGACAAAGGGAACUGCAUAUGGGAUUGGCUGAAUCCUUGACAUCGUCGUUCAAUCGAUAAAGAUAUUUGUGGAAUCUGUAGGAACCAAUAUGGGCAUCCAGGUCCCGCUAUUUGUUAUUGACUGGAGAGGUGUCUCGGUCAUGUCUACAUGAUUCUCGAACCCGUAGGGUCCACACGCUUAAUGUUUGAUGACAAUAUUGUAUUGUUGAGUUAUGUAUGUUGGUGACCGAAUGUUUUCCAGAGUCCUGGAUGAGAACUCGGACAUGAUGAGGAGCUCCGGAAUGGUUCGGAGGUGAAGAUUCAUAUAUGGGAAGUUGUUUUUUGGGUUUCUGAAUAAUUUUGGGACUUGCCGGUUUUUGUCGGGAGUGUCGGAAGGGGUUUCGGGGGUUCACCUACCCCAGAUGGCCUAAUGGCUGAGAGAGAGGAGUGCACCAGCCCGUGGUGGGCUAGACGCCGCCCCUUCCAUGGCCCAAGGUGUCCUAGGGUUUGGGGAAAGCCUAGGGUGGGGCACCAACCUUGCCUUGGGUGGCAAGCCACCCCCUAGGCCGCUGCCCCUCCCUUGGAGGAGGCCCUAGGGCCGGCACACCUCCCACUUCCCCCUAUAUAUUUGAUAGGAGAGGGAGGGCAGCCGCACCCAAGCCAUAGGUGCAGCCCUCCCUCUCCCCCUAUCCCGUUUUCUCCUUCGGUCACAUGUGCAGCGACGCUUGGCGAAGCCUUGCUGAGAUUGCUCCACCACCACCGCCAUCAUGCCAUAGUGCUAUCGGAGAACUCAUCUACUACCCCGUCCUCGCUCGCUGGAUCGAAGAAGCGGAGACGCCAUCGAGCCGCACGUGUGCUGAACCAUAGGUGUCGUCUGUUCGUUGCUUGAUCGGGAUGGAUCGUGAUUGGAUCGUGAAGACGCACAACUACAUCAACCGCGUUUCUAAUGCUUCCGCUUAGCGAUCUACAAGGUUAUGUAGACACACUCCCCCUCUCAUAGGUAUGCAUCUACAUGGAUAGAUCUUAUGUUGUGGCUUUGCGUAGGUAAGAACGGUUCUUUCUAGUUGCACAUAGCAGCCACGAAAAACUUGCAACAACAAAGUAGAGGACAUCUAACUUGUUUUGCAGGGCAUGUUGUGAUGUGAUAUGGCCAAGACAUGAUAUGAUAUAUGCAAUGUAUGAUAUGAUCAUGUUUUGUAAUAGUUCUCACGACUUGCAUGUCGAUGAGUACGGCAACCGACACGAGCCAUAGGGUUGUCUUUAACUUAUUUCAUGUCAUUUGCUUUACUUUAUCGCUAUGAGUUAGCAAUAGUUGUAGAAGCAAUAUUUGGCGUGACAACCACAUGACAAAAAUAUGAUGGAUACCAUGAUGAUGGAGAUCAUGGUAUCAUGCCGGUAACGAUGGAGAUCAUGUCAGUGCUUUGAAGAUGGAGAUUGAAAGCACAAGAUGAUGAUGGCCAUAUCAUGUCACUUAUUUGAUUUACAUGUGAUUUUUAUCUUUUAUGCAUAUUAUUUUGCUUAGUACGAUAGUACCAUUAUAAGAUGAUCCCUCACUAAAAAAAUCAAGAUAAAAUUGUGCUCUCCCCAAGUAUGCACCGUCACGAAAGUUCAUCGUUUCGAAGCACCUCAUGAUGAUCGGGUGUGAUACACUCUUCAUUCGCAUACAACGGGUGUAAGCCACUUUUACACAUGCAGAAUAUGUGGGUUAAACUUGACGAGCCUAGCAUGCACAGACAUGGCCUCAGAACACACGAGGCCGAAAGCUCGAACAUGAGUCAUAUAGUAGAUAUGAUCAACAUGGAAAUGUUCACCAUUGAGACAACCUCAUCUCACGUGAUGAUUGGACUUGGGUUGCUGAAUGUGUAUCAUCUAACACUUAGACAACCUAAGAGAUGUUGAUUUGAGUGGGAGUUCAUUAGUAAUUUGAUUAACUGAACUAAUUAUCAUGAGCAUAGUCUAAAUGUCUUUGCAAAUUAUGUUGUAGAUCAAUGGCUCGCGCCGUAGCUCCGUGAUACGUCUCCAACCUAUCUAUAAUUCUUGAUUGUUCCAUGUUGUUAUAUUAUCAUCCUAGGAUACUUUUUCGGUCAUAAUUCACCAAUUUAUAUUAUUUUUAAGCAUUAACCUAUUAACCCAGUGCCCAGUGCGAGUUCUUGUUUUCUGCGUGUUUUUUGUUUUUCAGGUUUUCAGUACCAAACAAAGUCCAAUUGUUGUGAAACUUUUUUCUGGUUUUUUUCUGGACCAAAGAAGACCUGAAAGCUUCGGGAGGAAACCUGAAGCCACAUGUGGGACUCCCAAGUCAACAGGGCGCGGGCGGGGGGUGGUCGUGCCCUGAUGCCUUGUUACGCCCCUGUGGAUCCUCUUGCCUCGUUCAGUGGCCUAUAAAUUCCCAAAUAUUCCAGAAACCCUAAAGAUCAUCGCCAAACACUUUUUACGCUGUUCCAAGUCGCUCUUCCACGACAACCUAAUCUAGAGCUUUGUUUCGGCACCCUGCCGGAUGGGGGAUCGAUCACGAAGGGUCUCUUCAUCAACCUUGAUGCCCUCAUGAUGAUGUGUGAGUAGUUCACCACGGACCUAUGGGUCCGUAGUUAGUAUCUAGAUGGUUAUCUCUCUCUCUCUGUACCUUCAAUACAAUGAUCAUCACACCUUCGCUUUGAUCUAUCCGAUGUAUUUCUUUUGUAUGGUGUGUUUGUUGGGAUCAGAUGAAUUGUGGGUUUAUGUUCAUAUUAUUCAUGAAAAGUAUUUGAAUCUUCUCUGAGUUUUAUGAUUCUUAUUUGCAUGAUCAUGAUAGCUUCAUAAUUUUCUCUGAUCUAUUGAAUUGCUUUUGCCAACUAGUUUGGUAUUUCUUCAGUGAGAGCGGUGCGUUGUAGUGGAUUCAACCUCGCGAGUUUCUAUAUCCCAGUGACAUAACGGGACAAGUUGCAUCUUUGUGUUGCGGCCACUAAGGAUAAAGCGAUGGGGUUUAUUCAUAUUGGUGUAGUUUACUUUGUCCACAUCAUGUCAUUGUUCUCCAAGCAUUACUCUGUUUUACUUAAUACUCUAGAUGCAUGUUGGAUAGCGGUCGAUUGGUGCAGUAACUGUAGUAGGUGCAGGGAGGAGUCGUCCUAUUUGCUUAUGGACGUGAUCCCUAUAUAUACAUGAUCAUUGCCGUGAAAAUCGCAUAACUAUCCGUUGUUCUAUCAAUUGCCCAACAGUAAUUUGUUUACCCACCAUAUGUUGCUUUCAUGAGAAAUGCUAGUAGAGAACACUAUGGCCCCCGGGUAUAUUCACUUAUAUAUUCAGAAAACUUAUAAUUUCAUCACUGUUAUUAUUGGUCUUCUAUUUUAUUUUGCAAGUCACAACUAUCUACAAUUAUCUACACACCUCGUUCGCUUGUAAAUAACGAGAUCAAGGGGAUUGACAACCUUCUUGCCCGCGUUGGGUGCAAGUUGUUUGCUCUUUUGUGUGCAACCACUAAAGACGGUUGAGGAUUGAUAUUCCUUUUGGUUUGAUAAACCUUGGUUUCCUAAUCGAGGGAAAUACUUACCCGCAUUGUACUGCGAUAACCCCUUCCUCUUCACGGAAAACCCAACAUAGAUCACAAGUAUCACUCCCGUGAAUUCUGAAACGUUCCUAGAGAAAUACUUAGUUGAAAUAUAGUGUAAGCAAUUAUGUGGACUCUGUCCGUAAUCUGAGGAUUGUCCUCAUUGCUGCACAAAAGGCUUAUGUCCUUGAUGCACCGCUCGGUGCCCCACUCCCUCAAGCGUCAUUUGUAGAUGUUGGGAACGUGUGGUAGGCACGUUCUGAUGACUACUCGAUAGUUCAGUGGGCCAUGCUUUGUAGCUUAGAACUUGGGCUCCGAAUUGUUUUGAGCACCACGAAUUAUAUGAGAUGUUUCAAGAGCUGAAACUGGUAUUUUAGGCUCACGCACGUGUCGAGAGGUAUGAGACCUCCGACAAGUUCUUUGGCUGCAAGAUGUAUGAGAACAACUCAGUCGAUGAGCAUGUGCUCAGAAUGUCUCGGUACUACAAUCGCUUGAAUCAAGUGGGAGUUAAUCCUCUAGAUAAGAUAGUGAUUGACAAAGUUCUCCAGUCACUGUCACCAAGCUACAAGAGAUUCAUGAUGAAGUAUGGCAUGGAAGGGUUGGAGAUAACAAUCCCUGAGUCAUUCACGAUGUUAAGGCUGCAGAAGUAGAAAUCUAGAAGGAACAUCAAGUGUUGAUGGUUAAUAAAGACCACUAGUUUCAAGAAGGGCAAGGGAAAGAACGGAAACUUCAAGAGUGGCAAUCCAGUUGUCGCUCGAGUGAAAAAACCCAAUAUUGGACCCAAACUUGAGACUAAGUGCUUCUAUUGUGAGGGAAACACUCACUGGAAGCGGAACUGUCCCAAAUACUUUCUAGAUAAGAAGGUUGGCAACGUCAACAAAAUUAUAUUUGAUACACAUGUUAUUAAUGUGUACCUCACUGGUGCUCUUUGUAGCCCGUGGGUAUUUGAUAACAGUUCAGUUGCUGAAACAUGAGCUACGGAAUAAACGAGACUGGCUAAGGACGAGGUGACGAUGCACAUUGGAAGUGUCUCCAAGGUUGAUGUGAUCUCCAUCGGCACUCUCUCUCGACCUUCGGGAUUAGUAUUAAACCUAAAUAAAUAUUAUUUGGUGCCUGCAUUGAGCAUGAACAAUAUAUCUGGAUCUUGUUUAUUCCAAGUCGAUUAUUCAUUUAAGAGAAUAAUGGUUGUUCUAUUUACAUGAAUACUAUCUUUUCUGAUCAUGCACCCAAUGUGACUAUUGAAUCUCGAUCAUAGUGAUACACAUGUUCAUAGUAUUGUUGCCAAAAGAUGCAAAGUUAAUUAUGAUAAUACCACAUACUUGUGGCACUGCUGCUUAGGUCAUAUUGGUGUAAAGUGCAUGAAAAAACUCCAUGACGAUGAAUCUUUGGACUCAUUCGAUUUUGAAUCGCUUGAGACAUGCGAACCAUGCCUCAUGGUCAAGAUGACUAAGACCCUAUUUUCCAGUAUGACGUAGCGGGCAAGUGACUUAUUGGAAAUAAUACAUAUUGAUGUAUGCAGUCCGAUGAGUAUUGAAGCAUGCGCUGGAUAUCAUUGUUAUCUUACCUUCACAGAUGAUUGGAGUAGAUAUGGGUAUAUUUAGUUGAUGACACACAAGUCCGAAAUUUUGAAAAGUUCAACCAAUUUUAGAGUGAAGUUGUAGAUCAUCGUGACAAGAAGAUAAAAUGUCUACGAUAUGAUCGUGGAGGUCAAUAUCUGAGUUAAAAGUUUGGUGUCAGACAAUGUGGAAAUUGUUUCACAAAUCACGCCACGUGGAACACCAAAUGUAAUGGUGUGUCUGAAUAUCAUAACUGUACUCUAUUAGAUAUGGUGCAUUUUAUGACGUCUCUUAUCGAUUUUGCACUAUUUUUUUGGGGUUAUGAAUUAGAUACAACUACAUUCACUUUAAAUAACACACCAUCUAAAUCCGUUGAGACGACAUCGUAUGAAAUAUGGUUUGGCGAGACACCUAAGAUGUCGUUUCUUAGAGUUUGGGAAUGCGACGCUUAUGUCUCAUAAGCUCGAACCGAAAGCGGAAAAGUACAUAUUCAUAAGAUACCCUAAAACAACAAUUGGGUAUACCUUCUAUCACAGAUUCAAAGGGAAGGUCUUUGUUGCGAAGAAUGGAUCAUUUCCAGAGAAGGAGGUUCUCUCAAAACAAGUGAGUGGGAGGAAGGUAGUACUUGAUAAGUUUAUCGAACCUUCACUUGAAUUGGAAAGUAGCACAACAUAGAACGGUGUUCCUAUGAUGCGUACACCAAUUGUAGAGGAAGCUAAUGAUGAUGAUCAUAAUACUUCUAAUCAAGUUACUACCAAACCUCGUAGGUCGACAAGGACACGUACUGCCCCAAGUGGUACGGUGACCAUGUCUUGGAAGUCAUGUUGUUAGAUGAUGAUGAGCCUACGAACUAUGAGGAAGCAAUGAUGGGCCCGAAUUUCAAAAAAUGGCCAAGACCAUGCAAUCCGAGAUAGGAUCUAUGUAUGAUAACCAAGUAUGAACUUUGGUAGACUUGCUCGAUGACUGGCAGACCAUUAAGUACAAAUGGAUCUUUAAUACAUACGGUGAGGGUAAUGUCACCAUUUAUAAAGCCCGACUUAUUGCAAAGAGGUUUUUGACAAGUUCAAGGGGUUGACUGCGAUAAUACAUCCUCACCCAUAGUGAUGCAGAAGUCUGUUUUGAUUAUGUUAGCAGUUGUUGCAUUUUUUGAUUAUGAAAUUUGGGAGAGGCAUGUCAAAACAGUGUUUCCUUAAUGGUUUGGUUAACGAAAUGGUGUAUCUGAUACAACCAGAAGGUUUUGUCGAUCCUAAGGAUGCUAAAAGGUAUGCAAGCUCCAGCGAUCCUUCUAUGGACUUAUGCAAGCAUCUCGGAGUUUGAAUAUAUGGUUUGAUGAGGUGAUCAAAGCUUUUGGGUUUAUACAAAAUUUAUGAAGAAAAUUGUAUUUAUAAGAAGUGAGUGGGAGCACUAUAGCAUUUUGAUAAGUAUAUGUGGAUGACAUAUUGUUGAUUGGAAAUGAUGUAGAAUUUCUAGAAAGCAGAAAGGGUCGUUUGAAAGGAGUUUUUCAAAGGAAGACCUGGGUAAAGCUGCUUACAUAUUGGGCAUUAAAAUCUAUAGAGAUAGAUGAAGACUCCUAAUAGAACUUUCAUAGAGCACACACCUUAACAAGAUUUUGAAGGAGUUCAAAAUGGACCAGUCAAAGAAGGAGUUCUUCCCUGUAUUAUAAGGUGUGAAGUUGAGUAAGACUACAAGCUCGACCAUGGUAGAAGAAAGAGAAAGGACGAAGGUCAUCCCCUAUGCAUCAGCUCCAUCAGCUCCACCUUCUCUUGCACCUCCAAUGUCUACAACGCCACCUCAGAGGACAUGUGCUGAAGCCUUUGCCGAUGCUCUCGUGUCGACUCCAUCAACAUCUACCGGAGGAGAUCGAGCCCAGAGUGACGCUUAGUUCUAGACCUUUGAACUUUUUGGUAACUUGUUGCCAAAGGGGGAGAAGUGUAUUUAUCAAUAGGGCUUAGAGAGAGAGAGAGAGAGAGAUAGAUAGAUAGAGAUAGAGAGAGAGAGGGAGAGUUUGUUUUAUUGCACUCUUUGGUUAUACUAAAAACAUUUGGUCUUUUGGAUGUACUUAAACUUUAUGUUUGAACAUACGCUUUGAUUGUUGAUGCUACUAUGUCAUACCUUUGACCUAUCCACAUGACGAUCAUUCACUCAUUUGUUUGGUGUUAUGUGCAUUACUAUUCAUUCAUAUCAUUUAUACGCACCACCAAGAUGUAUGUGACAUGGAAGAGUGACCCGUGGUCCUAAUCGAUUGUGCAUUUGCAUUCAAAUGCAAAUGUAAAAUAAUGCACGAAUUUAGGGGGAGCUCUAGCUUAUCACAUACUUCUCAAAGCGGUGAUGCUAAUCAUGGAUUAUAUCUUUUGCCGAAGCUUUGAUUUAUAUGUUGUCAUCAGUUACUAAAAAGAGGGAGAUUAAAAGCACAACUUCUUCCUAAGGUGGUUUUGGUAAUUAAUAACAACACAUGUGUCGUUUAACUAAUGAUUUUAUCUAGGUAUAUUUCAAAAAACUUCAAAGAUGCAUUGGCUAAGCAUUGUGAGGAGAACCCCCGGAUGCAAGGAACAUCUAUUGACAACAAGCUUGAAGACUCUACAUUUACAUUUUGUGAGAAAACACAUUUGAGUCCAUAGGAAAGCUAAUACUAUUAAAAGGGAAUGAUGUGACUAUGAUGAUCUAUUUUAUCAAGUGCUUAGAGAUAGACACAAAAUACUCAUGAAAUUAUCCCACAAAAUUCUUUGUCUAAAGCCUAUAAAUCAAAAUCGGUGCCACCAACUUUAUCCACUCGGCCACACCGAUUUUACACAAGAUAGAACCUAUGACAAACCCUAUCAUCUCGGUGGCACCAACAUUCCUUUCGGUGCCGUGAAAAUCAAUGACCAACUUUAUGUUAGCCAUUUUCAAGUAUUGGAAUUUACGAGUUUUGAAAUUGGUCUCACCGAGAUUUGGAAACGACCCUAGGUGACCCAUAUCGAUACCAUCGAGAUUUCCAUAUUUAUCGCACCGAGAAUACAAAAGUUGCCACAUUUUGCACUAGUCGGUGCCAGCGAGUUUCACUUUGGUUUCACCGAGUUGGGCUACAAUGUUGUAAUGGUUGGAUUUUUGGAGAUGCCUAUAUAUACCCAUCCACCACCUCUCAUUCGCAGAGGAAGCACUCAGAACACACAUACACUUGCCAUAUCCAUUUUUCUGAGAGAGAGACACCUACUCAUGUGUUGAGAUCAAGAUAUUCUAAUUCUACCAUUUAAAUCUUGAUUUCUAGCCUCCCCAAGUUGCUUUCCACCCAAUCAAUCUUUUAUACCCAAUCCAAAUCUAUGAGAGAGUGAUUGAGUGUUGAGGAUACUAUCUUUUCAAGCACGAGAGCAAGGAGUCCAUCGUACUACCACAUCUAUUACCUUUUGGAGGGUGGUGCAUCCUAGAUUGGUUAGGUGUUGCUUGGGAGCCUCCUACUUAGUGUUGUGGAGUUGAACCAAGAAGUUUGUAAGGGCAAGGUGACCGUCUACUUCGUGAAGAUCUACCCCGAGUGAGGCUAGUCCUUCAUGGACGUAAGCCAUGAUGGAAUAGACAAGGUUGCUUCUCCAUGGACCCUUCGUGGGUUGAGCCUCCAUGGACUCAUGUAGAUGUUACACUCUGUGGGUUGAAGUCUGCAUGAAUGUGGACAUACGAUAGCACCACCUAGCGGAACCACACCAAAAAUCAUCGUGUCAACCCUUGUGUUUGACCUUCCUAUCCCUACCCUCUAUUUACAUGUGCAUGUCUUUACUUUCCGCUGCUAUACCCCUAGACUUGCAUGUGUAGGGUGUGCUUGACUUACAACAAUUUCUAAAACUUGCCCACAACUAAAAUUGGGAAAAGGCUAAGUUUUUAUUUGGUCAAGUAGUCUAAUCACCCCUCUCUAGACAUACUUUGGAUCCUAGAGUUGCUCCAUCGGUUACACUACAGUACGCUGACGACAUGCUAAUCAUCGCUCAUGCAAAUGUGAAUAUUGCUUCCAUCCUUAAAAGCACUUUGGAUGACUUUGCCUUGGCCACAUGUAUAGUGGUCAACUUUCAAAUAAUUGCUCUGCUCAGCAUUGACACAUACACACACUUGAAAAGAGAUAUAGCGCAAGCCAUGCUCUGGAAAUGGGAGGUAUUCCCACUACUCUAUUUAGGACUUCAAUUUUAUCCUACCAAGCUACCUGUAUCAUCUUCUACCCGAUCAUAGAGAGCUUCUGAAAAUUUCUGUUUGGCUCGGCUGCAAGACUCCUGUCUCUCAGAGCUUGUCUAACUCUGCUAUCCUUCGUCCUAGAUUCUCUAGUGGUUUAUUUCAUGUCAGUUUUUGGCCUUCCAAAAUCUAUACUUGCUAAACUCGACGCACUUCCUAGAGCCUUCUUUUGGUCUAACGAGGAAACAUGCACUAGCGCGAGUUGUCUCAUUGCUUGGAAAAAUGUUUGUAAACCGAAAGUUCAUGGUGGUAUAGGCAUUGGAAAUCUACAAAUUCAUAACCGUUGCUUGCUCUUAAAAUUUUCCUACAGGCUACUUCAAACCCGAGAUCUUCCCUCGUUGCACUGUUACAAACAAAGAUACUCCCAAAACAGUUUGGCAACCGCUUCAAGAACGUCCUUCCUCUAGCGGGUGGUCAACCAUAACAUCUACACUCUGAUCAAACACUCCUUUGUUAUCACUUAUAAUGGUCUAGCUUCGUUUUUUUGGCUUGAUAAAUGGUUACUCAACUUGCCAUUAAAGGUAGCUUUCCCCCACUUGUUCUCACACUCCAUAAAUGAUAAGGUUCUAGUGGCGACUAUUUUCCAAACCAGCUUAUUAUCUAACCUAAGGUAUUGCCUUACUAAUGUUGCGUCUCAAGAUUUGGAUUAUAUAUUGUUGUUGUUGCAGGAUUUUUGCCCCGAGACAGGCCGAACGAGCGAUCUCUCACGCAUGGGCUGCCUUUUUUGGCUAGAAACACUUACAAUACUAUCUCCGCCGAAGACUGUUUUGACCUACACCAUAGCUUCAUCUGGUCCUCAUCGGUGCCCAUCAAGGUCAAGAUAUUUGCAUGGCUUUUGUUUCGAGACAUGCUAAGUACCAAAGAAAAUAUGGCGCACUAGACUGUUGCUCCAUCUGUUGCAUGCCCAGGAUGCCACGAUCCAUGUGAGGAUGCCACCCACCUCUCCUGCUUCCGCUCCUAUGCUAUUCAAAUUUGGCACCUCAUUGUCCUUGUUCCACCAAACUCUUUGACAUAUAUCCAAGAAGUUGUUUCUCGUGCAGGGAUGAACCCCAAUAUCUGGCCCGCUGUAUCGCUAACUAUCUUGUGGAAAAGUUGGGACUCUAGGAAUGCUAGUGUCUUCAUGUUUGAAGAUCUACCUGCUAGAAUCACCUUGAGGAACAAUAUUGUUGAUUUCUCCUUUUGUAUAUUUUGUUUUAAAAACCUCGAGCUUAGAGACUAUGCUAGGUAUUAGCUAAGCUUUAUGUCAGCUAGCAUUCCCUCUGUAUGACUCACUGUUGUAAUCAUUCCAUGUACUUUGUUUGAGUGGUAAUAUAUGCUCAGGUGGGGAAGCUCUCCCCCUGUGACCGCUCAAAAAACAUCCUUUUGUAGACACUUCUUGCAUUUGUUCAAAGAGACCUCAUUUGUUACCUUGGUGAUUGGGUAUAGUCUUCACAAACACCACACAUUAAGGAUAAGUGCCAUCAGCAAGGUAGUGUCCCAUGUUGUAGGUAUACCCGUUGACAAUGUAGUUGCAUAUCAGAGCAUCCCAAUCACAAAAGUCUCUUGCUUAAUGAACAUCACUAAAGCACAUUAAUGUCAUUGUGAGAACGAACAUGCCAAAUAUAGCGUGCAAAUCCACAAGUAUUGUGAUGUCACUGUGAUACGUCUCCAGCGUAUCUAUAAUUUUUGAUGGUUUCAUGCUAUUAUCUUGUCAAACUUUGGAUGUUUUGUAUACCUUUUAUAUCUUUUUCUGGACUAACCUAUUAACUCAGUGCCAAGUGCCAGUUCCUGUUUUUUCCGUGUUUUUGACCCUUUUCAGAGGAGGAUUUUAAACGGAGUCCAAACGGAAUAAAACUUCCGAAAAUAUUUUUUCCGAAACAGAAGACGAUCGGGAGACUUGAGAACCAAGGCAGAGGGUCACCAGGGACCCCACAAGCCCUCAUGGCGCGGCCAGGGGGGCCGCGCCUCCCAGGCUUGUGGGUUCCUUGGGCCUCCUCUGCCCUAGCUCCUUCACCUAUAUAUUCCCUAAAAUCGCAAAAAAAUCAAGAGAGCCACGAAAAUACUUUUCCGCCGCCGCAAGCUUCUGUCUCCGCAAGAUCCCAUCUGUGGCACGUUCUGGUGCCCUGCCGGAGGGGGGAUUCGGAUACGGAGGGCUUCUUCAUCAACACCAUGACCUCUCGGAUGAUGCGUGAGUAGUUCACCAUAGACCUACGGGUCAAUAGCUAGUAGCUAGAUGGCUUCUUCUCUCUCUUGGAUCUUCAAUACAAAGUUCUCCAUGAUCUUCAUGGAGAUCUAUCCGAUGUAAUCUUCUUUUGCGGUGUGUUUGUCGAGAUCCGAUGAAUUGUGGAUUUAUGAUCAUAUUAUCUAUGAAUCUUAUUUGAGUUUCUUCUGAUCUCUCUUAUGCAUGAUUUCAUAUCCUUGUAAUUCUCUUCGAGUUGUGGGUUUUGUUUGGCCAGCUUGAUCUAUGAUUCUUGCAAUGGGAGAAGUGCUUGGUUUUGGGUUCAUACCGUGCGGUGACCUCACCCAGUGACAGAAGGGGUAGCGAGGCACGCAUCGUGUUGUUGCCAUCAAGGGUAAAAAGAUGGGGUUUUCAUCAUUGGUUUGAGUUUAUCCCUCUACAUCAUGUCAUCUUGCUUAAAGCGUUACUCUGUUCAUCAUGAACUCAAUACACUAGAUGCAUGCUGGAUAGCGGUUGAUGUGUGGAGUAAUAGUAGUAGAUGCAGAAAGUAUCGGUCUACUUGUCUCGGACGUGAUGCCUAUAUGUAUGAUCAUUGCCUUAGAUAUCGUCAUGACUUUGCGUGGUUCUAUCAAUUGCUCGACAGUAAUUUGUUCACCCACCGUAAUAUUUGCUAUUUUGAGAGAAGCCUCUAGUGAACACUAUGGCCCCGAGGUCUACUUCACAUCAUAUUUUCAGCCUUACACUUUUACUUUGUUGCACUUUCCGCCUUCAAAUCUCACUUUGCAAUCAAUCUUGAAGGGAUUGACAACCCCUUUAUAGCGUUGGGUGCAAGCUCUUUUGUGUUUGCGCACGUACUCUAAACUUGACGCGAUUCUCCUACUAGAUUGAUACCUUGGUUCUCAAACUGAGGGAAAUACUUACUGCUCCUGUGCUGCAUCACCCUUUCCUCUUCAAGGGAAAAACCAGCGUAAGCCAAGUCUCCGUCAACUUGCCAAUUUGUGGCGCUGUUGUCUGUUGCCGUAGCAGAAGAAUUUCUGGCAUCGUUGCCGGGGAGGAUCAAGUCAAGAACUCAUCCAAGUAAGUGUCGCAAACUCAUGUCUUGCGUUUACCUUUUUUGCCUCUCGUUUUCCUCUCCCCUACUUCUGAAAAACAAAAAUUUACAAAAAUAUUUGACUUUUUCGUUUGCCUUUUUCGUUCGCCCUUUUCUUUCGCUUGCUUUCUGUUCGCUUGUGUGUUAUGUGCCUUCAAUAUGCUUGCAUCUUCGCUUGCUGAAAAUCUAUUGAUAUGGAUCCUCAUCCACUUGCUAAUCUCUUUAAGAGAUCGAAUUAUGUUGAUCCAAUUACUAGUGAGUUGAGUGCACUUGACUAUCUUUAUGGAGUUUUGCUUGAGAUGCGUGAAUCUGAAGUGAUUCACGAGGGCUCCUUGAAUGAAAAGCAUGAUUGCAAUGGUUUCACUAUAAAUCCUAUUAGUGUCAAUCAUGCUAAAAAUAUGCAAAACCCUAAGCUUGGGAUGCUAGUUUUGCUAUGGCCACUACUUGUUGCAAUGAUCGUGAUCAGGGUGAUAAUUUUUCUUAUGAUCUUGAAAUUUUGUUUAACCCUCAUGAUGAUUAUGAUGUUUGCAAUAAUAUUGAAAGUGGGUUUGGAGAAGUCAUGACUUUAGUUGAUGAUAAUCCCACUAUUUUUAAAGAUCGUCAACUUUGCAUGCAUGUGGAUCAUGAAAAGAAUAUCCUUUGUGAUAGCUAUAUUGUUGAAUUUGAUUAUGAUCCCACAUGUAAUUGCUAUGAGAGAGGAAAAUAUCGUGGUAGAAACUUUCAUGUUACCAAAGUACCUCUCGUUAUGUUGAGAUUGCUAUUGUCUCUUUUUGUUCUUCCUUGCAUAUGGUAACUAUUGGUUGUCUUGACAAUCUGUUUUCCUGUAGAAUGCAUAUGCAUAGGAAGUAUGCUAGACUUAGAUGUGAUUUUCACAUGCUUUAUGAUGCUCUCGUUGUGCUUCAAUUCUUGUCUUUUAUGUGAGCAUCAUUGAAUUAUCAAUGCCUAGCUAAGGGCGUUAAACAAUAGCGCUUGUUGGGAGGCAACCCAAUGAAUUUAUCUUUGCUUUUUGCUUUCUGUUUUGUUGCGUCCACACCAUCAUAAUUCUGUUAUGAUUGUGUUUUUUGUGUGUUUAUUUUUGUGUUUGAACCAAGAAAAACCUUUAUGACUAGUCUUGGUGAUGGUUGUUUGACCCUGCUGGAAAAAGACACAAACUUUUCGCUCACGGGAUUAUUUUUCAUUUUUAUUCAGAAAGAGAUUUUGAGUUGAUUCUUUUUGCUGCUGGUUGAUAUGCCUUUUUGCCCAGGCAGUCGUAAUUUUUCAGAAUUUUUGAGGUACCAUAAGUAUACGAAGUAUACAGAUUGCUACAGAAAGAGGUGGUAGUUUGUUUUCUUGUGCUAAUGAUAUCACGAGUUUCUGUUUAAGUUUUGUGUUGUGAAGUUUUCAAGUUUUGGGUGAUGUUCUCAUGGACAAAGGGAUAAAGAGUGGAAAGAGAUCAAGCUUGGGGAUGCCCAAGGCAUCCCAAGCCAAAUUCAAGGACACCAAAAAGCCUAAGCUUGGGGAUGCCCCGGGAAGGUAUCCCCUCUUUCGUCUUCAAUCCAUCGGUAACAUUACUUGGAGCUAUAUUUUUAUUCACCACAUGAUAUGUGUUUGGCUUGGAGCGUCUUGUAUCGUAGGAGUCUUCUCUUUUUGUUGUGUCACAAUCAUCCUUGCUGCACACCUUUUGAGAGAGACAUGCACUCAUCGUGAUUUUGCUAGAAUGCUCAUUGUGCUUCACUUAGAUCUUUUAGAGCACGGCGGUGCGUGACUUGGUAGUUGGUUUGUGCUAUGAAAGUGGCCCUAAAGGUGAUAGGUACCCAAAGAGGAUACAAAAACCUCCAUCUUCAUGUGCAUUGAGUAGAAAGAGAAGUUUGAUUCCUCUCAAUUAGUUUUGAGACGUGGAUUUGGUAAUAUUAAAGAUUUAUGUUAGUAGAGUGUUGUGAGUCUAGAGAUACUUGAGUUGAGGUUAGUGAUUUCCGUAACAUGCACGUAUGGUGAACCGCUAUGUUAGGAAGUCGGAGCAUAAUUGAUCUAUUGAUUGUCAUCCUUUGUGUUGCGAUCGGGAUCGCGCGAUGGUUAACACCUAUCAACCCUUCCCCUAGGAGUAUGCGUUUAGCACUUUGUUUCGGUUACUAAUAAAAACUUCCGCAACAAGUAUGUGAGUUCUUCAUGACUAAUGUGAGCCCAUGGUAUAGAUGCACUUUCACCUUCCACCAUUGCUAGCCUCUCUAGUACCGCGCAAUUUUCGCCAGUGCACAAACCCACCAUAUGCCUUCCUCAAAACAGCCACCAUACCUACCUACUAUGGCAUUUUCAUAGCUAUUCCGAGAUAUAUUGCCAUGCAACUCCCACCGUCCCGUCUCAUGACUUGUGCCAUCACUCUGAUAUUGCCAUUGCAUGAUCGUAAGAUAGCUAGCGAGAUGUUUCAAUGUCAUACACCAAGCUAGACCGUUGCACGUAUGGACCUACCUGCAGAUCACAUGGCAGCGUCAAUCCAUGUGGAGCUCUGCUUUGGCUGCUAAGAGAGACUUCCACAACCCCCUUUUUUUUGCUGAGGUAGUGUUCACUGCAUGUUGGAACACCUGGACUGUCAGAAAUGGCAAGGUGUUCAACCAGGAGCAGCCGAGGUUCAGAAAAUGGAGAUCCAACUUCAUUCAUGACAUUUCCCUGUUAGCUCAUAGGAUUAAGGCUAGUUUCAGGGAUGAUCUCCUUAAAUGGAUUUCCUUUCUGCCUCCUUGAGGUUUGUAUUCAUAGCUACCCAACCCCUUUGUACAUCCUAACCUCUUCUUGUACAUAUAACUCUUGUAUAUGGGAAUAAAAGAAAAAAGGCCGUGGGCUGUUUUCCCUACAAUAGCCGGUAAAAAAAACACUGCCCGAGGCAUUUCCUAUAGAGUCAUCAUCAUUCUAAGCUUUGAGCUGUGAGUAAAUAAAAGUGUGAUGAUCAUCAUUAUUAGAGCAUUGUACCAUGUUAGGAAAAAAAGAGGCCAAAGUUGCCCACAUAAAAAAAGAGAGGCCAAAGAGCCCAAAUAAAAAAAGACAAGAGAGAAAAAGAGAGAAGGGACAAUGCUACUAUCUUUUUUCACACUUGUGCUUCAUAAUAGCACCAUGUUCUUCAUGAUUGAGAGCUCCUUGCUUCGUAACCACCAUAUACUAGUGGGAAUCUUUAUUAUAUAACUUGGCUUGUAUAUUCCAAUGAUGGGCUUCCUCAAAUUGCCCUAGGUCUUCGUGAGCAAGCAAGUUGGAUGCACACCCACUAGUUCUCCUUUUGAGCUUUCACAUACUUAUAGCUCUAGUGCAUCCUUUGUAUGGAAAUCCCUACUCAUUCACAUUGAUAUCUAUUAAUGGGCAUCUCCAUAACCCUUUGAUACGCCGAGUCAAUGUGACCAUCUCCUCCUUUUUUGUCUCACAACCACCACCACACUCUGUUCCACCUAUAGUGCUAUAUCCAUGGCUCACGCUCAUGUAUUGCGUGAUAGUUGAAAAAGGUUUGAGAAAGUAAGAGUGCGAAAACAAUUACUUGGCCAAUACCGGGGUUGUGCAUGAUUUACAUUAGUUGUGUGAGGAUGAUGGAGCAUAGCCAGACUAUAUGAUUUUGUAGGGAUAACUUUAUUUGGCCUUGUUAUUUCAAAAGUUCAUGAUUACCUUGCUAGUUUGCUUGAAGUAUUAUUGUUUUCAUGUCAAUAGCAAACUAUUGUUUUCAAUCUUAUGGAUCUGAACAUUCAUGUCAGAUGAAAGAAGUUACAAAGGACAACUAUGCUAGGUAGCAUUCCACAUCAAAAAUCCAGUCUUUAUCACUUCCCUACUCGAGGACGAGCAGGAGUUAAGCUUGGGGAUACUUGAUACGUCUCCAAUGUAUCUAUAAUUUUUGAUGGUUUCAUGCUAUUAUCUUGUCAAACUUUGGAUGUUUUGUAUGCUUUUAUAUCUUUUUUGGGACUAACCUAUUAACUCAGUGCCAAGUGCGAGUUCCUGUUUUUUCCGUGUUUUUGACCCUUUUCAGAGGAGGAUUUUAAACGGAGUCCAAACGGAAUAAAACUUCCAAAAAUAUUUUUUCCGAAACAGAAGACGAUCGGGAGACUUGAGAACCAAGGCAGAGGGUCACCAGGGACCCCACAAGCCCUCAUGGCGCGGCCAGGGGGGCCCGCGCCUCCCAGGCUUGUGGGUUCCUUGGGCCUCCUCUGCCCUAGCUCCUUCACCUAUAUAUUCCCUAAAAUCGCAAAAAAUCAAGAGAGCCACGAAAAUACUUUUCCGCCGCCGCAAGCUUCUGUCUCCGCAAGAUCCCAUCUUUGGCACGUUCUGGUGCCCUGUCGGAGGGGGGAUUCGGAUACGGAGGGCUUCUUCAUCAACACUAUGACCUCUAGGAUGAUGCGUGAGUAGUUCACCAUAGACCUACGGGUCAAUAGCUAGUAGCUAGAUGGCUUCUUCUCUCUCUUGGAUCUUCAAUACAAAGUUCUCCAUGAUCUUCAUGGAGAUCUAUCCGAUGUAAUCUUCUUUUGCGGUGUGUUUGUCGAGAUCCGAUGAAUUGUGGAUUUAUGAUCAGAUUAUCUAUGAAUCUUAUUUGAGUUUCUUCUGAUCUCUCUUAUGCAUGAUUUCAUAUCCUUGUCAUUCUCUUCGAGUUGUGGGGUUUGUUUGGCCAGCUUGAUCUAUGAUUCUUGCAAUGGGAGAAGUGCUUGGUUUUGGGUUCAUACCGUGCGGUGACCUCACCCAGUGACAGAAGGGGUAGCGAGGCACGCAUCGUGUUGUUGCCAUCAAGGGUAAAAAGAUGGGGUUUUCAUCAUUGGUUUGAGUUUAUCCCUCUACAUCAUGUCAUCUUGCUUAAGGCGUUACUCUGUUCGUCAUGAACUCAAUACACUAGAUGCAUGUUGGAUAGCGGUUGAUGUGUGGAGUAAUAGUAGUAGAUGCAGAAAGUAUCGGUCUACUUGUCUCGGACGUGAAGCCGAUAUGUAUGAUCAUUGCCUUAGAUAUCGUCAUGACUUUGCGCGGUUCUAUCAAUUGCUCGACAGUAAUUUGUUCACCCACCGUAAUAUUUGCUAUUUCGACAGAAGCCUCUAGUGAACACUAUGGCCCCCGGGUCUACUUCACAUCAUAUUUUCAGCCUUACACUUUUACUUCGUUUCACUUUCCGCCUUCAGAUCUCACUUUGCAAUCAAUCUUGAAGGGAUUGACUACCCCUUUAUAGCGUUGGGGCAAGCUCUUUUGUGUUUGCGCAUGUACUCUGGACUUGACGCGAUUCUCCUACUAGAUUGAUACCUUGGUUCUCAAACUGAGGGAAAUACUUACUGCUCCUGUGCUGCAUCAUCCUUUCCUCUUCAAGGGAAAACCAGCGCAAGCCAAGUCUCCGUCAACGUGCCAAUUUAUGGCGAUGUUGUCUCUUGUCAUAGCACACUGCUUCAACUAUGAUGGUGGUCUCUUUGGUGUGACCUUGGUACUGCCAUUGCGAAUGCAUGCAGUCGACUGAAAUGAGCAUACAUAGAAACCUCUUGAUGCUCUAAUUUCCAAUAUGUUUUGUUCUCUCAAGUAAUCUGGUCCAAAUACCUUCAUCACAAGACAUGAAAAUCUCGCCAUUGUGUUAAUGCAUGUGCUCUCUCCCAUCUGGAUGAUCUCAUCAAUGACAUCUUUAGCUAUACCAUUUAUGCGUAUGAGAACAUGGUAGUUGCCCGCAACAUUCUUCCUCAGCGGGAAGUAAUGAUCAUGUGCCUUCACACCAUCCACUACCUACAAGGACAAAUGAACGCUCAUCUGGAAGUGAUGCCAAAAAACCUCAUGGAAUACCAAAUUGGGUUUGAAGUAGUCACCAUAGAUAUCCUUUGGCCCUUUAUCCUCUCUCGGGCAACAACUAUUCUGCCCUUUAUCAAACCCUUAGAGUUGAGAACAUGCUCCUCCUUCUUCUCCAUUUCUUCCUGGAUACUCAUAAUCACCAUCAUGUCAUCCGAGUCAAUGAACUCCUUGAACAUGAAGUUAUAAAGCUUAUUGUAAUCAAACUAUUCAUCUAACGAAUUAAUCAUUUACCUAUAAAUGAGCAAAAUAAUCUAAAAAUAAGGUCCAACAUGUCUUCAAAGACAUGGUGAGUGAGGUGUAUCUUUGGCGGAGUAGGAAGUAUCGAGCAUAGGGGCCGGUGGUGGUGGCAUUGUCGGCUAGGAACAAUGGCGGAGCUAAGGGUGCAGACACUGCGAGAGCUAGGUGAAGGGCGACACUAAUGGGAAAAUAAGUGUGAGUGUCAGGCGAGGGUCGGGGACGAUUCGAUGGGAUUUGGAGUGGGUCGGGUUAUCGAACCCGACGUGGAAAACACUUCCCAACGACCCCAAAUCAACCCCUCAUAUAGACUGGGUUUGAGGGAUGUCGAACAACCCGGGCAUUUGGGAUGGACUUAGUACUUUAGGGUGGCUGGUUGGGUGAUUGUUUUUUGUCUAGGCACAGGAGUGGCGAUCUAACUGGAUAUGCUCUAAGGAUGUGUUUCGUUUGAUUACCAAAAUGCAUUUGGGGAUCCGAUUGGAUAUGCUCUAAGGAUGUGUUUAGUUUGAUAACCAAAAAGAAUGGAAUGUCAUGAUUCCAUUCCAGAGUCAUACGUUGGUUCCAUUCUUGUGUUUGUUUGGAGAUCAAAAACUCACAUGGCUUGAUUCCGUCCAUAUGUUUGGUUGAAGAGGGGGAAUGAGAAAAAUUUGAAUACACUCACCUUUUCCAUGUGACAACAAUAGUUUUUUAGCAACAAAGAGAUGUUUUUUUAUCAAAAGAAGGGGUUCUCCCCUUCCAAUUUCCAUUACUAGAAACCAAGUUUUCCGCUAUACAUCCAGGCAACAAAGAUAGGAAUAACCCAACGAUUCCACAAAUUUUGGGGUUUGGCACAAUGAAGCAUAUUAAGAGUAUAUUAUUUUCUUGAGGAUGGCUAGAUUCCGGUUCCAUCACGAAUUAAACACUAUAAUUAAAUGCUAGGAAUUGAACCAAAACACACCCUAAGGGCGCAUUUGGUUGCCCGCAUAAGGCCCGACCAGGCCCGCGUGGGAAGGAUUCAGUUUGUUUGGUUGGCCUCCAUACAUUGUUCGACCUCCACACCAUGAACUUUACAUCACUCCCAGCCAGGAAUGCGACCUAUUCGUGGAUCGACGGUUUCUACAGAGCUAGGUUUGUGCGAGGUAGGGUAGGGGAACGCGAGGCUGAGCUCGUGCGACAAGGAUAUGGCGUGAGCUGGCGCGCGUCUCCGAAAAAUCAGCGCGAAGAUUUCGGCUCACCUCCCGCCAAUUAGGUCACCCUAUUUAUCCCCCAAACUCUCACAGUACAAAACACCACCAACCUUAUCCCCCUUUUAAUCUUUCUCGCUGACACGCAUCGGCACCGAUGAUAACCCACAUGUGUAGGGAAUCGUGAGAGUCUUUACAGGUAGUAUUUCACCCUAAUUUAUUGAUUCGACACAAGAGGAGACAAAUAAUAUUUAUUGGCCAUAAUAGUUGAGUUGUCAAUUCAACCGCACUUGGGAUAUUCAUGUGCAUCAAAUAUUUAUUAGCACAACAAGUUAUAGUAGUAAGAGUAAUAGUGAUAGCAGCAAUUUUAGUAACAAUAGUAGCAGUAAAAAUUCAUUAGCACGUGUGACACUAGCGGCAACAGUAGUAACUUAGCAAUAUUCAGUACAUGUAACACGUAGGAACAUGGACCGACAGUGAAUAAUGACUUAGAUGACAUUGAUCAUAUAAUAGUUACACACUAGGGCGACACAAAACUAGGUCCAAUUCAUCAAUAUAAUGUAGGCAUGUAUUCCUAUAUAGUCAUACGUGCUUCCAAUAAGAACUUGCAUGACAUCUUUCGUCCUACCCUCCCGUGGCAACGGGGUCCUAUUGGAAACUAAGGGAUAUUAAGGUCUCCUUUUAAUAGAGAACCUGAACAAAGCAUUAACACAUAAUGAAUACACGAACUCCUCAAACUAUGACAAUCACCGAAAAGAAUCCCCAUUAUUGUCACCUUGGGGGUAUGCGGAUCAAGACACGUAAUAGGUAACUAUUAGUUGCAAAGUAGAAUCCAAAUGACUAUUCAUGAAAACAUAAUAGGUUCAGAUCUGAAAUCAUGGCACUCGGGCCCUAGUGACAAGCAUUAAGCAUAGCAAAGUCAUAGUAACAUCAAUCUCAGAACAUAAUGGAUACUAGCGAUCAAGCCCUAUCAAACUUAACUCGAUUACAUGAUUAAUCUCAUCCAAUUCCACUCCUAUCCAGCAAUCUUACAAAGUAAUUACUCACUCCUGGUGGUGAGCAUCAUGGUGGUGUUGAUGGAGAAGGGUUGGUGAUGACGACGGCGAUGAAUACAACUCUUUGGAGCCCCAAACGGACUCCACAUCAGCCCUCCGGAGGAAGAAUAGGAGGUGGCGGGUGCUCCAUCUCGUAAAACGCGAUGAAACCUUCUCUCUGAUUUUUUUAUCGGUGAAUAUGAAUUUAUAGGACUGGAAAUAUGAUCGGAGGAGCCUCGAGGGCCCCACAAGCUAUCAGGCCGUGGCCUGGGGGGUUGUUGGCUUGUGACCCCUCGCACUUCCCUCUAGCAGGUCUUCGCUCCAUAAAUCCUUAUAUAUCACAAAAAUAAUUCACAAAAAGUUUCGUCUGAUUCCGUGAACUUUUAUUUUUGCACAAAAAUAACACCAAGGUAGUUAUGCUGAAAAUAGCGUCAGUCCGGGUAAGUUCCAUUCAAAUCAUGCAAAUUAGAGGCCAAAAUCAGAGCAAAAGUGUUUGGAAAAGUAGAUACGUUGGAGACGUAUUAACGGACGACCAGGUAAGUGGAGCUCCUUCGUCGACCGACGGUCUAGGGAGGGGGCAACUAUUGUCCUCAACUUCUCCGACCCUUCUCGCGUCCUCCCGAGCUAUAGCCAAGGCCUAUGUGAGUUCAAUCACCUCUUUCUCCGCGUUCAUUCUAGCUAGAUCUGAGAGGAUGUGGUCGUAGGGUUAGAUAUGCAAGCAUGUGGUAGGGUUGAUUCGUGCAUUGAUCUGUGGGCAUAUGCUAUAUUUUGAUGUAGUGGUAGCUAUGUGUGCUAGAUCCGUGUAGAUUGAGUAGUAUGAUAGUGAUGAACACUAUUGAAAGGAUCACUAUGGUUAACUAAAGGGGGUGAAUAGGCAACUACCAAUUUUUACCUUUUCUUUAUCAAAUUAGGUUUAGCAAAAAAUAGGUUGUCUAGAUAUGCAGCUAGGUGAAGAACCUAUGUUAUGCUAAUAACAACAAUAACAAAAAGUAAUAAACACGAAGUAAAGGUAAGAAGUAACCACAAGUGGAACCGAUGAAGACGAGGAUGUGUUCUCGAAGUUCCUUCCCUUUGUGGGGAAGUACGUCUCCGUUAGAUCGCCUUGGAGGCACAAUGCUCCCCAAGAUGCAACUAAGGCCACCGUAUUCUUCUCACGCCCUCAUACAAUGCGAGAUGUCAUGAUUCCACCAGUGGUGCCAUUGAAGUCGGUGACCGAACCAUUACAAACAAGGUUGGGACAGUCUCCACAGCUUAAAUGGAGGCUCCCAACAACACCACGAAGCUUCAUCACAUUGGAUUGUGGCUCCGAGGUGACAUCAACCGUCUAGGAUGCUCAAACACCCAUGAGUAACAAGAUCCGCAAGGGAUUAGUGGGUAGAAUCAAAUUUCACUUCGUGAAAGUGUAGAUCAAGUCCCUCUCAAGCAAAGCCUCGAAGAUCAACACAAAGUGUUGGAUAGGUAGAGAGAUUGGGUGAAAAUGGAGCUUGGAGCAACGAUGGAGCUUAGGGUUAGGAGUGUUAGUCUUCUUGGGGAAGAAGACCUCCUUUAUGUAGUSGGGGGGGGGGACAAUUCCAACUAUUGUCCCCACUCAGCCCGCACAUGGGUGGUACUACCGCUCCGGAGGGUAGUACUAAAGUUGGGGCGGUGCAACCAUCCACAUAGAGCAAUGGCACGAGGCCAUGUGAUGAUAGUGCCACCAGAGCGGUAUUACAGCUUGCCCGAGUGCUACUACCGCUAGGGUUGCAGUGUAGCAGCCCAUAGACCUCGAGAGGAGGCACGGGAGAAGUAGUUCUAUCGGAGUGGUACUACCAUUGUGAGGAGCGGUACUACUGCAGAUAAGAGGUAGUACCGCUUCCUACGACCGCUUAGGAUCCAGUGAGCAUUCGAGGCCUAGAAAGAUGGGUGGAAGUGGCACGGUAGUCAGGGACGAAGCUAGAAAAAAGCUUAAUGAGGUCAUAUCCAUGGCAAUGGGGUCAUCUUCUUUAAAUCAACAGUGAUUAGUAUAAAGUUAAUGAAGGAUUUAGUUAUUUCACUUGGGUCAAUUGACCCCCAUGGCUACAUGCCAGCUCCGUCCCUGGCGGUAGUAACAAGUGGUACUACCGCUGGCGAGCGGUACUACCGCAUUGAACUAUCGGCCAGAAACCGCACAGUCCAUCUCUAAAAGUGUCAAAACCUUGAAGGCACCGGCACAACUUGCGGCACUGGACAAGGGAACUACCGCCCAUAAGCGAUACUACCGCUGCCUAGGGCGGUACUACCACAGAUAAGAGGUAGUAACGCUGCCCGGGGUGGGACUAACGCUUGCGUAUUUUCGGACAAGAAUAAAGAGAAGGUUAGAGCUCGAAUGAAGCGGGAAAGAAACAUGGGUGCGAAAGAAUGUGUACGUGCUAAUUCCACCCAACCUUUCCGAUGCGGACCCCCUCUUAAUAGUAUGGAUUUCCUACGACUCAAUUCCACCAAAAGUGAAACGGAGGAAUGAAGCCGCCUUCAUUCUAAUCCGCCAAGGGGCAAGAAUCAUCUUGCGCCAUAUGAAUAAAUAUCUGGAAGGUUUAAUGCACACGAUUAGUCUGUAAAUGCAUUUUCAUCAAUCACCAAAACCAAUAGGGUAGAAAUAUGCCCUUACAAUCUCCUCCUUUUUGGUCGAUUGAUGGCAACAUGGGAUUUGCACAGAUAAUAUCAAUAGAUAGAAAGAAAACCCCAAUAUCGACAAAAUAUAGACGGGAUCCCCCUAGAUGUGUGCACUACUUUAGGUAUGCUUUUGGAAUGCAAAGUGCACACACUAGGAUCAACGAUCCCCCUAUAUUUUAUAAACAUGCACUACUUGCAUUAAGAGAAUAGGAGAUAAAUAUAGUUGCAAGAAGUGACAUGUGAGCAUAAACAUGGGGCAUAAGAUUCUUUGUGGGACCAAAUCACCACAUUCCAACAUGACGCCGGGAAAGGUCUUUAUCCAGGUGGUCUCAAUCAGAUGGAUCAAGUUGGGCCCAUAGAUAGGACACUUGCGCUUAGAAACUGCACAGAGGAUCUCUGACCACAUGACAUGUGACACAUCCAAAACCUCCACCUCAGUGUUUUUCCUCACAAACUGACAAUAUAGCAGCAUAUCCACCAGAUAUGAGUGUACUUGAUCCAAAUUCACAACACGGGGAAAGCGUGUGUGCCUGAAGAUGCGGUGCAUAAUAUCAAGAAAUGGUUCCAUCACAUAGGUAGACUUGCCAGUGGUGGAGGAGAUCUUCUUAGUGCUGAAGGGAUAGAGAUGGCUCUUCUGAGUGAAUGCGAUAUCCUCGUGUGGGCAAAAUCCAAUUGGGUUGUGGAGCCCCUCAUCAUCAUAACCUAGCAUACCCAUGAAUUCGUUCCAAGUAGCAGACAACAACUUCCCAUUGGUCAUCCAGGUCAAAGUCUUGUCCUUAUUGGUCCCAAGAUGGAUCAUGGAAUAGAACACAACCACCAACUCUGGAUCAAAAUCCUUGUUGAAUUGCAUAAGGUUGACAAUACCAAGCUUCUUACACAUGCUGAGAGCACUAGAAAAGUAUUGGGCAUUCUUCUCCAGAUAUUCCACAUCAAUGGACUUGAUAUUGGGAACAUACAUGUUCUCCUUGUUCUUGAGUACAUCAGUAUGGGUAGAGAGAUGAUGCCGAGUCUAGAAUGGACAAUUGUGAAGAGCUAAUUCUUGGGGCACAUCAUAGGGAUAGCAAUGGCGGGCAAGCCAGAACUCUUUAUUGGUCUACAUCGCCAUUGAUUGGGACUUCUUGUGCCUGACUGCAGGCUGCUUCCCCUUCUGCUUGGGAGGUUGCUGACUGGAACUGCCCUCCUCUGAGGAGUAGUAGAGCUUAGAGCUCUCAAGACCGGGGUUCAUCCUACGGUUCUGUUGAGCAGAGCUGCCACCACCUGGAAUCCAAAACACAGAUCGAGGGAAAAGUAGGUGUAAAAUAUAUGCAUGAGCCAAAAAGGAAAAAUAAAGAGGAAAUCUAAAGUGGAAUCGGAAGAACAUGUGCAUUUGCCGGCACAAGCGGUAGUAGAGGUAACCACGACGGUUGUAUAGCUGAUAAGCAGCAGUACCGCUCUAGGAGGAGCGGUAGUACCGCUCGGGCAGACGCCACGGGGGAAAUCACUACCGCCGGUCAGAUCCGGUACUACCAGUGAUGCCAAAUGCAAAUAUUCUUCAAUAGAACUUCACAUCUACUCCCUAGCCGCCUUCCACAUCCUACUCAUGCCUUGAUUUGACUAAAAAUCAAUGAAUGCAUCUCAUAUUGCGUAAAAACCUAGAUCCAAGAAAUAGAACCAUAGGGGGAGAAUAAUGGAUCAAUACCGACAUCCAUGGCAAGAGGAGAGGGUGGGAUUGAGUCCAUCAGUCGAAAUUGCAGAAGAGCGACCGAAAUCGGAGAUCCGAUAGCAUCCUCGAGAGCACUCGGGUCGCGUGGAGAGAGAGAGAGAGUACCACGGGCAGGAAUGGGAUGAAUGUGUAGGGGGAGUGGAAACUACCCCUUCCCGCCCCCAUAACCCCUCGUGCUCCCGCACAAGCGGUAGUACCGCUGGCGGCCGUGGUAGUACCUCAAAUUUGAGGUAGUAUUGCUCUUGCCCCCGGUAGUACCUCUCAGAACGACCACAAGGCAAAAAAACAAAGAUGGCUUAUGCAUUUUUUCUGAAGUUGUAGAUAAGAGAUUCAAAAACUAGCAAAUGGGAGGGGACACUCCAAGUUUUAAAGAUUAAAAACAAAUAAAAACAAAAUUGGAGCGACAUCAAACACGAAUAAGCUCUCAAAAGUGAAUGCCUCACUAGGAGGGGGCGGUGGCCGAAGCCACCUAUGUUUGAGUCAAUUGGUAUGGCACCGCAAAGCUUUUAACCUUGAGCCGUGGUACUUGUGAUCUGCGUUGGGGUUUCCAUGAAGAGGAAUGGGUGAUCCUGCACAAUAUAGGUAUGUAUUUGCCUCAGUAGAGAACCAAGGUUUAUCAAACCAAUAGGAGUAACAACCAACCCCGUCUUCAACGGCUAUACACAAAAGAGUAAACACUUGCACCCAACAUGGGCAAGAGAGUUGUCAAUCCCCUUGGAAUCGUUAUUUGCAAGCUUGUAAGUAGUGUGGUUGGUAGUAGAUAAUUGUAAAUUGCAAAAUAAAAUAAAAAGUAAAUAAGAAUAGCAAGGUAUUGUACUGUUUGUACAGUUAUAAGUGAAUAGACCCUCGGGCCAUAGUUUUCCCUAGUGGCAUCUCUCAUGAAAGUAAGCAUACGGUGGUUAAACAAAUUACUAUUGGGCAAUUCAUAGAAAAGCGCAUAGUUAUAUGAUAUUCAAGGCAAUGAUCAUGUGUAUAUAUGCAUCACAUACAUAAGCAAAUAGGUCAACUCCUGCUCGCACCUAAUACUCUUACUCCACCCAUCGACCGCUAUCCAGCAUGCAUCAAGAGUAUUAAGGAAAAUAGAUUAAUGCUUGGAAAACAAUGACAUGAUGUAGACAAAGAGAAUUCAAUCAACAUGAAUUAACCCCAUCGUUUUAUUCUUAGUGGAAAACACACAAAGACGUAUCUUGUCCCCUACUAUGUCACUGGGAUAUAGAAAUCCAUCACAUUGAACCCAUUACAACACACCCCUCUCACUAAAGAAAGAUCAAUCUACUUGGCCAAAGAAAAUUAGUAGAUCAGAGAGAUUUACGAACCUAUGAUAAUCAUGCAAAUGAGAAUCAUAAUUAUAAUUCACAGAAGACUCAUAUCUUUAUCAUGAAUAAUCUGAACAUAAACUCAUAGUUCAUUGGAUCCCAACAAACACACAACACAAAAGAAUUACAUCGGAUAGAUCAGAACGAAGAUGUGAUGAUCAUUGUAUUGAAGAUCGAGAGAGAGAUAGCCAUAUAAGUACUAACUACGAACCCAUAGGUCUAUGGUGAACUACUCAUACAUCACCAUGGGAGUAGCAAGGAUCAUGUAGAGGUCCUUCGUGAUCGAUCCCCCCUCCGACAAGGCACCGAAAAAGGGCUCCAGAUGGCCUCACGGCAGAAAAGAUACUUGCAGCGGCGAAAAAGUGUUUUGGGUGGCUCCGUAAGGUUUUUUCGAAUAUAUGUGAAUUUAUAGACAACAUAGGGGCAUCGGGAGGCAACCGAGGGGAGCACGAGGCAACAUGGUGCGACCUACCCCCCCUCGACACGCCAUGUUGUCUCGUCGACCCCCCCCCCCCCGUGAGGCCUCUGGUGUCCUCCCAAAGUUUCCAGGUCUUCUUUUUGUCCAGAAAUAAUCAUAUUAAAGUUUUGUGGCAAUUAGACUUUGUUUGGUAUUGUAAACCUGAAAAGCCAAAAACAUGCACAAAACAACAAGUGGAUCGAGGCAUUGAGUUAAUAGGUUAGAGCUGAAAAAUAAUAUUAAUUGGUAAAUAAACACCCAAAAAGUAUCCUAGAAUGACAAUAUAAUAGCAUGGAACAAUCACAAAUUAUAGUUACGUUGGAGACGUAUCAACAUCCCCAAGCUUAAUUCAUGCUCGUCCUUGAGUAGGUAAAUGAUAAAAACAGAAUUUUUCAUGUGACAUGCUAACUGAUGACCCACAAGUAUAGGGGAUAAGUCGUAGUCCUUUCGAUAAGUGCGAGUGUUGAACCCAAUGAGGAACAGAAGGAAAUGACAAGCUAAAAAGACCUCGAUGACGCCUAGACGGGGGGGGGGGUGAAUAGGCUAUUUUAAAAAUUUCUGCGGAUUUGGCUUGAACCUAAUGCGGAAAUAAACUAAGAGGGUACUUGUCAAGCACAAAUCCUAAAUGCACUAGGCACUGCAACGUGUACCAACAACACGAUCUACCAAGAUGGACACAAUAGAGUUACUAACAAGCACAAGUAAGUUACACAAACUUACUUGAGGUAUAUCACACGACAAGUAGGUGAACAACACAAGAUACUAGAUCACACUAUAUCAACACGAUGUAUCAAGGGCUGCAAGUAUGAACGUGUGGAUAUAGAGGGUAUGCUUGAAUGAUUAAUCUUGUACAAGAAAUGGCCAACACAAUAUAAUGAGCACAAGCACUAUGCAAUGUAUGUAUGCUCAAAUAACACAAGUAAACCACAAGUAAGGAGUUAGGGUUAAGGAUAACCAAGGUCACUGAGACGAAGAUGUAUCCCGAUGUUCACUUCCUUGGAGGGAAGCUAGUCACCGUUAGAGAGGUGGAUGUUACCAUGAAGGCACACCAACGCCACGAAGGCUCACCCUUCGUCUUCAGAGGGCAAGAUCUAACAUGGUGCCCUUUAACUUUGCACUUGAAGCAAAUGAUUUUGGCCGAAUUCUUGACUUGUUCUAGGCCCCUCUUGUUCUUGUUUGAGUUUACUCCAAACUCAUUUUUGUCAUUCGGAGAUGUUUGCUCACACACGACGUUGUUGAGUGUGGGCAUCCCUUCAUGACACUGUUCCAAGUCUUUCUUCAAGGAAGUGACUUGGGCCUUGAGCUCUUUGAUUUCCUCUGCACGGUUAGUAUCAAUGCAAGUACUAGAGGAAGUGUAAGCUUCAAUGUUAGAGCAGCAAGGCAAGGAAAGUAAUUCAUCACACGAGGUAGCAACAUUAUGAGUAGACGAAUUACGAGGACUAGCACAUGGAAAUAUAGUACUUUGACUAGAAGUAGUGCCAUUGUCCACAUGAGGCUCGCUUGAUGUUACCUUGGUGAUGAUAGCCUCAUGAGCUAACUUUUGCACAUUAUGGGAUGUUAGAAGAUCGGCAUGAGAGCUUGUGAGCAUUACAUGGUUUUCUUCCAACUUCCCAUAAUUGCUAGUUAGUAAAUCAAGUUGAGCACAUAGCUCAACAUUCUCCUUCAAUGUUGAUACUUCAAGUGAGGUAGAGUUAGAUGUACAAGUAUCAUCAACAAUAUGAGAGGAGUAAGUAGCAAAUAGAGACUUCUCAUGAGUAGAUUGAAGCUCCUCAUAGAUCUUAGAGAUUUUGAUGGGCUCUCCCUUGACAUUAUUGAAUUCAAGGAGAAGGACCUCAAAAUCCUUUUUAAGUUUAUCAUGAGCAACUUCAAUCUAUCCUUUUGAAGAUCUUAAGUCUCUACAUGCUUGAUGACUCUUCUCAAGUUCAUGUUCAAGUUGUUCACUUUUAGCUUGUUCAUGAUUAAGUGAAUCAUUACAAUUUUCAAACUAAGCAAGAACAUCUUGGAAUCUUUCAAGAGUGUUAUUUUUAGCUUUAUGAAGAAUUUUACUGAUCACAUAGAUAUUUUCAGUCAAGUCAUCAUCAUCAUCCUCAUCGCAAAUAUCAUCGUUAUUGCACAGGGAAGAUGAUACCUCAUUAUUACCUCUUGCCAUGAGGCACAUGUGAACUGGAGGAGUUGAUGAUGAUUCUUUUGGUGAAUCAGAUUCAUCAUUAGUCAAAAGUACUUCAUAUUUCUUGAUAUCCCCUAAAUGAUUAGUCAUAGAGCAACUAGGGAGAAACAAGAUAUUUUGAUCAAGAGGACACGAGGAAGCAGGCAUAUCACCACAGACAUUUGUCGAGGAAUCUUUAGGUGAAAUGAAUGACCUAUCAGCACAAUAAUUUAUGCUAUGUGUGGUGCUAGAUGUGCUCGUGUCCAUAGAGGUUAUGACAUUUUCAUCAACAUAUAUUUCUUCACUCACCAUGUCAUUACCUUGUGAGAUUGAAGAUGCUGAGGUGUGCAAGCAAUCGGAUAUGGAAGUAGUGGUGGACUCUUUAAGAUCGAAAAGAGUGAAGAGCUCAUGCACCAACUCCUUCAUCAUAAUACCGUCUUCAUCAAGAUUGGACCCACCAUACAUAUCUUCAAGUUUAGUCCAAACUUCAUGAGCUGACUUGCAAGUCGAGAUAGACUUAAACACUUCAGGACUUAUGGUUCGAUGAAUGGCAAGAAAGUCCUCACAAUCAAGAUACAUUUCAUUAGUAGAUAAAGAUGCAUCAUCCUUUUUGUCGGUAAUCCCUACAAGAACAAUUCGUAAAGUAUUUGGGCCCAUGGCCCAAAAGUGAUGAAGCAUACGAAUUCUCCAUAGGGUAUAAUUUGUGCCAUCAAAGUCAAAGAUGCCAUUGUGCACUAAUCAAAUAGUUGACAUCGAUACUCUGUAGGUCGUGAAACCUAAUUAAAGAGAGACCUAGCUCUGAUACCAAUUGAAAAGACCUCGAUGAUGCCUAGAGGGGGUGAAUAGGCUAUUUAAAAACUUCUUCGGAUUUGGCUUGAACCUAAUGCGGAAAUAAACUAAGAGGGUACUUGUCAAGCACAAAUCCUAAAUGCACUAGGCACUGCAACGUGUAUCAACAACACGAUCUACCAAGAUGGACACAAUACAGUUACUAACAAGCACAAGUAAGUUACACAAACUUACUUGAGCUAUAUCACACGACAAGUAGGUGAACAACACAAGAUACUAGAUCACACUAUAUCAACACGAUGUAUCAAGGGCUGCAAGUAUGAACGUGUGGAUAUAGAGGGUAUGCUUGAAUGAUUAAUCUUGUACAAGAAAUGGCCAACACAAUAUAAUGAGCACAAGCAAUAUGCAAUGUAUGUAUGCUCACAUAACACAAGUAAACCACAAGUAAGGAGUUAGGGUUAAGGAUAACCAAGGUCACUGAGACGAAGAUGUAUCCCGAUGUUCACUUCCUUGGAGGGAAGCUAGUCACUGUUAGAGAGGUGGAUGUUACCACGAAGGCACACCAAUGCCACGAAGGCUCACCCUAUUCUCCCUUUGAGAUAACACCACGAAGGCGUUUCUCAACCACUAGUGGUAAGCCUUUGAGGUGGCUUCUAAACCCUCACAAACUUUUCCGAGGGAAAUCACACGGAUUGAUUCCUCUCCGAAGAACUCCUACCGCCUAGGAGUCUCCAACCUCCAAGAGUAACAAGAUCACGGGGAAUGCUCAAAACUUGCUCAAAUCACAAAUAGCUUGGGUUGAGAGAAGGAGAGGGAGACGAUCUAUCUUUUGAUUGGAACAAACCUCAAAGGGGCUCACAAAUGCUCUCGGGAUCUAAGAUUUGGAGUGAGGAAAUGUGUGUGAGGUGGAAAUGUGUUCUUAUGAGGAUAAGGCUGUGUUGGGCAACCCUCUCACGAAGUGGCAGGGGGGUAUUUAUAGUGGGGAGAGCAAAACAGCCGUUGGGGACACUUUAAGUCACACACGGUCCGGACGUCCGACAGUUUCCGGAAGUCCGGGCGUCCGCGAAGGGUCGGACGUCCGACAGGGGUCGGUCGUCCGAGACCUGUAGAUAUCACUGAAAAUACUAUGAAUUGAACAGCGACCGGAUGUCCGGAAAUCCGAGUUAUUAGACUCAACUUCUACUGGUGGGAGGUUCCGAAUUUCCGAAAGGGGACGGACGUCCGGUCCUCGAACGUCCGGAGGGAGCCGGAAACCUGAGUUAUAGGGCUCAAGUUCUUCUGGUGCAGGGCUCCGGAUUUCCGAAGCAUGUUGGUCGUCCGACCCUUGACCGGCCCUCGGACGUCCGGAGGGAGCCGGAAGUCCGGGUUAUAUGGCUCAAGUUUCUCUGGUGCAUAGUUCCGGAAUUCCGAAGCUGGUCGGAUAUCCGGGCCUCGGACGUCCGGAGGGAGCCGGAAGUCCGAGUUAGAUGGCUCUAAUUUCUCUUGAGCUUUGAUACCUUUGAGUUAGCCCUUUCACUGGAGCUUGAUGUUGUUGUUUCUUCUUGGCUCAAGUUGAAAGCAAGACAUGAUGAAGUCUUCAAGUAGCUCUCCCAUACACAAUGCGGAAAGCCUAGUUUAUGUAUUCAUCUUCAUUUGUCCACCAUGUGAACAUCCACAAGAAUCAAGCAUGUAGUGCUCAGGAAUGCUUAUCUUGAUCUUGUCCUUGUUAGCACAUGAGGUUGUCCUUAUCAACACAUGGUCAUUGACAAUAGUUUCAAUGAUAUAUUCGUGCUGAUCCACUUGAACUUGCACACCACAAUCUUGAUGACGAUCACCACUUGACGUCAUCCUUCAUGGGUUGUAUGAGAUCUUCCUUUUGACGCAAGCCCAAUGGAAGCACACCUAACCCCCACAUAGGAGUCUCACAAAGACCAUGGGUUAGUACACAAACACGUAAUGGACAAUGCUUACCAUACCAUGGGAUCACUUGAUCCCUCUCGGUACAUCUUAUACGCUUUGUGUGUUGAUCAUCUUGAUUUACUCUUUGUCUGAGAUCUUGAUCAACCUAGUGUUUCUAUGAGCAUUCUUUGGAUAAUACCUUGAAUAACAUCUUGGUCAUCAUAUAAACUCCUUGAACCCAACAGAUGGACUUCAAGAAGUGCCUAUGGACAAAUCCUAUAAAUAUAACUUAAGGCAACCAUUAGUCCAUAGGAAUUGUCAUCAAUUACCAAAACCACAUAUGGAGAUAUAUGCUCUAACAAUCUCUCCCAUUUUGGUAAUUGAAGAGAACCACUUCAAGAGAGUUUAUAUAAGGAAAUAAGCAUAACCAAGUGCACACAUACAAGGUAAUAAUGCAUGCGUGCAAGAUGUAAAUGCUUACGUAAUAAAAGCAAAACCCUCUAAACAUAUCCAAAGUAAACUCUCUAAACUUCUCCCCCAUUGGCAUCGAUUGCCAAAAUGGACGAAAAGUUUAGAAAGCCAAUAUAGCAGGUGGUCCUCCAAAAAGUGUGUACUUCUCAACAAAUGAGUGCAAAGAAAUACACAAAUACAAUGAUAAGUAGUUGGAGGAAAACAAACUAUAUUGAGGACCCAAAGAUUGCAAAUAAAAGGAUCGUAUGCCACAAAGACAUACAACCAAUAGAGGCAAGCAAUCAAAAGAUUCCAGAUGAAACAAACAAUUAUAUGGUCCUUCGAACCACAUGAAUAAAAGAUAUUAUGAUAAAGGCAACAAAGUGUUUUAUCAAAAACUAGAGAAGCUCCCCAUGAUUUGUGCACUAAUACGAGAUUUUGUAUUUGAUACAGGUGCACAAAAUAGGAUCGUUGCUCCCCCAAAAUGAAUAAAAACACACAACGAGUGCAAGAAGAUAGAUGAGACAAUAAGCAUAUCAAUUGCACAAAACAAAUGGUUGAGCAACAUGUAAAGGAAGCAACUUAAGAAUAAGCUCAACCAAAGUAAUGUGUGUGAGUCAUGGCAAAGCACUUGAGAAGACUAAGAUAAGGAUGAGCAUUACUCAUCACAUAGUCUUGAUGAAAUGAGAUACAAAGUGCAAGACAUAUCAUUCCCACACACACAUACUAGAAAAUGGGUUCACAAGCUUACUAAUAAACAAAAUAAGAACCAACGCUUGUGACAACCCAUUGUGAAGAUAGGAAGUAAGAACCUUAUCAAGAGGAGGGAUACUAAUUGAAAUGGCAAAAACCCUCAUCAAGACAAGCAUGAGGAAAAAUAAUCUUCACGGCCAAAGAGUGCAUCAAGAUGUAGGAAAAUAAGAUACACACUCAAAACAAAUCUUUUCACGAAGCCACCAAAAACUGAAAAAGGAAAUGUAACGAUGGACGUGAAAGAAAAGAGGAUAUCAAUUAGAGAUGUAACUUCUCUUAUGUGUAAAAGAUUAUAAGUAGAAGACAAUCAUGAUGAUAUAUAUCCACAAAGAAGGAUAUACACACAAAAUGGUUACAAGAAGAACCAAACUAGAUAUCCAAAAAGGAAGUCAUAAAUAUAUCAAUGAGAUCUUUUGCUUGGAAGGAUAGCACAUGGCCUAAUAUUUUCUUAUUGUAUAAUAUGAACUUCCAACAUAUGAACAUCAAAGACAUCCCAACUAGUAGUAAGACAUGAUCGUUCGGAUGCUUUGAUAAAGCAACCAAGUACUACAAGAACAAAUCAAGAGAUUCAUGCCAUGAUGCAACCUGGAAAAGAAAAGACAGGUUGGGUCCUUUGCAAGAAAAGAAUGCAUGAAGUGGAUACUUGUUACCGAGACAACAUUGGAUUGAUGUAGCAGAUAGUUGUUCUUUGAUCAUCCUAACUUGGCUCCAAUAAUCACAUGGUCUCAACAUCUUCCUUAUAGGGGAGCCGAGCAUCCAAUGCAUCUCCAGUUGUUCCUGGAACAACAAAAACAAACAAAAUGGUGCCCAAACUCAUUGGGACCAAAGAGUUAGAAAACCAGCAAUACAUAGGACAAACUCCACAUAGAUAUGUGCAUAUAGAUAUGAAUUUGAAUUUCAUGCAUACUUUAGCCAAUUUAUGACAAGGUGGAGUUUCCCCUAUAUAUUGGGUCAAAGAAGGAAAGCAAGCAAAAGAAGUUGUAUAUAGUAGCUAGAUACGCAUGCUCAAGACUCUCAAGAAUCAACUCAACACAAAGUUGAUAAGUCACCAAAAGACAAGGUAUCAAGUGAUAAUAAGAUCCUAAAACAAAAAGAACUAUCACUUGAAGGAUAUCAAUUAAAAGAUACCUCAAGGAAUGAGAUAUCCAUUGACACAUGCCAAAUAGAAGGCAACAAGAAACCAAUUGAAGGAAAACAGACACGAGGUAUCUAGUUUCCAAAAGAGAGCUAGGUUCCAACAAACCAAGCCCUCGACAAAUUUUCAUGAUGGCACAAAGCAUCAUAAAGAGCAAGACUUGCUUCCCAUCAACACACACUUGAUGGGGAUCAAAUGAUUUUAUGAUGGGUGAAUAAAGAGAGUGUUUUAAAGAGAAUAGGAUAGCUCCCCCAAGGGACGUGCAUUAUAUAGAAUUUGCAUUUGAAUACAAAACGCACACGAUGGGAUCAUCACUUUCUCUAUAUCUAUAACCACACUAGACAUGUUAAAAAUAGAUUCAUAAGAGGCAAGAAAGACAAACGAAACACAAAAUCCAAUGUAAAGAUGAUUAUCAAUUCCAAUCACAUGAUGGGAAUACCAAUUGUCAAGGACAAGAAGUAUUUUUUGAAAUGAUACUCAUUGGUAGAUCACGAAUAUAUCCAAGAUCAUCUUUACCCAUAAAAAGCAAGCAAAUGACACUUGUAGAGCUAACAUGCCACCUAGGAACAAGAUAAUUUACAAUAUCAACGCUAAGUGGCAAUAAGUCAAAUGUACACAUUUUCUAGGUUUGUAAUAUGCACAUAGCAUAUUACUCCCCCAUAAUGUGAUAAACCAAUAACAUUAGCAAGUGGCAAAUUAAAACCAACAAGAGAUACUUAAUGGACCAUAUAGAAUUUGAAUUUCUCAUGAGUAAGACAUACCACAUAAACACUAGAUAAUCUUGAAGCAUCAAAACUAAGUGGUAUUCCCCAUGUAUGCACAUUUAUAUGAUUGUGAGGUGUGCAAAGCACAUCACUCCCCCACAAUGGGAUAAUCCAUUAAUCUCUCACAAGAGCCAACAAAAAUACAGACAAGAUGCAAAUAGGCUCAAUACAAGACUCACAUGUACAUGAUGUGCAAACCAACAUACACAUACUUGAUUACUCAAGAUAAGCAAGUUGGAAGCACAACAUAUACAAACGCAUGCAAGGUACAAAACCACAACAUGCAAAAGGGGCAAGCACCUAACAACGUAAACAGUUUAAGUAUAAGUUACCGUAAGGAGGCACAUUGGAUAUAAGAUAGAAAUUCCAUAAUCCAAAUGACUUGGCUUGAGAUAAUAUGAAUGAUGAAGACCCCUUAAUUAUUCAUUAUGUAUCCAAGUCUCUAAUGUCCUCCAUAGUCACCUAUUGAUCAAGUUUGAGGUUGUUGGUCCCCAACUACGUUGGGUCCUAAGAGGUUAAUCACAAUAGGCUUGGCAACCCAAAUGGUUCUUUUCUUGACACCAUCUUGAGUACGAACAAACUUGGCAAACACAUUUCCAACCUUAUCCUUCCCAAGGGAAUAGAUAUCAUCAAUAGUGAUUGGGUUGGAUAAGUUACCUCUUGUGCAAGACGAAGCGACGUGACCCUUCUCACGACAUAAGUAGCAACAUCUACCCUUUGCUUUCUUCCCAGUUGAUUUCUCACCUCGGGGAGUGUUGGCUUGGGUCUUAUUAGGAAGAGGCCUUCCUUCAACUUGUAGUUGAAUAUGUGAUUGAGUUUGUGGCCGCUUCCCUUGUUGCUUGUGACUUUGAGACUUCGUCUUCAGAGGGCAAGAUCUAACAUGGUGCCCUUUAACUUUGCACUUGAAGCAAAUGAUUUUGGCCGAAUUCUUGACUUGUUCUAGGCCCCUCUUGUUCUUGUUUGAGUUUACUCCAAACUCAUUUUUGUCAUUCGGAGAUGUUUGCUCACACACGACGUUGUUGAGUGUGGGCAUCCCUUCAUGACACUGUUCCAAGUCUUUCUUCAAGGAAGUGACUUGGGCCUUGAGCUCUUUGAUUUCCUCUGCACGGUUAGUAUCAAUGCAAGUACUAGAGGAAGUGUAAGCUUCAAUGUUAGAGCAGCAAGGCAAGGAAAGUAAUUCAUCACACGAGGUAGCAACAUUAUGAGUAGACGAAUUACGAGGACUAGCACAUGGAAAUAUAGUACUUUGACUAGAAGUAGUGCCAUUGUCCACAUGAGGCUCGCUUGAUGUUACCUUGGUGAUGAUAGCCUCAUGAGCUAACUUUUCCACAUUAUGGGAUGUUAGAAGAUCGGCAUGAGAGCUUGUGAGCAUUACAUGGUUUUCUUCCAACUUCCCAUAAUUGCUAGUUAGUAAAUCAAGUUGAGCACGUAGCUCAACAUUCUCCUUCAAUGUUGAUACUUCAAGUGAGGUAGAGUUAGAUGUACAAGUAUCAUCAACAAUAUGAGAGGAGUAAGUAGCAAAUAGAGACUUCUCAUGAGUAGAUUGAAGCUCCUCAUAGAUCUUAGAGGUUUUGAUGGGCUCUCCCUUGACAUUAUUGCAUUCAAGGAGAAGGACCUCAAAAUCCUUUUUAAGUUUAUCAUGAGCAACUUCAAUCUCUCCUUUUGAAGAUCUUAAGUAUCUACAUGCUUGAUGACUCUUCUCAAGUUCAUGUUCAAGUUGUUCACUUUUAGCUUGUUCAUGAUUAAGUGAAUCAUUAAAAUUUUCAAACUAAGCAAGAACAUCUUGGAAUCUUUCAAGAGCGUUAUUUUUAGCUUUAUGAAGAAUUUUACUGAUCACAUAGAUAUUUUCAGUCAAGUCAUCAUCAUCAUCCUCAUCGCAAAUAUCAUCGUUAUUGCACAGGGAAGAUGAUACCUCAUUAUUACCUCUUGCCAUGAGGCACAUGUGAACUGGAGUAGUUGAUGAUGAUUCUUUUGGUGAAUCAGAUUCUUCAUUAGUCAAAAGUACUUCAUAUUUCUUGAUAUCCCCUAAAUGAUUAGUCAUAGAGCAACUAGGGAGAAACAAGAUAUUUUGAUCAAGAGGACACGAGGAAGCAGGCAUAUCACCACAGACAUUUGUCGAGGAAUCUUUAGGUGAAAUGAAUGACCUAUCAGCACAAUAAUUUACGCUAUGUGUGGUGCUAGAUAUGCUCGUGUCCAUAGAGGUUAUGACAUUUUCAUCAACAUAUAUUUAUUCACUCACCAUGUCAUUACCUUGUGAGAUUGAAGAUGCUGAGGUGUGCAAGCAAUCGGAUAUGGAAGUAGUGGUGGACUCUUUAAGAUCGAAAAGAGUGAAGAGCUCAUGCACCAACUCCUUCAUCAUAAUACCGUCUUCAUCAAGAUUGGACCCACCAUAUAUAUCUUCAAGUUUAGUCCAAACUUCAUGAGCUGACUUGCAAGUCGAGAUAGACUUAAACACUUCAGGACUUAUGGUUCGAUGAAUGGCAAGAAAGGCCUCACAAUCAAGAUACAUUUCAUUAGUAGAUAAAGAUGCAUCAUCCUUUUUGUCGGCAAUCCCUACAAGAACAAUUCGUAAAGUAUUUGGGCCCAUGGCCCGAAAGUGAUGAAGCAUACAAAUUCUCCAUAGGGUAUAAAUUGUGCCAUCAAAGUCAAAGAUGCCAUUGUGCACUAAUCCAAUAGUCGACAUCGAUACUCUGUAGGUCGUGAAACCUAAUUAAAGAGAGACCUAGCUCUGAUACCAAUUGAAAAGACCCCGAUGACGCCUAGAGGGGGGUGAAUAGGCUAUUUAAAAACUUCUUCGGAUUUGGCUUGAACCUAAUGCGGAAAUAAACUAAGAGGGUACUUGUCAAGCACAAAUCCUAAAUGCACUAGGCACUGCAACGUGUAUCAACAACACGAUCUACCAAGAUGGACACAAUACAGUUACUAACAAGCACAAGUAAGUUGCACAAACUUACUUGAGCUAUAUCACACGACAAGUAGGUGAACAACACAAGAUACUAGAUCACACUAUAUCAACACGAUGUAUCAAGGGCUGCAAGUAUGAACGUGUGGAUAUAGAGGGUACGCUUGAAUGAUUAAUCUUGUACAAGAAAUGGCCAACACAAUAUAAUGAGCACAAGCAAUAUGCAAUGUAUGUAUGCAAACAUAACACAAGUAAACCACAAGUAAGGAGUUAGGGUUAAGGAUAACCAAGGUCACUUAGACGAAGAUGUAUCCCGAUGUUCACUUCCUUGGAGGGAAGCUAGUCACCGUUAGAGAGAUGGAUGUUACCACGAAGGCACACCAACGCCACGAAGGCUCACCCUAUUCUCCCUUUGAGAUAACACCACGAAAGCGUUUCUCAACCACUAGUGGUAAGCCUUUGAGGUGGCUUCCAAACCCUCACAAACUUUUCCGGGGGAAAUCACACGGAUUGAUUCCUCUCCGAAGAACUCCUACCGCCUAGGAGUCUCCAACCUCCAAGAGUAACAAGAUCACGGGGAAUGCUCAAAACUUGCUCAAAUCACAAAUAGCUUGGGUUGAGAGAAGGAGAGGGAGACGAUCUAUCUUUUGAUUGGAACAAACCUCAAAGGGGCUCACAAAUGCUCUUGAGAUCUAAGAUUUGGAGUGAGCAAAUGUGUGUGAGGUGGAAAUGUGUUAUUAUGAGGAUAAGGCUGUGUUGGGAAACCCUCUCACGAAGUGGGAGGGGGGGUAUUUAUAGUGGGGAGAGAAAAUGAGCCGUUGGGGACACUUUAAGUCACACAGGGUCCGGACGUCCGACAGUUUCCGGAUGUCCGGGCGUCCGCGAAAGGUCAGACGUCCGACAGGGGUCAGUCGUCCGAGGCCUGUAGAUAUCACUGAAAAUACUGUGAAUUGAACAGCGACCGGACGUCCGGAAAAGGCCGGAAAUCCGAGUUAUUCGACUCAACUUCUACUGGUGGGAGGUUCCAGAUUUCCGAAAGGGGACGGACGUCCGGCCCUCGGACGUCCAGAGGGAGCCGGAAAUCCAAGUUAUAGGGCUCAAGUUAUUCUGGUGCAGGGCUCCGGAUUUCCGAAGCAUGUCGGCCGUCCGACACUUGACCGGCCCUCGGACAUCCGGAGGGAGCCGGAAGUCCGGGUUAUAUGGCUCAAGUUUCUCUGGUGCAUAGUUCCGGAAUUCCGAAGCUGAUCGGAUAUCCGGGCCUCGGACGUCUGGAGGGAGCCGGAAGUCCGAGUUAGAUGGCUCUAAUUUCUGUGGUAUAGGAUUCCGGAUUUCCGAAGCUGUCGGUCGUCCAGCCCUCGGAUGUCCGGAGGAAGCCGGAUGUCCGAGGCACUGGUUCUGUUUUUAGAUAACAACAGAGCAGUGGAGAUGUGGUCUGAGCAGAACAGUGGAGAUGUAGUUUGAGAAAGUUCAUCGCAAAGCCUGUGAUGCCCUCUCAAUAGUGCGGGAUCCCUAAGGACUCAAGAAUCAUAAAAGGGGUACUGAUGAUCCAUACUUCAGUGUUUCUUUUAUUCGUUGAUCAUCACUCCGCACCACUAACGUCAAAGGAACUGAUACCUUUGAGUUAGCCCUUUCACUUGAGCUUGAUGUUGUUGUUUCUUCUUGGCUCAAGUUGAAAGCAAGACAUGAUGAAGUCUUCAAGUAGCUCUCCCAUACACAAUGCGUAAAGCCUAGUUUAUGUAUUCAUCUUCAUUUGUCCACCAUGUGAACAUCCACAAGAAUCAAGCAUGUAGUGCUCAGGAAUGCUUAUCUUGAUCUUCUCCUUGUUAGCACAUGAGGUUGUCCUUAUCAACACAUGAUCAUUGACAAUAGUUUCAAUGAUAUAUUCGUGCUGAUCCACUUGAACUUGCACACCACAAUCUUGAUGAAGAUCACCACUUGACGUCAUCCUUCAUGGGUUGUAUGAGAUCUUCCUUUUGACGCAAGCCCAAUGGAAGCACACCUAACUCCCACAUAGGAGUCUCACAAAGACCAUGGGUUAGUACACAAACACGUAAUGGACAAUGCUUACCAUACCAUGGGAUCACUUGAUCCCUCUCGGUACAUCUUAUACGCUUUGUGUGUUGAUCAUCUUGAUUUACUCUUUGUCUGAGAUCUUGAUCAACCUAGUGUUUCUAUGACCAUUCUUUGGAUAAUACCUUGAAUAACAUCCUGGUCAUCAUAUAAACUCCUUGAACCCAACAGAUGGACUUCAAGAAGUGCCUAUGGACAAAUCCUAUAAAUAUAACUUAAGGCAACCAUUAGUCUAUAGGAAUUGUCAUCAAUUACCAAAACCACAUAUGGAGAUAUAUGCUCUAACACAAGCGUUUUCAGCAAGGUAAUUUCUGCAAGCACUGAAAUAGCGGUACGAAGUUGUUUGAUAGCAAGAUAAUUGUAACAAGUGACAAGUAUCAAUAGUAACAAUAGGUGCACCAAGGUAGCCCAGUACUUUUGUGGCAAGGGACAAGCCAGAACACAUUCUUAUAAUAGGCAAAGCGUUCUUGAGGGCACACGAGAAAUUCAUCUAGUCACUUUCAUCAUGUUGGGUUAAUUCGUGUUCGAUACUUUGAUAAUUUGAUAUAUGGGUGAACCGGUGCUUGGGUGUUGUUCUUACUUGAACAAACCUCCCUCUUAUGAUUAACCCCCCCGCAAGCAUCCACAACUACGAGAAAAGUGUUAAGAAUAUAUUCUAACCAUAACACUAAACAUAGCGAUCCAAAUCAGCCCCUUACAAAAUAGUGCAUAAAGUGGGGUUUAAGUUUAUGUCACUCUAGCAACCUACCAUUUAAUUACUACUCCACAAUGCAUUCCCUUAGGCCCAAAUAUGGUGAAGUGUUAUGUAGUCCACGUUCACAUAACACCACUAAGGGAUUCACAACAUUCACAUCAUCAAAAUAUCGAACGAAUGUCGACUUCACAUGACUACUUGCAACAUGACUUCUCCCGUAGCCUCAAGAACAAAAGUAACUACUCACAAGUGAUAAACAUGCUCAUGAUCAGAGAGGUAUUAAAUAACAUACUAGAUCUGAACAUAUGAUUUUCCACCAGAUAAACCAUAAAUCAUCAACUACAAGAUGCAAUCAACACUACUAGUCACACCUGAGGUAUCAAUCCAAGGUUCCGGUACAAGAUUGAGCACAAGAGAUGAACUAGGGUUUUGAGAGGAGAUGGUGCUCAUGAAGAUGUUGAUGAAAAUUGGCCUCCCCAAGAUGAGAGGGUUGUUGGUGAUGACGAUGGCCUCGAUUUCGCUCUCCGAUAGGGAAGUUCCUCCGACGGAAUGCCUCUGUCGGACGGCAAAAUUGCUCCCGCCCAGGUUCUGCCUCGAGAUGACCACGCUUCGUCCCGAAAGUCCUCCUCUCGUUAUUUCACGAAAAAAGGAGUUUAUACCAUAAGAUGGUCGCCAGAGGUGGGCCAGGGGCCCCACUAGACAUCAGGUCACGCCAGGGGGGUUUCCACCCUGGUGUCUAGUGGGCACCUUGUAACCCCCGUGUGGUACAUCUUUGCUCCAUUAUUUUUAUUUAUUCCAAAAUAAUUCUUCGUAAAAUUUACGCCCAUUUGGAGAUUUGCAGAAUAGGUAUCUCUGAUGUAGCUUUUUCAGGUCCAGAAUUCCCUCUGCCGGCAUUCUCCCUCUUGAUGUAAACCUUGCAUAUUAUGAGAGAAAAAGGCAUUAGAAUUACUCCACCAAGUGGAAAAAUGCAUAAAACACUAUAAAUAACAGUAGAAAAACAUGAUGGAAAAUGGACGUAUUAACUCCCCCAAGCUUAGAUCUCACUUGUCCUCAAGCGAAAGCCGAUAACAAAAAUCAUGACCACAUGCUUUGAGAGAGAGGUGUUGAUAAAAAAAUACGUGCAUAGCAACAUCAUGCUCAUUAUUAUAACAACAAAUAGAACUUUAUAAAAUACUUCAUGACAACAUUUUCAUCAUAUAACUUUCAUCAUAAAGGCUUCUUAUAAACAAGUAGCAAUUCAUCACAAUAUCGAAGUAUGGAGCAUAAACUCUAUUGAAAACUAACAAACUAUGUUUUGAGUCAACUUUGCAACACAAUUCAUCAUACUUUCAUGAAGGGUCACAUAGCAGAGCUUUUAAGCAAGUCUACAUACUCAACCAUCAUUUACUGUUCUAUGAUUGCUAACACUCACCGCAUACAUAUGAGCAAAAGGUUUCAACCAAACACAUAGAAAUAUAGGGGCUUAUAGUGUUGCCUACCAAUGUAUUCACCUCAAGGGUGAUGUCAACAAUAAUAACUCAUGACCACCCACAUUCAGCUGGAUAUAUAUUUUUAGAUCUUUCCCCACCAAACUAUACUUGCCAAAGAGAGGAUAAAGGGGGUAGAGGAAAAUACUUUGACUUUUGUAUAAAAGUAAAUACAUACAGGUAAAAGAUAGGCCCUUCGUAGAGGGAAGCAGAGGUUGUCAUGCGCUUUUUGGUUGUAUGUCAAAUCUCUUAGUGCAAAGGAACGUUACAUUAUAUUGCCCACUGUGAUGGAAACCUUUAUUAUGCAGGCCGUCGCUUUUAUUAUUGCCAUCACAAGUUCGUACAACGCUUAGUUUCCCUUACAGAAAAUGAUCAAACAUGUUUAGAAGCAAUUUAUUUUGCUUUGUGCACCGAUGACAACUUACUUGAAGGAUCUUGCUCAAUCCAUAGGUAGGUAUGGUGGACUCUUGAAACAUGGAUUUGGGUUUAAGGUUUUGGAUGCACAAGCAGUGUCUCUACUUAGUGCGGAGUUUUGGCUAUCAAAGAUAUUGGGCAAGUACCACAUGUUAGAGGAUCUAACAAUAUAACGUCUAUGUGAAUGUGAACAAACAUAAAUCAUUACGUUGUCUUCCUUGUCCAAUGUCAAGUUUUUUGACAUACUAUAAUUAAUGGGGGCUCACAAUCAUAAAAGAUGUCAAGGAUAGUGUAUUUGCAUGUAAAUAUUCUCUUCCCUUAUUAAUUCUUUCAUGUGUUGCAUCACCGACCAAUGCUAUGUUUGUCAACCUUCAACAAAUUUGACCACUUAUACUUUUCCUUAUGUGGCGUCACUACUUACUAUAAGAUUAGCAUAUGAUUUUUUCAUUAUUUCCCUUUAUUUUGAUUUCAACAAGAAGGUAAAGAAGCAAAGACUUAAACUAAACUUUAUUAUAUAGCCCUCACUCGAUUACAUAGAUAGAUAGAUCACAAAACUAGCACUCAAAAAGGUGGAUCGAACUAAAUUUUUAUUUGACUAAAUCACAAAAUAACUAAAGAUCGAACUAAGAUGGAUAAAGAUAAUAAGAGUGAUGGUGAUACGAUACCGGGGCACCUCCCCCAAGCUUGGCACAAGCCAAGGGGAGUGCCCAUACCCGUGUACUCAAGUCUCCUUCUUUGGUGAGGAAGAUGAAGGCGGUGGUGUAGAUGAUGAAGUAGCGUCAAACUUAUCCUCCAGCUUCCAUGGUAGUGGCUCACCACUAUAAGAAGACACACGAGUCUCCAUAGUCCUCCAACUGGCAGCUAAACUCAUACCUUUAAACCUUGCUUCAUACUCAAAGAUUUGGUUUUGAAGAUCGAAGAUUUGGCCUUGCAUAAAAUUGAUUUCCUCGUUGAGGGUGAAGAUGGUAUACUCUAAGGGCCUGCCAUACACCUUUAGAUCAUGGGUGAAUUCCAUGAUCAUGGAGUGGUUGGCACCGAGUCCAUGCUCCACCAUGCCUUUGCACCUGAAGAUCUCCUGUUCCACUGCCUCAAGCCUAGUUUCCACGAUCCCCAUCUUCUUGGGCCCUUGAACAUCCAGGAUGUGAAGCACCCCAUCAUGCAUCUCAAUGGUUUGAGGGUGCUUCAUCACCUCCGACAAGUAGGGGUUGAUGACCCUCUCGAAGAACUUGUCCUUGGAGGAGCUUUAUGAGGCCAUGGUGAUCUAGAUCUGCAGAAAAACAUCACGAAACAAGAAUAGAGGAUUUAUCCGUGGUAUGGGGGUCAAAUCAUCGAGAGAUAUAUAUAGAGAAUUUUUAUACAGUAAAAUAUGUUUCCCACAAGAAAAUGGAGCCAGGAAGGUGCCCGAGGGGCCCACUAGACAUCAGGAUGCUCCAGGGGGGCUGGCGCGCCCUCGUGCCUAGUGGGCACAUGGGUUUCCUUCCCGUGUGUUUCUCAAUUUCCUAUUUUUCCUAAUAUUCCAAAACUGACGGAAAAUAUUUUUGUGGAUUUUUCUAAGUCUGUUUACUUACCAUAUCACAUACCUCUUCCUUUUAAGGGUCCUGGAGUAUUCUGGAAGGUCUGCUUAAUGUGCUUCUCCGGUGUCAUGGUUUGGAUACUAUUUAUUUCAACACUAAUUGGUGUACCUGAAAUAUAAUGCUUUAUUCUUUGUACAUUGACCACCUUUGGAUUAGUGUCUUCGGGGUUAUUGAUUUUAAUAGCUCCGAGCCGAUAAACUUCUUCGAUGAUAUAUGGUCCUUCCCAUUUGGAGAGAAGUUUUCCUGCAAAAAACCCAAGACGAGAAUUGUACAAUAUAACAUAUUCACCAACUUUGAAUUCUCGCUUUUGGAUUCUUUUGUGAUGCCAUCUUUUAACUUUUUCUUUGAAUAGUUUGGCAUUUUCAUAAGCUUGGGUUCUCCAUUCAUCUAAGGAGCUAAUAUCAAGUAACCUCUUUUCACCAGCAAUUUUGAAAUCAUAGUUGAGUUCUUUAAUUGCCUAAUAAGCUUUAUGUUCUAACUCAAGGGGUAAAUGGAAUGCUUUCCCAUAAACCAUUUUAUAAGGAGACAUAUCCAUAGGAUUUUUAUAAGCUAUUCUAUAGGCCCACAAUGCAUCAUCUAAUUUCUUAGACCAAUUCUUUCGGGACCUAAUGACAAUCUUUUGCAAUAUUAAUUUUAUUUCCCUAUUGGUUAAUUCUACUUGACCACUAGACUGAGAAUGAUAGGGAGAUGCAAUUCUAUGGUUAACAUCGUAUCGAGCAAGCAACUUACGAAAAGCACCAUGAAUAAAAUGUGAACCACCAUCAGUCAUUAAGUAUCUAGGGACUCCAAAACAUGGGAAAAUAACUUGCUUAAGCAUUUUAAUAGAGGUGUUAUGAUUAGUACUAUUGGUUGGGAUAACUUCUACCCAUUUAGUGAAAUAAUCAACAUCAACCAAAAUAUGUGUAUACCCAUUAGAGGAAGGAAAAGGUCCCAUAUAAUCAAAUCCCCAAACAUCAAAUGGUUCAAUAACAAGUGAAUAAUUCAUAGGCAUUUCCUGACAUCUACUGAUAUUACCAAUUUUUUGACAUUCAUCACAAGAGAGGACAAACUUAUGUGCAUCUUUGAAAAGAGUAGGCAAAUAAAAUCCAAAUUGUAAUACCUUGUGUGCAGUUCUAUCUCCCGCAUGGUGUCCUCCAUAAGCCCCGGAGUGACACUUCCGAAGGAUUUGUUCCUGUUCAUGCUCACGUAUACAACGUCUAAUAAUACCAUCUACUCCCUCUUUAUAAAGAUGUGGGCCAUCCCAAAAGUAAUGUUUUAAACCAAAGAAGAAUUUUUUUUCUUUUGCUCAUAGGUGAAACUAGGUGGUAUGUAUUUAGCAACAAUGUAAUUAGCUUAACCAGCAGACCACGGUGUGUUAUGAGAAACAUUGACCAUAGCUAUUUGUUCAUUAGGAAAGCUAUCAUCAAUAGGUAGUGGGUCAUCAAAAACAUUUUCUAACCUAGACAAGUUAUCAGCUACAGGGUUCUCAGCUCCUUUCCUACCAAUGAUAUGCAUAUCAAAUUCUUGUAGAAAAGAACCCACCUAGUAAGUCUAGGCUUAGCAUCUUUAUUUCAAAUAAGAUAUUUAAUAGCAGCAUGCUCAGUUUGAACAAUUACUUUAGAAUCAACAGUGUAAGAUCUGGAUUUAUCACAAGCAAAUACAACUGCUAUAAAUUCUUUUUCAGCGGCAGCAUAAAUUCUUUGGACACUGUCUAGAGUUUUACUAGCAUAAUGAAUAACAUUUAAUUUCUUAUCAACUCUUUUUCCUAGAACAACACAAACAACAUAGUCACUAGCAUCACACAUAAUUUCAAAAGGCAAGUUCCAAUCAGGUGGUUGAACAAUAGGUGCAGAAGUUAAGGCUUUCUUAAGUGCUUCAAAGGAUUCUACACAAUCAUCAUCAAAAAACAAAAUGAACAUCCAUUUGUAAUAAAUUAGUAAUAGGCCUAGACAUUUUAGAGAAGUCUUUAAUAAACCUCCUAUAGAAACGAGCAUGACCAAGGAAACUACGGAUACGUUUAAUAUUUUUAGGACUUGACAUCUUCUCAAUUGCAUCAAAUUUAGCCUUAGUACCUCAAUACCUCGUUUGGAAAUUUUAUGACCCAAGAAAAUACCUUCAUUUACCAUAAAGUGGCACUUCUCUCAAUUCAAGACAAGGUUAGUUUGCUAAGAUAUGUGCAAAACUCGAUCAAGGUUUCUUAAGCAAUCAUCAAAAGAAGUUCAAUAAACGGAAAAAUCAUGCAUGAAAACCCCAACAAUCUUUUCAUAAAAACCAGAGAAUAUAGUAGUCAUACAUCUUUGAAAGGUAGCAGGUGCGUUGCAUAAUCGAAAAGGCAUACGUCUAUAAGCAUAGGUUCCAAAAGGACAAGUAAAGGUGGUUUUCUCUUGAUUAGGUUGUGACACAGGUAUUUGAGAGAAACCGAAAUAACCAUCUAGAAAGCAAAAAAUGUGUGUGCUUCGAUAAUCUUUCUAGUAUUUGAUCUAUGAAAGGUAAAGGAUAACUAUAUUUCCUAGUAGCUUUGUUUAAUUUUCUAAAAUCAAUUACCAUUCUAUAGCGAGUUACAAUUCUUUGUGGAAUGAGUUCAUUUUUAACAUUAGGAACAACAGUGAUACCUCCUUUCUUAGGAACACUACGAACGAGACUUACCCAUCUACUAUCAGCUAUGGGAUAAAUUAUACCUACUUCCAUAAGCUUUAAUAUUUCAUUUCGUACCACUUCUUUCAUUUUGGGAUUCAGUCUUCAUUGGUGAUCAACAACGGGUUUAGCAUCUGGUUCCAUAUUAAUCUUGUGCUGACAGAGAGUGGGACUAAUGCCCUUAAGAUCAUCAAGAGUAUACCCAAUAGCAGCUCAUUGCUUCCUUAAAGUUUUUAAGAAUCUUUCUUCUUCAUGCUCUGUAAGCUUAGCACUGAUAAUAACAUGAUAUAUCUUCUUUUCAUCAAGAUAAGCAUAUUUCAAAGUGUCAGAUAAUUGCUUUAAUUCAAACACAGGACCACCCUUGGGUGGACGAGGACCUCCUAAAGUUUCAACAUGCAAGUUGUGUUUAAGGAUAGGCUUUUGCUCAUAGAACAUAUUAUCUAAUUUAUUUCUUUCACGCAUAUGCAUAUCAUUUUCAUAGUCUAGCAAAUAUUGUUCUAAUAUACGAAUAGGAGGAAUGGCAAUAGAAGCAAGGCUAAUUACUUCAUCUUUACUAGGCAAUUUUUAUCAUGGGGUUGCUUACUAAACUUGGAGAAAUGAAACUCAUGGGACAUACCAUCAAAAUUAACACUGACGGUUUCCUUUUUGCAAUCUAUUUGAGCAUUGACAGUGUUCAAAAGGGGUCUACCAAAUGUUAUGGGACAAAAAUCAUCUUGUGGUGAGCCAAGUACUAGGAAAUCAGUAGGGUAUUUUACUUUUCCACACACAAGACUUCAACAUCUCUAACAACACCAAGUGGUGUGAUGGUGUCUCUAUUAGACAGUUUAAUAGUAACAUAUAUGUCUUCUAUUUCAGCGGGUGCUAUCUCAUGCAUAAUUUCUUGAGAUAAGGUGAAAGGAAUAAGACUAACACUGGCACCCACAUCACAUAAACCAUGAUAGCAAUGAUCUCCUAUUUUUACUGAGACGACACACGUGCGAACAAUAGGUCUAUUCUUAUCUUUAGCAUCAGGUUUCGCAAUCCUAGCAGCUUCAUUACAGAAAUAAAUAACAUGCCCAUCAGUAUUAUCGACCAAGAGAUCCUNNNNNNNNNNNNNNNNNNNNNNNNNNNNNNNNNNNNNNNNNNNNNNNNNNNNNNNNNNNNNNNNNNNNNNNNNNNNNNNNNNNNNNNNNNNNNNNNNNNNAUAAGCCAGGUGGGCCUAAGGCCCACCACGGGGUGCGCACCAUCCUCCUCCCUGCCCUGGCCGCAGCCCCUCUCCCAUCUGGGGCUGCCGCACCCCUUCGGGGUGGGAACCCUAAGGGCUGCGCCCCUCCCCUCCCCCUAUAUAUAGUUGAGGUUUCGGGGCUGUUUGGGACACGGUUUUCUCUCUCUCUCUCUCUCGGCGCAGCCCUGCCCUUCUUUCUCCUCCUCUCUGCCGGUGCUUGGCGAAGCCCUGCCGGGAGACCUCGUCUCUCCAUCGACACCACGCCGUCGUGUUGCUGGAGUUCUUCCCCUACCUCUCCCUCCUCCUUGCUGGAUCAAGGUGCAGGAGACGUCACCGGGAUGCACGUGUGUUGAACGCGGAGGUGCCAUAGUUCGGCACUAGAUCGGAAUCACACCGCGAUCGGAAUCGCUGCGAGUACGACUCCGUCAACCGCGCUCUAGUAACGCUUCCGCUUAGCGAUCUUCAAAGGUAUGAAGAUGCACUCACCCCUCUCUCAUUGCUGGUCUCACCAUAGGAAGAUCUGAAUAUGCGUAGGAAUUUUUUUGAAUUUAUGCUACGUUACCCAACAGUGGCAUCCGAGCCAGGUUUUCUAUGCUUAGAUUCUAUGCACGAGUAGAACACAAAAGUUGUGGGCGAUGAUUUGUCAAUUUGCUUGCCGCUACUAGUCUUAUUCUUUUCCGGCGGUAUUGUGGGAUGAAGCGGCCCAGACCGACUUUACACGUACGCUUACGUGAGACUGGUUCCACCGACAGACAUGCACACCGUGCAUAAAGGUGGCUAGCGGGUGUCUGUCUCUCCUACUCUAGUCGGAUUGGAUUUGAUGAAAAGGGUCCUUAUGAAGGGUAAAUAGCUUUGGCAUAUCAUCGUUGUGGCUGUCACGUAGGUAAGAAGGCGUUCUUGCUAGAAACCCAAAUCAGCCACGUAAAACUUGCAACAACAAUUAGAGGACGUCUAACUAGUUUUUGCAGGGUUUGACAUGUGAUGUGAUAUGGCCAAAGUUGUGAUGUUGCAUGUAUGAUGUAUGGGAUGAUCAUGUUAUUGUAAUAGGUUUCACGACUUGCAUGUCGAUGAGUAUGACAACCGGCAGGAGCCAUAGGAGUUGUCUUAAUUUAUUGUAUGAGAUGCAACGCCAUGUGCUUACUACUUUUACUUCAUUGCUAACGGUUAGCUAUAGUAGUAGUGAUAGUAGUAGUUGGCGUGACGACUUCAUGGACACACGAUGAUGGAGAUCAUGAUGAUGGAGAUCAUGGUGUCACGCCGGUGAAGAUGAUGAUAAUGCGAUGCCUGAAGAUGGAGAUCGAAAGGGCAAAGAUGAUAAUGACCAUAUCAUGUAACUAUAUGAUUGCAUUGUGAUGUUUAUCAUGUUUUUCAUCUUAUUGCUUAGAACGACGGUAGCAUAAUAAGAUGAUCCCUCCUAAAAUUUCGAGAACGUAUUCCCCUAAGUGUGCACCGUUGCGAAGGAUCGUUGUCUCGAAGCACGACGUGAUGAUCGGGUGUGAUUGUUGGAAAUAUGCCCUAGAGGCAAUAAUAAAUUAGUUAUUAUUAUAUUUCUUUGUUCAUGAUAAUCGUUUAUUAUCCAUGCUAUAAUUGUAUUCAUUGGAAACACAGUGCAUGCGUGGAUACAUAGACAAAACACUGUCCCUAGUAAGCCUCUAGUUGACUAGCUCGUUGAUCAAAGAUGGUCAAGGUUUCCUGGCCAUAGGCAAGUGUUGUCACUUGAUAACGGGAUCACAUCAUUAGGAGAAUCAUGUGAUGGACUAGACCCAAACUAAUAGAUGUAGCAUGUUGAUCGUGUCAUUUUGUUGCUACUGUUUUCUGCAUGUCAAGUAACAUACCGAAGGACAAAGGGAAUGACAUACAGGAUUAUAUGAAUCCUUGGCACUGAGGUUCAAAGGAUAAGAUCUUCGUAGAAUAUGUAGGAUCCAAUAUGGGCAUCCAGGUCCCGCUAUUGGAUAUUGACCGAGGAGUCACUCGGGUCAUGUCUACAUAGUUCUCGAACCCGCAGGGUCUGCACACUUAAGGUUCAACGUUGUUUUAUGCGUAUUUGAAUUAUAUGGUUGGUUACCGAAUGUUGUUCGGAGUCCCGGACGAGAUCACGGACGUCACGAGGGUUUCUGGAAUGGUCCGGAAACGAAGAUUGAUAUAUAGGAUGACCUCAUUUGGUUACCGGAAGGUUUUCGUGCAUUACGCGAAAAAUUUCGGGCUCAUCGGUAGUGUACUGGGAGUGCCGGGAGGGGUGCCGGGGACCAUCAGGAGGGGUGUCUCACCCCAAGGGGUCUCAUGGGCUAUGGGAAGAGAUAAACCAGCCCCUAGUGGGCUGGAAUAAGUUCCCACUAAGGCCCUGUGACGCCCUCGGUUUAAUCGUACGCUAAUCAUACACGCAAAUGCGUACGAUCAAACUCAAGGACUCACGGGGAGAUAUCACAACACAACUCUAGACACAAAUGAAAUAACAUCAGCUUCAUAUUACAAGCCAGGGGCCUCGAGGGCUAGAAUACGAAAGCUCGAUAAGCACACGAGUCAGCGGAAGCAACAAAUAUCUGAGUACAGACAUAAAACAAGGGGUGCCUUAGAGAAGGCUAGCACAAAAGAUACAACGAUCGAACGAGGCGAGGCCUCCUGCCUGGGAACCUCCUAACUACUCCUGAUCAUCAGCGGCCUCCACGUAGUAGUAGGCACCGUCGGGGUAGCAGUCGUCGGUGGCGGGGACCUCCAUCUCCUGGGCUUCAUCAUCUGGUCGCAGCAAACGGAUCAAGGGAACAAGGGGGGAGCAAAGCAGCGGUGAGUACUCAUCCAAAGUACUCGCAAGUCUUACAUCAGCACUAGUCUAAUUAUGCAUCAGUAUCAAAGAAGGGGGUUAUAUGUGGACUGACUGCAGCAAUGCGAGAAUAGAGAGAGAAGGCCUAGUCCUAUCGAAGACUAGCAUCUUCAGGGUCUUGCAGCAAUAGACGAGAGUAGAACACGGGUAAAACAUUAAUAGUCAUAUUGUUGCAGCAAUAUUAAAGUGAGGUCACGCCUAAAGAUCCUCCCUCGACUCCCUGCGAGGAAGCAAUCCCGAGGCAAACUAAUUCCAGUUAAGUAACAAUUGUAGUUGUAUAAGAUCGGGGCACAACUCCAAGUCGUCCUGUAACCGUGGACGCGGCUAUCCGAAUAGUUAAAUUUCAUCCCUGCAGGGGUGCACCACAUGUCCCGUCACGCUCGAUAACACUCUGGCCGGACAUACUUUUCUGGGUCCUGCCCGGCCUCGGAAUAUCGACACGUCGCAGCCCCACCUAAGACUAAUCAGAGAGGCCAGCCCGCCGGUCUAAAUCCUAAGCACAAAGGGUUCAUGGGCCCAGUUCCCCUUCACGCUCCUGCACGUGGCGUGGGCGGCCGACGUCAGUCCUAGCAUCCCUUAAUCACAAGCGCGAUGCAUCUCGGGACCACUCGGGCGCGCGCCGCUACACUGCUGGCAUCUGAAAAGCUUCGGCUGAUGCCGCGACGUCGAGUACCCAUAAUUCUUCCCGCGUAGCCGGUUAGUGCGAAAAGGUCUCCGACCAACCCAGAUCAAAUACCCAAAUCCAUUAGCAUUUUAAUUAGGCCAACAACACAGUCUCGCGGGAAUCCACCCGGCUUACAACUAAUCACCAAUGAACCCAGUAAUCAUGGUCGAGUAACUGUGUGGUUGUAACAUCAGGGGAAUCCGAGGAAUCACCCUCGUUGGAUUCCGAACGAUGUACCCGUCAAGGUGGGCUUAGAGGAAUCACCCUCGGGGGUCCCACACUCGCGGGGUGGCACGACGGAGACGUCAUCGGGAAUGGUGAAAGAGGAAAUCACCCUCGAUAACCACGACCGACUAGCUAUACUACAGAGAUAUCAUCAGGAGUACUUAGCGAGGUGUCACCCUCGGUACCCGACAGUAUCCCUGUAGCGUCGUACAACGAAGGGGGGUGAACGUGCUGUGUCGGGUCUGGCUCGUCGAUCAGAGAUCGAGAUUUGAAAACAAGCGGGGCAACUGAUCUACGGGGUCAGAGGGGAUGACUACUCCACCUAUACUAAGCAUAUUAAAGGUACAGGACUGAAAGUAGCAGUUCAUCAAAAACAGGCUAUGCAUCAGAUAUAGGAGCUAACUACAACAGUAGCAAAAUACUAAUGCAAGCAGUAGAAAGAAAGACAUAGGCGAUAUAGAAAUGAUCAAGGGGAGUUUGCUUGCCUUGCUGCUCUGCGGCAAAGGACUGAUCGGCAGGGUCGUAGAUGUACCCGGCAGCAGCGUCAGUCUCGGGGUCUACCGGUAAGAAGAGGGGGAAGAAACAAUAAAUAAUAGCACCGAUGCAACACAAAGCAUGACAUGGAAAGAUGCAGGCUAGACAUGAGCUAACGCAGCAACAUCCGUCAUAGACGGGUCGGAAGAAUAUCUGACGAUAUUUUCCGGGUCUCGGGCUACUACCGGUUACACUGGAAACGAUGGAAAAGUUCCAUGUUUGCUAUGCUAGGGACGCGUGACAGACGAACGGGCCGUGCAUCCGGGUUCGUCUCGCUUUGCUGAUCAACUUUCAUGUUGAAAAUAUUUUGAUCUGACUUACGGAUUAUUUAAUAUUAAUUUUUAAAGUUUUAUUAAUUAUUUAGGAAUUAAAAACAGAUUUAAAAGAUUUAGUAAAAUCCUAUUAUGACAUCAUCGCGAUGUCAGGCUGACAUCAACGUUUGACCGGUCAACUGACCAGCGGGUCCCGAACGUCAUAGGCACAAGUUUUUAUUAAGAUUAAUUAUUUAUUAAUCAGAUUAAUUCAACGAGGGACCCACGUGUCAUACUCUAAUUAUGUUAAUUAAUUAUUUUAACUAAUAUAUCUAUUUAUUUAUUUAUUUAAGAAAAACAUUAUUUUUAAUUAUCGCGUGGGGCCUCCCUGUCAUUGACAGCGGUGCAUUGGCCCCACCGGUAAGUGGCCUAAAGCUAAUUUCUCAUUUAUUUUUAUUAGAUACCUAUCCGUGCAAAUACCAUAUUUCUCUAAAUAUCCAAAUACACAAAUACAUACAUAAUACGGGCAUCGAAUACAUACAUACAUACAUACAUACGGCAUCUAAUACAUCAAUUGUUUUUAUUUCUUUUUCUCUCAAAACACUCAUCUCCCUCUCUCUGUUAACUUAACAGAGACAGAGAACUCUCUCUAACUCCACCUAGAAGAACACCAACUUCGAAUCCUUCUACCGGAGUCCACCGUCGACGGAUCGAGGCCCCGUUUGCCGGAACGGAACCGUGACGUCGAGGGGAACGACAAGGUGGGAGGAGCCCGAGGAGGGGCUCACCGACGGUGACGUGACGGCCCGGUGAAGCCGGAGUUCGCACGAAGUGACGGUGGAGACGGUGACGGUGAGGUUCCGGUGGUGACGUGCCGGCGAGGAGGAGCCGGUGAGGAGGGCCCCCCGGAGAUGGAGCCGCCGGCGGGAUGGGGAGGGCCCCGGCCGCCGGAUCCGGAGGGGGAGGUGGGCAAGGAGGCCGGGGUGGUGGUGCUGCCCGGCGUGGUGAAGGUGGCGCGCCGGCCGUGGAGGGGGGCUCGCCGUGAGGUGGGGGGCCGCCGGGUUGGGUGGCCCGAUGGAGGAGGUGGCCGCCGGGGGGGCGACGGGGGAGCUCGCCGCGGGAGGAGGGCCGGUGGAGGGAGGCCGUGGAGAGGAUGGAGGGAGGGGGCCGGCGGGGGAGAGGGCUGCCGGUGGGGAGGGGCUCGCCGGCGGGAUGGAAGGAGCCGGCCAGGGAGGGGCGGAUCUGAGGGGAAGGGGCGACGGGAGUUGNNNNNNNNNNNNNNNNNNNNNNNNNNNNNNNNNNNNNNNNNNNNNNNNNNNNNNNNNNNNNNNNNNNNNNNNNNNNNNNNNNNNNNNNNNNNNNNNNNNNGCUUUGUUGGCACACUCGGCUUUCUGCUUCAUUUCUUCCCCGCGUUGCUUCCCGGGUGAGGGGCUUUGGUUGUGCGUCUUUUGCCGCUACAGGUGCAGUCUUCUUCCUCGCCGUUGGCAUACCAACUGGCGAUUUCCAUAGCCCGGCUGAGGGAUAGAACAUCAGUCCAGCCAAACUUCAGAAUGAGUUUGCGGUACCGGAGGCCCACCUUGAAGGCACAAAUGGCCUGAUGCUCCAUCACAUGUUCCACAAUGUUAUGCAACAUGGUGCAACGUUGGAUGUACUCACGGCAAGUCUCGUUGUUCCUCUACACACAAUGUUGUAGCUCAGUCAAUCUGCCUGGGCCCUUGUAAGUGCCCUCGAACGUCUUUACGAACACUCGGGCCAAGUCUUCCCAGUUUUAAAUAUUGUCGAUGGGUAGCUGAUUCAGCCAUGCCCUCACAGAUCCCUCUUGCAUGAGGGAUAAGUGCUUCAUUGCAACAAAAUCGUUGCCGCUGUUGAUCUGGAUGGCUACUCGGUAGUCCUCGAGCCAAGUUUGUGGCUUUGACUCGCUGUUGAAUUUGCCUAUUCUAGUUGCCAGCCUAUAGUUGGAGGGUCCUGAAUGUAUCUGUUGAAACACUCGAGGCCAAAAGCGCCCUGACCAUUCAGUCGCUCUGCUUGCCCUGGCUCUUUUAACCAGUCCCUGGGCAAUGAUGGAUCUAGCAUUGAGCUAGGGUGCUCGGAAGUCUUCUUCCCCGUAAUUUCUAUGCCGAAUGGGGCUAUGCCUUCGAUCAUCUUCGUAAGGCCGUCUGUUGUAGUAGGACCAUUACCCAUAUGAACCACCCCUCAGAGGGGGCGUCCAACUACAACGGCGGUCUUCACCUCUCCGAUUACCGUAUUGGUCUCUCAAAGGGGGGAGCAUUGGUAUCUCCCGGGUGUAAGCGGACUAUGGCCGAGUACACCGUGUCCGCGCGGACAGACUUGUGUGAAUGCGGUUGUGCGACUUCGACGACAUAGAGUUUUGCUCCAAGGCAGUCUUGAGGAGCAUUUGGAUUUGUNNNNNNNNNNNNNNNNNNNNNNNNNNNNNNNNNNNNNNNNNNNNNNNNNNNNNNNNNNNNNNNNNNNNNNNNNNNNNNNNNNNNNNNNNNNNNNNNNNNNGAUAGUCAAAAUUAUUAAUCAUGAAAAUAGAAAAUAAUUUUGCAUUAUUUAUUCAAUUUGAAACACUUUUCAUUAUCAUAGUUUUGUCAAAUUCUCAAAUAUGCAAAAAGAAUUUUUAAUAAACAUAGUUUUUAAUUGAAAAAAAAUAAGUUAAUAGUUUGGAUAGUCAAAAUUAUUAAUUAUGAAAAUAGAAAAUAGUUUUAGCAUUAUUUAUUCAAUUUGAAACACUUUUCAUUAUCAUAGUUUUGUCAAAUUCUCAAAUAUGCAAAAAGAAUUUUUAAUAAACAUAGUUUUUAAUUGAAAAUAACAAAAUAAGUUAAUAGUUUGGAUAUUCAAAAUUAUUAAUUAUGAAAAUAGAAAAUAGUUUUGCAUUAUUUAUUCAAUUUGAAACACUUUUCAUUAUCAUAGUUUUGUCAAAUUCUCAAAUAUGCAAAAAGAAUUUUUAAUAAACAUAGUUUUUAAUUGAAAAUUAAAAAAUAAGUUAAUAGUUUGGAUAGUCAAAAUUAUUAAUGAUGAAAAUAGAAAAUAGUUUUGCAUUAUUUAUUCAAUUUUAAACACUUUUCAUUAUCAUAGUUUUGUCAAAUUCUCAAAUAUGCAAAAAUAAUUUUUAAUAAACAUAGUUUUUAAUUGAAAAUAACAAAAUAAGUUAAUAGUUUGGAUAGUCAAAAUUAUUAAUUAUGAAAAUAGAAAAAAAUUGAAACUAUAUGAGGAAUCGUGGACAAAUUCGACCUGAAUUCUCUUUGAAUUCAGAUUGAAUUUUAUCCACAAUUUCGAAUAUAGUUUCAAUUUUCAGUAAGUUUAGGCCCGUAAGCCUGCUUUAGAGAGGAGCUCGAUGGAGAAGCUGCGACGGGGCUUAUAAACAAGUGUUAGUCCUCCGCGCUGGGCGAGGUGGGACUAAAUUUAUCGUGCAGCCGAGGAGGGGCUUUAGUCCCGGGUAAAGCCACGCCCCGGGACUAAAGACCCCCUUUAGUCCCNNNNNNNNNNNNNNNNNNNNNNNNNNNNNNNNNNNNNNNNNNNNNNNNNNNNNNNNNNNNNNNNNNNNNNNNNNNNNNNNNNNNNNNNNNNNNNNNNNNNCAAAUAAGUUCAAAAAAAUGAAAUCCCUUUGUAAGAGACGAGUUCUCGUUCGAAACGCUCCUACUUCGAGAGAGAUUGUCAGUUUUGUACACGAACURCAUCCAGUUUUUGUCGUAGCCCUCUCAACGUUUUUAACACAUGCUAUGUGGAUGAAAUGAUGAUAGCAUGCCAACUUUCAACAUUUCCAGAGUUCAUUUGUAGUGCUUUUCAAUUUCAGGGUCAACUAGACUCAAAAAAAUUAAGUAAAUGCACGAAAUAUACCAAAUGAAGUCAAAAAUUGUUGAAAUUUUGUGAUGUGCCUUUGAAUGGUGCAUUUUGAACACAAAAAAAGUAUGUAGUUCAAAUAAGUUCAAAAAAAUGAAAUCCCUUUGUAAGAGACGAGUUCUCGUUCGAAACGCUSCUACUUCGAGAGAGAUUGUCAGUUUUGUACACGAACUGCAUCCAGUUUUUGUCGUAGCCCUACUCAACUUUUUAACACAUGCUAUGUGGGUGAAAUUAUGAUAGCAUGCUAACUUUCNNNNNNNNNNNNNNNNNNNNNNNNNNNNNNNNNNNNNNNNNNNNNNNNNNNNNNNNNNNNNNNNNNNNNNNNNNNNNNNNNNNNNNNNNNNNNNNNNNNNGAUGUGUAUAAGAGACAGGCUGGCGGAAGCCGCGACGGCAAGGUCGGGCGGCGGCAGCCACGGGAGGACCAGCUCCGCCAGCUCGCUGACGGCACCGGCCGCCGUUGGAUUUCUCAUCCCGGGCAGGGGCCGGUGGAGGAUUUUUUUUCUCCAAAAGUACUACCUAUUUUGUAUCAAAAUAGAAAAGCAUAUGUCGAAAUUGAAAAUAACCAAAACUAGCACCCCGUCGGCCUCUGGUGGACCGAAGGGGGGGGGGGGGUCUGUCAGCCGGUGAGAGUCCGAAGAGGGCCGGUCGGCCCAUUGGUGGCCGAAGAGCCUGCCGUCGGCCCACGACUGGCCGAAGAGGACCCGUCGGCCUCCAGGAGGCCGAAGAGCCCCUGGAUAAGGCCGACCGCCCGGGACCUUCUUCCUCCUCUGGCUCAUCCUCUCUCUCUCUCGUUUUCAAAACCGAUUUUGCCCCCCCCCCCUCCGAUCUCCUCCAUCCUCCACCCAUUUUCCUAUUCAAUCCGCUGANNNNNNNNNNNNNNNNNNNNNNNNNNNNNNNNNNNNNNNNNNNNNNNNNNNNNNNNNNNNNNNNNNNNNNNNNNNNNNNNNNNNNNNNNNNNNNNNNNNNUAAAGCCCAAAACCUUUAGUCCCGGUUCGCUUACCAACCCGGGACAGAAGGAUCUCCACGUGGCCGCUGCGGGGAGCCCAAGCAGGAGGAACUUUAGUCCCAGUUGAUCACACCAACCGGGAUCAAAUGGAAUCCACGCGUCAGCAUCUGGCAAGAACUGUUUGUUUUUGAAUGGGGAGGAGGGGGGGGAGGGGGGGGGUUGGGUGGUUUUGGAGGAUUAAUUUAGGGGGUUUCUUCGUGCUUGGUCGAACAACAAGUUUUCGUAAAUAUAUCUGACGCUACUACAUAUAUACAGUAUAACAUCUUUUACAAUCUCUAACAUCAUCUAAUUAAGAUCCAAUCACAAAUCCACAUGAUAUUCCCCGUCUUUAGGUAUGACGUGGUUAAGAAAGAAUCCCACUAAUUCCUCUUGAAUUGCUCGUAUGCGAUCAUAUGGUAGGAGUUCAUCCCGCAUCUGGCAGAUCUAAUUUAAAGAAGGGGGUCAAUACAUGCAUAUAUAUGGAUAAAACUCAACACAAUUGAUGGUAAUAUAUAAAAUAAAAUUGUGAAUAUUAUUUACGUACUUCAAAUAGUUCCUUAGAGAAGCCCCGCUCACUGGUCGAGUGACGAAUGACCUCGCAUAUGUAGUAUCCACAUAAAACAGUCCAUUCGUUCUGGUACAUAUACUUUACGAGAAUAGAGUUCCAUCAAACUGAUAAGCAAGCAUGGUAAUGAUAUAUUGAUGAAAAUUUGAAUCAAUUAGAGAUGUGUGGAACUAGCUAGUACUACUUACAUUGGGGUGCGUAAAUCGCAACUCUUUGUUUAGACCGGGAACCUUAUUGGCGAACUUCUUCCAAACUCUGCCAGGCAAAGAAAAUAAUUACUUGAUAUCAGGAAAUUAACAAAAGUUGCAUGCCGAUAUGGUCCCGGUAUUGACUGAACUUACUUCUUGAGCAUUGCAGUCAUGUCCGCAUAAUCCUCUUUGGCUUUACGUCUCGAGUCUAAGACAAUUACUAAUGUCUUGCCAACGUCAAUGGAUAGCAAAAUAAAGUGGUAUCUGGGCACACAUAUAUAACUCAUCAAUUACAUUACUUAACCUCGAGUAAGCGAAACCGAGUAUACAGAGAAGACAACAACACUCACUUAAAUUUAUAAGAAAAGAUUAUUUCCCUUUUGUUUUGAUGUAUAAGGAACGAGUUUAGCAAGUUCUCCUCGGUCUCUUUGAUUGAGUUUCGUACCGUCAAUUCAUUUACGACAUCUGGGCUAAUGAACCCAACAUCGAAGAUUCCUGUUUUUUUUAAUUCGACGAUCUUCAAUCUGCAUAAUAUAUAUAGUGAGGAUAAUUAUAUAUACAUGCAAUAAACGAGCUGAGCUAGAGACUUAACUAUAGAAGUAAUACUUACAGACAGUAGGAAGUCAUGAGUUGUUUGUCGAGGGUCAGUUGAUUGUUGUUGGGGGAUAACCCCGGGGUAGGCUCAUCGAGCAUGCUCCUUUAUCUCCGGCCCAAAAGGAAUGACCAAGAACAACUCCCCAAGGCACAAGUCCUCUGGCCGGCUAGGCUACACCUACCGGCUAGGGGGCGAGACGACCAACUCUCUGGCCGGUGAGGCAGCACCUGCCGGCUAGAAGUAAGACGGCUACCUCUUCUUGGCCGCCUAGGCCAAGCCAGCCGGCUAGGGACGAGGUGGCCGUGCCCAAGCCGGCUAGCCAAGCAGGCUAGCCGGCCGGGGAUCUCAAGUCACAUCAGAUCGUAGGUCAUGACGAGACCCUACGAUUAAAGGUGGCUACGCGUCAGCAAAGGUACUGGAUCGGAGUGCAUGGCGGGUACCAACAUUGGCGGCCACGCCGCUGACCUCCCCCCGCUCUGAUCCAUCCCCCAGCACAGUGUCGGUCGUCAAACUCCCACUCCAUUACUACACUCGGCGUGGGAACAGUGGAGGCGGCCGUACCGUCUGCCCAUGACGAAUCUCGCUGGACGACGACGCACGUACCAUACGUGUCCUGUGUCAACCUUACGCGAGAGCCUCACUGGCUAGCUGGCGGGUUCCACAGCCAGACGGGACCUUGCAGCCGGAGGGCCCCUCAAGCGACAAGACAAGACCCUCGUGGCCCCCCUGGCCAGCCGACGAGGCUGCCAGCCGGGUCCCACUCUUGUACCCUUUAACCAUAUUGUAGGUUGGUGGGUUCGUCUAUAAAACCCCCGGCCCCCUCCAUGCAGAGGGUCGGCCAACAGAUCACGCACACACACACCAACCACAUAGGAGAGGCAGAGAUGAGCCGGCUGCUCCUUCUUCCUCCUCCGCAAUACAGCUCCAGGAGCAACCUUGUAAUCCCAUCCAUACAUAUCAUACAUUCCGGCAGGACUAGGGGUAUUAUCUCUACAGAGAGCCCUGAACCUGGGUACAUCGUGCGUUCCAUGCUUGUACCAACCUCGCCCACAGCACCCUUCGUUGCCACUUCGGUUCCUACCUUCUUUAGCCUACCCAUGGCAUAUGUUGUGAGUAUUCACCGACAUUUGGCGCCCACCGUGGGGCCGAUCGCGGCAUCGACUGGCUUUACACGCUGGGCGGGGCCCCGCACCUACACCACCGGAUGCAUCGCAUCCGGACCGAUCUGCAUGCCCGUGGAGCCUGCCUUCGAUGAGGCAACAUCGAUGAUGAUCAAUGUCCCAGUCCGCCAUAUGGAUUCAGACGAGGAGUCCGAUGACGAGGCGCCUCCUAGCGUCGUCGUCGCUGCUAUGGAGAACCUCAACAUUCUCUUUAGCGACCUGCGCCUCAACGACGGUCCUUGCUACUUUGGCGAGGACUUCGAUGUCGAGGCAUUAGGCGCCAGCUUCAGUAGGAUCUCUAUCAGUGAGACGCCUAUGCACGACGUGUACCCCAGCAACGUACUCGUCUUCGACGACCCUCCGCCGUCGGUGGGGUUCUUCACCCCAUAACAUGUCGCCACUGUAUCCAACGUCGUGGAGGUGAUGGUCAUCGGCGCCGGCACCAGCACGGCUUAGGGCAAAGCGUCAGCAGACGCUGCGGAUCCUGCUGCUGUCGCUGCUGACACUCUUCAGGCUGCGCUUACCGUCCUGAAGACGCCCAUCGCCGCCUCCACAAACCCUAACAACGCGCGAGCCUCGCUGGAGGAGGCUCGCAGGCAGAUCUUGGAGGAGGGCAUCACCAUCGCUUCGGCGAAGCGCCGGAUGGAGGCCACGCAGCGCGAGUAUAACUCCGCAUACGGCCUCACUUCGGUUUCCAAGGCCCCUAGCCGGCUUGGCUCGGUCCGCGGCCGCGGCCGGUUCAUUGCCGAGAUUCUAGGCGGCAAACAACCUGUCUACGAGACCCAUGCAGCCAACUUGCGGGCGGCACAGGCGGCCAUGGCCAAAAUGCCAAGCUUGGAGGGCGAGGAGCACGCCUUCAAGGAGAAGCGGGUCAAGGAUCUCCUUGACGCCGCCAACGAGCAGCAGACACGGCUUGACCCUGGUCAAGCCCAAUCAGAGUCUCUGGGACCCAACCCCGGAGCGUGCCGCAACCCUAGCGGUCAUCAACACGCGGAGGGAUCUUCCUUGCAUCACACUUCAGGCCGGAAGGGCGAGGGAAGCCAAGACAGGCGCUCCUAGCGCCAGAGCGAGCAUACUUCGAGCCGGCGUUGUGGAGGUGACGAGAGCGACUCGAUGUAUGAGGUUCCUCAUCCGGGGAGGACCCAUGCCACCGGUUCGCAAGGUGCCCUUCCUAUCGCGGCUCGGAUCGGCGCUCGCGUUCCCCAAGGCGAUCAGGACGCCAGCCGGCGUCUCAACGCCCUGGCCGAGUCAGCCCUCGUGGAGGAAGACGGCCCCAUCGGUCCGACCUGCUUCGCCCCCUGAAUCCGAGGGGAACCGUUUCCCCGAGGCUUCACCUUGCCUCGGGAUACUCCCAAGUACAAUGGCACCGCCAAGCCAGAGGACUGGCUGAUCGACUACACCACCGCCGUUGGCAUUGCCAGGGGCAACAAACGCGUAGCAGUCCGCUACAUGCCACUCAUGUUGGCCGGCUCAGCUCAGACUUGGCUUAAUAGCCCCCACUCAUGGGUGGACUUUGAGGAGGCGUUCGUCCGCAACUUCACUCGCACCUACAAGCGCCCUGGCCGGCCUCGCGAGCUGGCCAUGUGCGUCCAGAGGCCCGAUGAACCCCUUCGCGACUACAUCACUCGCUGGAGGGAGCUUCGCAACUCCUGCGAGGGAGUGCAUGAGGUACAUGCCAUCCAAUACUUCAUUGAUGGUUGCCUUUCCAGCACAUUGGGAUNNNNNNNNNNNNNNNNNNNNNNNNNNNNNNNNNNNNNNNNNNNNNNNNNNNNNNNNNNNNNNNNNNNNNNNNNNNNNNNNNNNNNNNNNNNNNNNNNNNNAACGUAACUGGGUGACUAUAAAGAUGCUCUACAGGUAUCUCCGAAGGUGUUCGUUGAGUUAGUAUGGAUCAAGACUGGGAUUUGUCACUCCGUAUGACGGAGAGGUAUCUUGGGGCCCACUCGGUAAUACAACAUCACACACAAGCCUUGCAAGCAAUGUAACUUGGUGUAAGUUGCGGGAUCUUGUAUUACGGAACGAGUAAAGAGACUUGGCGGUAAACGAGAUUGAAAUAGGUAUGCGGAUACUGACGAUCGAAUCUCGGGUAAGUAACAUACCGAAGGACAAAGGGAAUGACAUACGGGAUUAUAUGAAUCCCUAGCACUGAGGUUCAAACGAUAAGAUCUUCGUAGAAUAUGUGGGAUCCAAUAUGGGCAUCCAGGUCCCGCUAUUAGAUAUUGACCGAGGAGUCACUCGGGUCAUGUCUACAUAGUUCUCGAACCCGCAGGGUCUGCACACUUAAGGUUCGAUGUUGUUUUAUGCGUAUUUUUGUUAUAUGGUUGGUUACCGAAUGUUGUUCGGAGUCCCAUAUGAGAUAAAGGACAUCACGAGGGUUUCUGGAAUGGUCCGGAAAUGAAGAUUGAUAUAUAGGAUGACCUCAUUUGAUUACCGGAAGGUUUUCGGAGUUACCGGGAAUGACGAAUGGGUUCCGGGUGUUCACCGGGGGGGAGGGGGUAGCCCACCCUGGGGAAGCCCAUAGGCCUUGGGGGUAGCGCACCAGCCCUUGGUGGGCUGGUGGGACAGCCCAAGAAAGACCUAUGCGCCAUAGAUAGAAAAUCAAAGAGAAAAGAAAAAAAAGGAGGUGGGAAAGAAGAGAAGGACUCCACCUUCCAAUCCUAGUUGGACUAGGAUUGGAGGAGGACUCCUCCUCCCUUGGUGGCGCAGUCCUUGGUGCUCCUUGAGCCUCAAGGCAAGCCUCCCCUCCCCUCCUCCUAUAUAUAUGGAGCUAUUAGGGCUGAUUUGAGACGACUUUUGCCACGGCAACCCGACCACAUACCUCCACGGUUUUACCUCUAGAUCGCGUUUCUGCGGAGCUCGGGCGGAGCCCUGCUGAGAUUAGAUCACCACCAACCUCCGGAGCGUCGUCACGCUGCCAGAGAACUCAUCUACCUCUCCGUCUCUCUUGCUGGAUCAAGAAGGCCGAGAUCAUCGUCGAGCUGUACAUGUGCUGAACGCGGAGGUGCCGUCCGUUCGGCACUAGAUCGUGGGACGGAUCGCGGGACGGUUCGUGGGACGGUUCGCGGGGCGGAUCGAGGGACGUGAGGACGUUUCACUACAUCAACCGCGUUUCUUAACGCUUCUGCUGUGCGAUAUACAAGGGUACGUAGACCGGAAAUCCCCUCUCGUAGAUGGACAUCACCAUGAUACGUCUUCGUGCGCGUAGGAAAUUUUUUGUUUUCCAUGCGACGUUCCCCAACACAACGUGCCUAGCUUCAAUCCACAUUACUUGAGUCAAUGAUAUUUAGCUCAUGCCUUAACUCCCAGAACCUUGCUUCAUCUAGGGGCUUAGUGAAGAUAUCUGCAAGUUGCUCUUCAGUGUGGAUGAAGUGGACCUCAAUAUCACCUAGCUUGAUAUGUUCACGAAUGAAGUGAUGGCGAAUAUCAAUAUGCUUGGUUUUGCUAUGUUGCACUGGGUUGAGGGAAAUCUUGAUAGCACUUUGAUUGUCACAUAGAAGAGGCACUUUGUCACAAGUGACACCGUAAUCCUUUAAAGUUUGCCUCAUCCAUAGCAAUUGUGCACAACAACUUGCAGCUGCCACAUACUCAGCUUCGGUGGAUGAUAGAGAGACGCAAUUCUGCUUCUUUGAAAACCAACUUACCAGUGAGCGACCAAGGAAUUGGCAUCCUCCAGACAUUGACUUCCUCUCCACACAAUCUCCUGCCCAAUCUGAGUCAGAAUAGCCAACUAGGUUGAAGUUUUCUCCUUUGGGAUACCAUAGGCCAAAGUUUGGGGUAUGAGCCAAAUAUCGAAAGAUUCGCUUAACAGCCAUAUAAUGACUUUCUUUUGGUGCGGAUUGAAACUGUGCACAUAUCCCUACACUUAACAUAAUAUCCGGUCUAGAUGCACAAAGGUAAAGGAGGGAUCCAAUCAUGGAUCGAUAUACCUUUUGAUCCACUGCUUUACCAUUGGGAUCACUGUCAAGCUUGCAUCUUGUUGGCAUGGGGAACUUGACCGGUUUGACAUCUUCAAGCUCGAACCGUUUGAGCAUGCCUUGAGUGUACUUGGCUUGUUUGAUGAAGGUCCCUUCUAGACCUUGUUUAAUCUCGAACCCGAGGAAGAACUUCAACUCUCCCAUCAUGGACAUCUCAAAUUUCUCAGUCAUUAGUGCAGCAAAUUCUUCAUUGAAGGAAAUGUUAGGAGAGCCAAAGAUAAUAUCAUCAACAUAUAGUUGGCAUAUGAACAAAUCCCCUUUAACCCUCUUAGUAAAAAGAGUGGGAUCUAUCUUCCCAAUUUCAAACCCACGAUCUUGUAACAGCUCAGUAAGAUACUCAUACCACGCACGUGGGGCUUGUUUAAGGCCAUAGAGUGCCUUAUUACGUUUGUACACAUGAUUGGGGAGCUUGGGAUGUUCGAAUCCCGGGGGUUGUUUGACAUAGACCAACUCAUCUAAAGGACCAUUAAGAAAGGCACUUUUCACAUCCAUUUGUUGUAAUUUCAAGUUAUGAUGGGAAGCAAAUGCAAGCAACAUGCGAAUAGAUUCUAGACGAGCAACAUGGGCAAAGGUUUCACCGUAGUCGAUACCCUCGACUUGGGAGUAGCCUUGAGCCACCAAUCUUGCCUUGUUUCGAAUCACAAUCCCAUUGGCAUCUUGCUUGUUCUUGAAUAUCCAUUUGGUCCCGAUGACAUUAUGUUCCUCCGUUGGCCUUGGUACUAAAUCCCAGACUUGGUUACGCUCGAAGUUGUUAAGUUCUUCAUGCAUGGCCAUAAGCCAAUCCUCAUCAUCGAGCGCUUCCUGUACCUGCUGAGGUUCACAAUACGAAACAAACGCGUGAUGCUCACAAUAAUUCCAAAUCUGUUGAUGGGUGGAUACUCCCCUUUUUAAGCUGCCAAGUACAUUCUUCAUAAGAUGUGACUUGACUCUCAGCUUGUUCGCAAUCUUGGCUACUCGACGCUCCAACAGUUCUUCAUUGGAUAACUGGGGAGCAUCGACUUGUUUACUUUGAUUGGCCUUGCGUCUUGAGCCUCCCUUGGCACCGGCUGUUGGUGCUACAGAAGGGAACUGUGAGACAGUAUCCUGAUCAUCUUGACUUUCGACUUGAGCAGGUUCACUUGUUUGUUCUUGUAAUUGUGGUUGCUCUUGAUCUUGAUCUUGUGCUUCUACUUGGUCUGGAUCUCGCGGUUGCACUUGAUCUUGAUCAUGAACAGGUUCGGAGCCUUGGGUGAGUGCUUGAAUAUCAUGGGACACAUCAUCAUUGUUGAUCAAUUUAUCUUGACCUUGGGCUUGUUCAUUUUGUUGAGAGUCUUCUCUUUGUUCAUCGGAAGCGUGUGGGGCUUGUGGAGGUGAUGGCUCCAUUCGAGUAGAGCAUUGUCCUUCUCCUUCAGCCACAAGGGGUUCCUCAAUGGGGAGUAUUUGACCAAUCCCCAUUCUUCUUAUGGCUUGGGGAGGAAUUUCAUCACCUACAUCACAAAGACCACUUUGCUCCACUUGGGAGCCAUUAUUUUCAUCAAACUCCACGUUACACGUCUCCUCAAUGAGUCCGAUGGACUUGUUGAGGACACGGUAAGCAUGAGAGUUUGUAGCAUAACCAACAAAGAUGCCCUCAUGUGCUCUAGAGUCAAAUUUAGCUAAACGUGCACCUUUCUUGAGAAUGAAACACUUACAACAGAAUACCCGGAAGUAUUUGAGAUUGGGUUUGUUUCCAGUUAGAAUCUCAUAAGGAGUCUUUUUCAAGCCUUUGCGGAUAUAGAGCCGAUUGGAUGCAUGGCAUGCUGUGUUGAUGGCCUCUGCCCAAAAGUUAUAUGGAGAUUUGAAUUCCGCCAUCAUCGUUCUUGCAACGUCUAUCAAGGUCCGGUUCUUCCUUUCUGCCACGCCGUUUUGUUGAGGGAUGUAUGGUCCUGAAUAUUGAUGUUUUAUUCCCUCAUCACUUAGAAACUCAUCCAAGGUGUAGUUCUCGAACUCGGUGCCGUUGUCACUUCUAAUCAUCAAGAUCUUUGCUUCAUGUUGACGUUGAGCUUCAUUAGCAAAGUUGAUGACAGUUUGUUGAGUUUCACUCUUCCUUUUGAACAAAUAUACCCAGGUGUAUCUUGAGUAGUCGUCAACAAUCACCAAGCAGUACUUUCUGCCUCCAAGACUAUCAAAUGAUGGAGGGCCAAACAGAUCCAUAUGGAGGAGCUCCAAUGGCCUCUUAGUGUAGAUGAGAGUCGUUGGACGAUGAGCAGUUUCAUGAAUCUUUCCUUCAAUGCAGGCACUGCAAACACGAUCUUUGGCAAAACUCACAUUUGUUAGUCCACGAAUAUGGUCCCCUGUUAGAAGACUUUGCAAAGAUCUCAUAUUGACAUGAGCUAAACAGCGAUGCCAAAGCCAGCCCACAUCAACUUUAGCCAUUAAACACGUCGCGGUCUUAGUGGGUCGCUUUGAGAAGUUCACCACAUAGAGACCAUUUUCGACAUAUCCAACAUAGGCUAUUUUCAGAGUCUUGCUCCACAGGAGGACCAAAGUAUCAAGAUUAAAGAAUGUGGAAAAACCCAUAAUUGCAAGUUGACGAACCGAAAGUAAAUUGUAGGCAAGUGACUCAACAAGCAUGACCUUCUCGAUAGAUAACUCUUGAGAGACGACCACCUUACCAAAUCCCAAUACCUUUGACGAGGAUGCAUCCGCGAAUUGGACAUGGGUGGGCAUAGAUGUAGAAGGAUGCACAUCCACCACUAAGUCCUUGCUUCCGGUCAUAUGAUUUGUUGCUCCACUCUCGAGCAACCAUGACACCCCACCGGGAGCAAACUCCUGCACUAGAUCAAGGCUUGGUUUUAGGUACCCAUUUUUUAAUGGGUCCUUUCAUGUUAGAGACAAGGGUCUUAGGAACCCAGAUAGCCCAUUCAAUGAACUCAUCGUAGGAACCAACAAAUCUGGCAUAAACAUGCCCAUCACUAGCACGACAUAAGACAUAAGAAGAAUUGAGUUUGUUGGUUGUGUUAGUAGGAAUGGUUUGGCCCUUCUUGAGGUUUCCAUAGUCCACCUUGUUCCUGUUCACCUUCUGAGUCCCCUCACCCUCUUUGACAAAGAUGUCCAUGAGGGUAGGAGAUCUUUUGUUCCUGUUCCUCCUUUUACCUUUUGACUUGGAGGUAAGUCCAAGUCCCUCCUUUCCUACAACACCUUUUUGAGUGCUCAAGAUAUCGUUCAGGCUCUUCUCACCUUGUAUGCAUGCCACAAGGCCCUUCUCAAGUUUCUCCUUUAACUUGGCAUUUUCCUCCACAAGAUGUACAUGCUCACAACAGGGAUUAGUUGCACAAGCAUUAUCAAUUAACACAAAGGGAGGACAAGUAGAGAUCUCCUUGGUAAGCUUUGCUUGGAGUUGAUCAUGAGACUCUUUCAGAGAGAAAUGUACACCUUUCAAGACCUUGUGGGCCUUGUCAAGUGUGUCAAACUCCACUUUGAGUCUGUCAUGGCCAACCCCAAGAGCAUACUUUUCAUACUUAAGCAUACGAGUCAGAACCACAUCAUGAUCUAGUUUCUUUUGCAUUUUAGCGCAGUCAUCGUUAUAUGACUCCUCAAGAGCCAAACGAAGAGUGCACUCAUUUUCUAGAGCAAUAGAUAAUUUAGCAAUUUCAUCGGCAUAGUAACGACUGUGUCCUUGAAGCUCGGAGAUGGUCUCCUCAUGAGACUCAAUGAGGUCAUUGGCCUCACCCAGUUGUUCCAAGAGAGCAACAAAGUGCUUCUUGGAUUCUCCCUUAAUAGUGCAUAGAAACUUGUCAAGGUCAUGCUCAUUAAGUUCCCCAACAUCACUAUCAUCAACACAAUUUAACAAUGAAGGAGAAGUAGCGAUGUUGGUCUUAAUGAUGGGAGUUACCCGAUUGAUACCUUUUGCCAUGAGGCACUUGGUGAUGUGGUUCUCGUUGGGGGCGUUGAAGAGAGACACCUUCUGGGGAGAGGUAGUGGCAAUAGCAACAGUUGCCGUUGCCACUUCAUCAUCAUCAUCCACUCUUCAAGGGCCACCAUCCGUUUUGGGUGGGGUUCUUCACAAAGUUGUUCUUGAUUGGAAAUGAUUUGGUUUUGUCUUUGCGAAUGAGCUUGCCCCCGUUGUCUUCCCUUUUCUCAUAGGGACAUUCGGCCACGAAGUGGCUCACGUUACCACAGUUAUAACAUGUCCUCACUCGUUGCUUGGGUUUGAAUCCACUCGAGUUGUUCUUGGUGAAGGUGGGUCUUGAGUUCCUCUUGUUGCCCCAGAAUUGCCUUGACGCAAGAGCCAUGUGCUCAUGAUAGGCAUACUUUGUGGCUUUAGGGCAGCUCUCCUCUUCUUCAUCCUCUUCUUCUUCUUCAAACAUUGCUUUUGCUUUUAACGCAAGGUUGGGUGAAGUUGUCUUUGAGCGAACGCGAGCAAGUGCAUUGUCGGCUGUUUCGUUCAUGAUUGACAUUGCAAUAAAUUCAUCCAACACCUCAUUGGAAGACAAGGAGUGGAAGUCUGGCCACUGACGAAUGACAGAUGACAUGGCUUUGUUGAAAGGCAUGAUGGCUUUGAGAAACUUGCGCUGGACCCAUGUAUCAUCCACAUCCUUGCUCCCAUGAUCCUUGAGUGCCACAGCAAUAGCAGUCACCCUUCGAUAGAGAUCACGAGGGUCCUCGUCUUCCUUCAUCACAAACUCAUCGGCCUUAUCAAGUAUCACUUCAUAGUUGGAUCGUUGAAUGCUUGAGCUUCCCUUGUACAACACCAUAAUAUGCUCCCAACAAUCCUUGGCCAAAGUGAAGGGAUGCAAGUGAGGAAGAUCUUCAGGUGGCACUGCAGACUGGAGAAUAAACAAGUUGGAGUGAUUGUAUUGAUUGUCUGCAUCUUCUCUUGGAGUGAGGUUGCUUNNNNNNNNNNNNNNNNNNNNNNNNNNNNNNNNNNNNNNNNNNNNNNNNNNNNNNNNNNNNNNNNNNNNNNNNNNNNNNNNNNNNNNNNNNNNNNNNNNNNUUUUUUUGUGUGUGACCGGAGUCUGCGACCGUGGAAAAACUCUGAAUCUGCUGUAUAUUAUUUCAUCAAUACUUGUUCGUUACACUGCUUCAGUCGACGAUCACGUAUAGAAGCGCUUGAGGAGGUCUCCGUUCCAUGCACGCGGCUCGUCUGUCUCCCUCUGGAUGUUGUAGAGUCUGUAUGCUCCGUUGUUCAACACCUUAGAGAUGAUGAAAGGUCCUUCCCAGGCCGGAGCCAACUUGUGGGGUCUUUGCUGAUCCACUCGGAGCACUAAGUCGCCUGCUUGGAAUGUGCGACUCCUGACGUGACGCGCAUGAAAGCGCCGCAGGUCUUGCUGAUAAAUUGUUGAGCGAGUUAGUGCCAUCUCGCGCUCCUCCUCCAGAAGAUCUACUCCAUCUUGCCUUGCUUGUUCUGCUUCAGCUUCGGAGAAGAGUUCGACUCGUGGAGCAUUAUGAAGCAGGUCACUCGGAAGGACCGCUUCUGCUCCAUAAACGAGGAAGAACGGUGAUCGCCCCGUUGAUCUGUUCGGAGUGGUGCGGAGGCCCCAAAGCACUGAAGGUAACUCGGUGACCCAUGCGGCAGCAGCGUGUCCCACCUCUCGCAGGAGUCGGGGCUUCAAACCUUGAAGAAUAAGCCCAUUCGCCCGCUCAGCUUGUCCGUUGGAUUGAGGAUGUGCUACGGAAGCGAAAUCCACUCGGAUACUCUGACUCGCACAGAAACCUUUGAAUCUGUCCGAGUCGAAGUUUGUCCCGUUGUCUACGAUUAUGCUGUGAGGAACGCCGAAUCUGGAGAUGAUGUUCCUGACAAACUUGACAGCUAUUGAGGCGUCGAGUUUCUUGAUGGGCUUGGCUUCUAUCCAUUUUGUGAACUUGUCGACUGCCACCAACAGAUGAGUGUAGCCUCCUUGGCCUAUCUUGAAUGGUUCGACUGUAUCUAAUCCCCAAACUGCAAACGGCCACACAAGCGGGAUUGUUUUCAACGCAGAGGUUGGCUUGUGGGACUUGUUGGAGUAGAAUUGACAGCCUUCACAUCGGUCGACCAUAUCCUUAGCCAUCUCGUUUGCCUGCAACCAAAAGAAACCGGCUCUGAACGCCUUGGCGACGAUUGCUCUCGAAGAAGCGUGAUGACCGCAGGUUCCCGAGUGAAUAUCCUCCAAGAUCAGCUGCCCCUCCUCUGGGGAGAUGCAUCGUUGAAGAAUGCCUGAGACGCUUUCCUUGUACAAUUGGUCGUCGAUGACAGUGAAUGACUUCGACCUGCGGACUAUUUGCCUGGCUUGGACUUCGUCUUCUGGAAGUUCUUGCCUCAAGAUAUAUGCAAUGAUCGGCACAGUCCACUCGGGAAUGACAGCCAGAAUCUCCAUGACCAGAUCAACCACAACAGGUACAUCGACUUCAGUCGGAUCUGUUGUGCUCAUGGGUUGUACUGGUUCUUCUGUGAAAGGAUCUUCUUUGACUGAGGGAAGGUGGAGGUGCUCGAGGCAGACGUCACUCGGGACUGGUCUCCGAGUGGAUCCGAGUUUUGCCAACUCAUCAGCGGCUUGGUUCUUCAAUCUCGGAACAUGAUGGAGCUCUAAACCUUCAAACUUCUUCUCCAGCUUCCUCACUGCGUUGCAAUAUGUGGUCAUGGUGGGGUUCCUAACGUCCCACUCUUUCAUCACUUGAUUGACCACCAAAUCUGAAUCGCCAUAAACCAUCAGGCGACGGACGCCGAGUGCUAUGGCCAUGCGCAAUCCGUAGAGGAGAGCUUCAUACUCUGCCUCGUUGUUGGAGGAAUCAAAGUGUAUAUGCAGCACGUACUUGAGCUUGUCGCCCUUUGGUGAUAUGAUCACAACAACAGCGCCGGAGCCAUUCAACAUCUUAGACCCAUCGAAGAACAUUGUCCAAUGAGCCGAGCAGAUGUGGGUCGGUUGCUGUUGUUCUACCCAUUCUUCUAUAAAGUCAGCCAGGGCUUGAGACUUAAUAGCUUUCUUGGCCUUGAACUUGAUGACACAGUACAACAUCACCAUUGCCCACUUCGCCACUCGGCCUGACGCGUCUCGAUUGUGGAGAAUUUCCGACAACGGAGCAUCAGAAACGACAGAUACCGAGUGGUCUUGGAAAUAAGGAGCCACCUUCUUCGCAGUCAAAUAGAUCCCAUAGAUAAGUUUUUGAUAAUGGGGAUACCUCUGCUUGGAAGGAGUCAGGACUUCGGAGACGUAGUACACUGGCCGCUGAACUUUGUAUGCCUUGCCUUCUUCUUCUCGUUCGACUGUAAGAACGGUACUGACGACUUGAUUUGUAGCCGCGAUAUAUAGAAGAAGGGGCUCUUUACUGAGCGGAGCAGUAAGAACCGGCUGGGUGGAAAGUAGGACUUUGAGGUCGUCGAAUGCGACUUGGGCUUUGUUUGUCCACUCGAAGGUAUCUGAUUUCUUCAUGAGUCGGUACAGAGGAAGUGCUUUUUCGCCGAGUCGACUGAUGAACCUGCUCAAAGCCGCUAGGCAACCUGUGAGCUGUUGAACAUCGUGUAUUCUGACCGGCCUCUCCAUUCAGACGAUGGUCCCGAUAUUUUCGGGGUUGACGUCGAUCCCUCGUUCGGAAACGAAGAAACCGAGUAACUUCCCGCUGGGAACACCGAAUGAACAUUUGGCUGGGUUGAGCUUGAUAUCGUACCUACGAAGGUUGGCGAAUGUUUCUGCCAAGUCAGUCAGCAGGUCAGAACCUUUGCGUGACUUGACUACGAUACCAUCCAUAUAUGCCUCCACAUUGCGACCGAUCUGGUCGAGGAGACAUUUUUGGAUCAUGCGCAUAAAGGUAGCUCCUGCAUUCUUCAGACCGAAAGGCAUAGUGAUGUAGCAGAAGCACCCGAAUGGGGUGAUGAAGGCUGUUUUUAACUCAUCGGGACCAUACAGACGGAUCUGAUGAUAGCCCGAGUAGGCAUCAAGAAAUGACAAACGCUCGCAUCCCGCAGUUGAAUCGACAAUUCGAUCUAUGCGGGGAGCGAAAAAUGGUCUUUCGGGCAGACCUUAUUGAGAUGCUUGAAGUCGAUGCACAUUCGGAGCGACUUGUCCUUCUUGGGCACCAUGACAACAUUGGCGAGCCACUCGGAGUGGUGAACCUCGCGAAUGAAGUUGGCAGCCAGCAGCUUGGCCACCUCUUCCCCGAUUGCCUUCCUCUUGUGCGCGGCGGACCGGCGCAGGCGCUCUCGGACGGGCCAAGCGGCAGGAUCCACGUGCAGUCGGUGCUCAGCCAACUCCCUGGGUACACCUGGCAUGUCAGAGGGUUUCCAUGCGAAGAUGUCCCAGUUCUCAUGGAGGAAUUGGGUGAGCUCGACUUCCUAUUUGGGAUCGAGGGUGGUGGAGAUGUUCGUCGGUGCAGCAGAGUCGUCCGUCGGGUGGAUGCUGACCUUCUUCGUCUCUCCUGCCGACUGGAACGCAGAUUCAGAAGCUGGCUUCUUCGAGCGCAUCAGGUCGGCUGGGUCGACUGUUUUCUUGUACUCGUCGAGCUCGAGGACGGCCAUCUGCUGGUCGGCGAUUCUUGAACCUUGCUGUAGGCACUCUUUGGCUCGCCGUCGAUUGCCCGUAAAGGUGAUCACACCUUUCGGGCCUGGCAUCUUCAGCUUCAAGUAGAUGUAACACGGACGGGCCAUGGAACGCGCAUACGCCGGGCGGCCCAGGAUUGCGUGGUAAGCGCUCUGGAAGUCUACCACUUCGAAUGUCAGCUUCUCCUUGCGGAAGUUCUUGUCGGAGCCGAAAACGACGUCCAACGCGAUCUGGCCGAGUGACUUGGCCUUCCGUCCAGGGACGACUCCGUGAAACUGCAUGCUGCUCUCGCUGAGUUUGGACAUCGGAAUGCCCAUCCCCUUGAGUGUGUCAGCGUACAUGAUGUUCAAGCCGCUGCCGCCAUCCAUGAGGACUUUGCGCAGUCGGACUCCUUCCACCACCGGGUCGACGACUAGAGCCUGUCUCCCCGGAGUGGGUACAUGUGCGGGAUGAUCCGACUGGUCGAAAGUGAUCGCAGUCUGAGAGCAUUUCAGGAACUUGGGACUGGUUGGAGUGGCCAUGUUAACCUCCCUGUUUACCAGUUUCAGUCGACUCUUGCUUUCGACGUCGGCAAAAAUCAUGAGGGUCGCAUGGACUUGGGGGAAGGGAUCCUCCUUAUCCUCCUCAUCUUGUUCAGGGUCCUUCUCACUCGGUUGCCCCUCGCUGAACCCCUGGAUCAGGAGACGACACUGUCGAGUGGUAUGCUUCGCGUAUAUGGGGUUGCCUUCUUCGUCCAUCUUCGUGUGGACCGGACAAGGCUGGUCCAGUAUGGGAUUAUUGAAGUGCUUCUUCUUAGGGGUGAACUGUGCCUUCCCUUUGCCCUUGAACUUGGCAUUGGUCACGGCUGCAGCUUCUGCUUGCGGCAUGGGCGGAGCUUUCUGCUUCUGCUUCCGAGUGUUACCUCCGUCACCAUCGCCGACUGUCUUGUGCUUGCUGCUCCGGAUGCGGUCCUCUUCCUCGCCAUUUGCAUAGCGAGCCGCUAUCUCCAUCAUCUUGCUCAUGGAGAUGUCGCGUGUUCGACCGAACUUUAGUUACAGCUCUCUGUACCGCACGCCUGCUUUGAAGGCGCAGACUGCUUGAUGCUCGGUGACGUUCUCCACCGUGUGGUAGAGAGUUGUCCAAUGCUGGAUGAAAUCGCGCAGGGGCUCACUCGGCUUCUGGACACAGUGCUGGAGCUCCACAAGGCCUGCAGGGCGUUUGCACGUCCCUUCGAAGGUCCUGAUAAACACUCGGGCCAGAUCCGCCCAACUGUAAAUGCUCGAGGGGGCCAACUGGUUCAGCCACGCUCGCGCCGAGCCAUCGAGCAUCAGAGGGAGGUGCUUCAUAGCGACAUGGUCGUCCCCUCCUCCGAUCUGGACUGCCACUCGGUAGUCAUCCAGCCAUGUUUCCGGCUUGGACUCUCCUGUAAACUUACUGAUUCCCGCUGCCAAUCGGAAGUUGGGCGGGAUGUCAGCCGAGCAUAUAGCUCGACUAAAACACUCGGGACCGGACACGAUGGCCCUGCUUCCACUUGGACGGUCCAGAUCGUGACCAUCACGGUGGGCUCGACCUCUGUCGACUCUUCGCUGGGCGAUACGUCCUCUUGCAUUGGGUCUUGGGUCGUAAGUGUCGCCGACUGAACGCCGAUCGUCAUGAUGUUGGGACCCAUAGGGCCCACCCCGCGGAGGGGUGCGUGAGCGGCGGCGAUCUUCAUGAAUUAUGGAACGGCUGCCUCCCCUGUGGCGCUGAUGGGAACUAGGGCUGUGAACCGACCGAUGCGUAUUCGCAUGGACGGAACUAUUAUAGAUCCGGUUGUGGGACUGGGAGACCGCCGAAUUCUGCUGCUGCGCCGUGUGCAAUAGGGCUCGGAUCUGCUCGAUCCCCCUUCCUGCCUCUGAAUCAGUCGGCUGGAGGGAAUCGGCUAUCUUGGCAGCCGCAGCCAAGUUGAGGAGGGGCGUGCGGAACAACUCCACGUUGCUCCGCCGAGUGUGUCGACUAGCAGAACGGCGAGGUGGACGACGCGCACCGGAUGCUUCACCGACCUCGCGCUCGCUUUGACCAACUUGACGGGGAUCUUCAUGGGAGUUGGCCAUGUGUACUUCUGCUGCAGGCCCGCGACCCGCGUACUCGGAAGGAAACUCAGUCGGAACUGAGCCCGAGCGCUGGGAACGCGGGGCAACCACAAUAGACUCCAGAACUGCCACUUGAGAAGACGUGAUCUGGCGCGUCCGGGCAUGCUGCACCAAACGUUGGAGACGCGGACGGCGGGACCGCUUGUUGCGGUGCAUGACGGAGGUGCAGGUCGACAACGGAGCCGAUUGUUGGAGAAGAAGAAUGCCGCGGGCGUCGGCACUGAAGUGCGUAGCCCCAUGACGGGGAAGCAUCUCGACGUCGAGAGGAGCCUCCCGAAGCUGCGCCGAAUCGUCGACGAUGAAGGAGAGAGCGCCGAAGAAGAUCUGAUGACCCAUGCUCGAAUCUCCACCGGACGACAUGACGAAUGGAAGUAGUCGCAAACUCGCCGGAAGUCGCUUAGACGCCUGCCCCACGGUGGGCGCCAACUGUCGUGGGUAUAAGCCUGACAGUAGAUGUGCAGGGUACGAAUGAGAUGGGCAGAGUCCUAGCUACGGCGAGGUUGUAUUUGUUCAGGCCCCUCUACGGUAGAGGUAAUAGCCCUACGUCUCGGUGCUCUCGGAGCUUGUUGUCGAGUGGAAUAUGGAAUACAAUGGUUUGCUCACCCCUUUACCAGUGGGGGAGGGUGGCUUAUAUAGAGUGCACUGCCCUCCACAACGGUUCUGAUUCAGGGGUGGAGUAGUGGCGAUUGAAUGUGUAUGUUACAGGUAACGGACGACUUAAAUGCUAAUAAAUGCACCUGAAAACGUACGACCGUUUCCCUCUAGGGGGGUUACGGUGUACCGAGUGGUAUCCAGUCGGUCAGCUAGAUACGAUCCGAAUGUUAGUCUCCGACUGGAUCAUCGAGGACCUGUUACCGACUGAAUGAUGGAGAUUCCUUAAUUCAGUCGGAACUGACUAAGGCCCUUGUCGUUUGGGAGGGGUAGUCCUUGGGUAGGACCUACAGGGCAUGCCUAUGACCCUACCCUAGGACUAUAACCCCAUCAUACGACAACACCAAAGUUGUUGACCAAGUGUGUAUGGAUCAUCAGUAUUUCAUCCGACACAAAUAUCAAGUGCUAUCCACUCUACUUGUUAGUAUAUUUUAAAUUAUUUUGAAAACAAUUAUUCGCCCUUGCAAUAUAUUUUACGCAGGACAAUUACUUGCCGGUGGAGUGGCUUUAUAUCUCGGAGAUGGAGCGAGUACCAGUAUCUUUUAUCUGCCGGUUUAUGCCACAAUCAAGUAUGGAGACUCCCAAACCGCCUCCUUGAGCCAACUUAAGACUCAGGGGCUACAUGGACAUGGCUCGGCAGGCUCAACUCGGAUGAAUAUUUCAAGAACCCCGGAUCAUUACAGAAAAAUUAAGCCGGUCUAAAUACUUGAGCUUUUGAUACAAAAGUCUAUCUUNNNNNNNNNNNNNNNNNNNNNNNNNNNNNNNNNNNNNNNNNNNNNNNNNNNNNNNNNNNNNNNNNNNNNNNNNNNNNNNNNNNNNNNNNNNNNNNNNNNNACAAGGGGGGGAGAGAGAGGACGAACCCAAGGGAGGGUAUGCACUCACCGGAUGACACGAGGACAGCAUAGCCACCAGAGCCGGAAUCGACGCCCGAAACCCUAGCCAUGAGGGGUGGUCCAUGGUGGGCUCUGGAUGCCGCAAACACUGGAUCUAGCAGGAUGGGAGGGCACCGCAGAGCAAGGGGAGCUCGGGCUGUGCUUCGCGGUGGAGGGAUUCAAGACAGAAAUUCCCGUGUGUCCUCGGGAGAGUUUUUCCUCCUAUAAGACUUUGUCCAGGCUCGUCCCUUGCUACAAAAGGGAUUGGGACACUUUGCUGCACCGUUGUUACUUUUGUUACUUGUUGCUUUUUACGAAUCAUCUCACCUACACAAUCACUUGUUACCGAUAAUUGCAGUGCUUGCAGAUAUUACCUUGCUGAAAACCACUUGUCAGAUCCUUCUGCUCCUCGUUGGUUCGACACUCUUACUUAUCGAAAGGCUACGAUAGAUCCCCUAUACUUGUGGGUCAUCNNNNNNNNNNNNNNNNNNNNNNNNNNNNNNNNNNNNNNNNNNNNNNNNNNNNNNNNNNNNNNNNNNNNNNNNNNNNNNNNNNNNNNNNNNNNNNNNNNNNGGGUAGAAGCUAUCCCCACUAGAAAUGCUGAUCACCACACCUCUAUUAAGAUGCUUAAAGAAGUCAUUUUUCCCAAGAUUUUGGAGUCCCUAGAUAUCUGAUGACUGAUGGCGGUUCAACACUUCAUUCAUGGUGUUUUCCGCAAGAUGCUCGCUAAGUACGAUGUCAACCAUAGAGUUGCAUCUCCUUAUCAUCCUCAGUCUAGUGGUCAAGUGGAGUUGAGUAAUAGGGGAGAUCAAAUUGAUCUUUACAAAAGACCGUCAAUAGAUCUCGAAAGAAUUGGUCUAGCAAACUUGACGAUGCACUAUGGGCUUAUAGGACUGCUUAUAAGAAUCCCAUGGGCAUGUCACCGUAUAAAAAUGGUUUACAGUAAAGCCUGUCAUUUACCUCUUUGAGCUUGAACACAAAGCUUAUUAGGCAAUCAAAGAGCUCAACUUCKAKUYSMAACUUGUCGGUGAGAAGCGGUUGUUUGAUAUCAUCUCAUUAGAUGAAUGGAGGUCCCAGGCAUAUGAGAAUGCCAAGCUGUUCAAGGAAAAGGUUAAGAGGUGGCAACGAUAAAAGAAUACAAAAACGAGAGUUCAAUGUAGGUGAUUAUGUCCUGCUAUACAAUUCUCGUUUAAGAUUCUUCGCACGCAAGCUUCUCUCUAAAUGGGAAGGUCCCUACGUUGUCGAGGAAGUAUAUCAUUCCGGUGCCAUCAAAAUCAAUAACACGGAAGGUAAUUUUCCUAGGGUGGUAAACUGGAAAGGAUCAAGCAUUAUAUCUCUCGUACUCCCAUAAAUGUUGAGACCAAUAUCAUCAAUAUCAUAACUCCAGAGGAGUACAUAAGGGAUGUUUAUCAGCCUUUUCCAGACCCUGAAAACCACGAGGUAUCUGUUUUGGUAAGUAAUUGGACUCCGAAACUUUUCCAAUAGGAAAUUUUCUCCGUUUUGGAAUUUUAUGGAAAAAUUNNNNNNNNNNNNNNNNNNNNNNNNNNNNNNNNNNNNNNNNNNNNNNNNNNNNNNNNNNNNNNNNNNNNNNNNNNNNNNNNNNNNNNNNNNNNNNNNNNNNUUUUCAGCCGAUCGAUUGUAGCGCUGCCCUUUUCUUUUGGUAAAUAUAUAUUUUUAAACCUUGAACUUUUUAGAGGCCGAACGAAAUGAACUUCCAAAUCAAAAUUCCGGUCAAUUGUACUCUAAAUUAUGGAAUCCCAAUCUAAAUCAAAUCUUCAGAUCAUUUCUUAAACGGAUAUUGCCGACAUGGCAAAGGACGACCGAGAUUGGGCUGGCCUAGAUCACGGCAACGCGUGCUGCACAUUAUUUUGCUUCAGGUUUUUCGUUUGUUAUCUUCUUCUUUUCUGUAUUUUUUUUUCUUUCGUUUUUAUUUGGAUCGCGAUAACAUCCACACAUGUGGGCGUUAAGAGGUCUUGCCACAAGCCUCGUGCGGUGUGCAAGNGAAACNGCCUGCAUGCUUACAUGUGGACAAAAACAGCUAAACGCCUACACGCCGGGCUCGUGCCUCACAUCACGGCAUGCAUGUAUGUUGGAAUCUUUUGCUAUUUCCAAUUUUUAAAAUGUUUUAUCUUGUAAAUGAAAAAUNNNNNNNNNNNNNNNNNNNNNNNNNNNNNNNNNNNNNNNNNNNNNNNNNNNNNNNNNNNNNNNNNNNNNNNNNNNNNNNNNNNNNNNNNNNNNNNNNNNNUUCAAAAAAUUCUGAAAAAAAUACAUAGAUAAAUUAAGGUAUAGUACACAAGUGUGUAAAUUUUCAGAACAAAAUACGUUGAAAUGAGGGCUGUGCAAAAAAGACAAAUCUGAGGCUGUUUAACACAUGUUACUAUUCAUCAUUUCAGAUCAUGAAUUUGUCUUUUUUGUACAGAUCACGUUUUAAAGUAUUUUGACCUGAAAUUUUACACACAUGUCGGUUACAUCCUUACAUACAUGCAUAUAUUUUUUCAGAAUUUUUUGAACCAUAAAAAUUUGAAUUUGAAUUUUUCAAAAAUAAAGGCCUUCAUGAAGCUCGGCCUCCAAAACGCUAUUCUCUCCUGGGAAACCAUAAUAAAACCUGGAAAAAAAACAUUUGAGCAUUCAUUAUACACUAGCUUUGCUAAAGGCCCGGUCAGGAGGGCCGCGGUGCGACAAAUAGGAGAUCCAAAAAACAGAGAGAAAACCCAUCCGAUACAUGUGUGUCAUGUGGAUGGGUUGCGAUAUUUCUUAUUUAGGUCGUUUGUGGAUGAGCUGUACGCCUUCACCGAAGAAUUGCUUGUAAAAUGUGAAUGCUAAAACGGCUCCUAGACAUCACGAUAGAUCUUGUAAUUAGGUACACUGCAAGAUGCGUCUAUAUAUACUUUUUUUCAUGUUCACAGUAUGAGCUACGUUUACAUUAAGCUAAAUCUAAAGAAAAGCGUAUUGCAAGAUGCAUCUAUAUAUACUUUCUUUCAUGUUCACAGUAUGAGCUACGUUUACAUUAAGGUAAAUCUAAAAAAAAGCGUAUUGAUCACUGUUGUAAAGUGUCGCUUCUACCAUGAGAGAACAAAAUUAUAACAUUUAUCAUGACUAUAUAUAACACUAACACUUACAUUAAACCUUAUGAAAAAAUUCUACUUGAUCGCGUUUGCAGGAGACACACAUGCAUCUUCCGUGUGUGAAAGGGUUUUGUAAUGAUGAUGCAUAUGUGUGUGUGUCCAAGCUACUAUGGUUUUAUUUGUAUUUUUUGAAAAAAGGAAUAUAUUAAUAUUAUGAAGAUAGCAAUUACAUCCAGUCUUUGUACCAACAAGAUGUAUCAAAGACAUUCAGGAUACAUACAACCCGAAAACAAAAAUAAAAAUUAAAGGCAUUGCCACAAUGAUCAACUUCUUUCAGCGGCAGCACACAAACCACCACCAAAGACACACCCAGAAAACAUAAAAUGUCUCCAAAAGCGAUGUAUUUAAAAAGGAAACAUUGUACAAGCGUCGUUGUCGUCCGAUCUAAGAUCUUAGUUUUCACACUAGAGAAAGUUUGAGCUCUCAAAACAAUACCUUCAGCGAAGCAAUUGCCACGUACAACCAAUGAGGGUCAGACCUGAGAUUUUCACCCUGAAAGUCACGACUCGGCACCCAAGGAGCGCCACCAAAAAUGAAAUCCUCCAAUGUAGCCGCCCCAUUGUGAGUGUUGCUUCUGAAAAGUUAUCAAACAUCUAGCUGGCUCCAUCGCCUCCAAGGCACCCUAUGCCUUACUCAUCCUUAGAUCUCAGCCACCAUGACUUUCUCUACUAUUUUCUACGCCAUGGAAAUCGAGAUACCGGCAUGUCCCAUGAUAUCAAGAAACAAACAGUGCUUUGCACCGCGCCCUCAUGUAGCCGCAUAGGCAAAUAUGGACGCGCAUGACCGGAUUCUAUCCGAUCCAGAUAUCCUUGGGCAAGAUCUUCGGAUGCACUUCCGGAACACGUCGACGACUAGAUCAAGGAGGACCGAUCAGGCAGAUUGUCAUCGUGAUGCGAUGAGAACACUAGGACCGCCACCACACCGCUUCAUCCACCAUACCGACACCAUCGCCGCCAUGGUUGAGGACACUGGACCACGUUGCCCGCAGCCCACGCGGCCGGUUGAAGAUGAACGCCAGAUCAGGAUGGAUCCCGAUCCGCCAUCAUCCCCUUGCAUGUACGAUCCGCCAUCUCGAAGCCUGUCGUGCACCGCCGAUCCCGAACGACGUCGUCGUGGGGAUCCGCCACCACACCACCAUGACCCUCGCCGUGGUUUUCUACUACCGAUGUCAUUGUAUUGCAACAUCUUCAAUUCUUCCGCUGUCGCAUCGCGAUCUAGUUCUCUUCCUCCACUGAAGAAAUCACCUUGCACACCAACACGAACAACAGCCCAAACGACAGGGUUAUGACCAAGAAUAUGCAUUUUCAUCUUGUGCUUCCAACUAGCAAAGUUUGUACCAUCAAAAUAUGGACCUCUAGAGUGGUAAUUUCCCUCACUAGACGCCAUACUCUCCUAGGUUGUGAAACCAAUGCAAUGGAGACCAAAGCUAUAAUACCACUUGUAGGAUCCAAAGUAUGUAUAGAGGGGGAGGGUGAUUAUACUACUUGACCAAAUAAAAACCUAGCCUUUUCCCAAUUUUAGUUGUGGGCUAGUUUUAGGAAUUAUGACUAGUCAAGUUCACCCUGCACAUUCAUAUCUAAGAGUAUAACAGCGAAAAGUAAAGACAUGCAAAUGUAAUGUAGAGGGUAGGGAAAGGAAGAUCAAACGCAAAGGUUGACAUGGUGAUUUUUGGCAUGGUUACAAUAGGUUGCUAUCAUACAUCCACAUUAGUGGAGACUUCAACCACGGAGGGUAGCGUUUGUGAGAGUCCAUGGAGGGCUCCACCCACAAGGGGUCCACUAAGAAGCGGCCUUGUCUAUUCCACCAUGGCUUGCAUCCACGAAGGACUAGCCUCACUCGGGGUAGAUCUUCAUGAAGUAGGCGAUCUCCUUGCCCUUACAAACUUCUUGGUUCAACUCCACAACAUGAAGUAGGAAGCUCCCAAGCGACACCUAACCAAUCUAGGAGGCACCAUCCUCCAAAAAGUAAUAUAUGUGGUAGAACGAUGAACUCCUUGCUCUUGUGCUUCAAAAGAUAGUCUCCUCAACACUCAAUCACUCUCUCAUAGAUUUGGCAUGGAUUGGAGAAAUUGAUUUUGUGGAAAGCAACUUGGGGAGGCUAGAGAUCAAGUUUCAAAUGGAUGGAUUGGAAUAUCUUGAUCUCAACACAUGAGUAGGUAGCUCUCUCUCAUAAAAAUGGAUCUAUCAAGUGUGUGUGUGUUCUGAGUGCUUCCUCUCCGAGUGAGAGGCGGUGGAGGGGUAUAUAUAGGCAUCUCCCAAAAUCCAACCGUUACAACAUUAUUGCCCAACUCGGUGAAACCGAAAUGAAUCUCGAUGAUACCGAGUUGCACUAAAUGUGGCAACUUUUGAAUUCUCGGUGAGACCGAUAUAUGAAUCUCAAUGGUACUGAUACGAUGACUUAGAGCAGUUUCCAAUUCUUGAUGGUACCAAUUUCAAUCUAGAAAAUUCCAAUUAUUGAAAUAGAUACACCAACAAGUUGGUCACUCAUCUCGGUGGCACCGAUAUGAAACUUGGUGGUACCGAGAGAUUAGGGUUUGGCAAAGGAUUUGUCACUAGGAAAAUCGGUAGGGACGAAUGGAAAAAACUUAGUGGCAUUGAUUUUGGUGUGUAGGCUUUGGACAAAGAUUCUGUGAGAGAAUUGCUCAGUAUUUUUGGUGACUAUCUCUAAGCACUUGAGCAACCAAUUCAUCAUAAUACUUCACCGCGUUUUAACAAUAUUGGCUUUCCUAUGGACUCAAAAGUGAUUUAUCACCAAUAUAAAAUGUAGAAUCCUCUUGCUUGAAGCUUGGCUAAUCCUACUACUUUCCUUGCGUCAAUGGGUUUCUCCUCACAAUCCUUUAGCCAAUGCAUCUUUGAACUUUUCUAAAAUAUACUUGGAUAAGAUCAUUAGUUCAAUGAUACAUAUGUUUUUAUUAAUUACCAAAACCACCUUAGGGAGCAAUUGUACUUUCAGACGGAUGUCUCCUCCCUCGUCACGUGGUGCCCCUCUAGCGGUCCGCGAUGUGCCCUAGCCUGACUAUUUAAGCCGACUGCCUACACCAAAACCUACCCAUCCAUAUCCCACCCCUCUAUUCCGCCUCCGCCUUCACUUUCCGCUCAGAUCGAGAGUGGCCCCAUAGAUCAAUACGAAUGGGUUCCCGAAAAAGAACGUUCUUGUUGGGUAACGUAGCAUAAAUUCAAAAAAAUUCCUACGCAUAUUCAGAUCUUCCUAUGGUGAGACCACCAACGGGAGAGGGGUGAGUGCAUUUUCAUACCUUUGAAGAUCGCUAAGCGAAAGCGUUAUAUUUCCAACAUGCGGUUGAUGGAGUCGUACUCACAACGAUUCCGAUCGCGGUGUGAUUCCGAUCUAGUGCCAACUACGGCACCUCCGCGUUCAACACACGUGCAGCCCGGUGACGUCUCCCGCACCUUGAUCCAGCAAGGAGGAGGGAGAGGUAGGGGAAGAACUCCAGCAGCACGACGGCGUGGUGUCGAUGGAGAGAUGAGGUCUCCCGACAAGGCUUCACCAAGCACCGGCAAAGAGGAGGAGAAAGAAGGGCAGGGCUGCGCCGAGAGAGAGAGAAAAUCGUGUCCCAAACAGCCCCGAAACCUCAACUAUAUAUAGGGGGAGGGGGAGGGGGCGCAGCCCUUAGGGUUCCCACCCCCAAGGGGUGCGGAAGCCCCAGAUGGGAGAGGGGGCUGCGGCCAGGGGUAGGGAGGANNNNNNNNNNNNNNNNNNNNNNNNNNNNNNNNNNNNNNNNNNNNNNNNNNNNNNNNNNNNNNNNNNNNNNNNNNNNNNNNNNNNNNNNNNNNNNNNNNNNGGCGGCGGCGGCGGCGGCCUUCUGCCAGGCGCGCGAGACGAUGGUCGGGCACUUCAUGAGCCAGACGGAGCGGUCGGCCCGGCCCGUCUCCAGGUGCUUCCCCUCCUCGGCCAUGCCCGCGGGUCGGUGGUGCUCCGGUGAGCGGUUCCCCUCGGAGUCGAAGGCUGCGCGGCUCGCCUGCUCGUGUGCCGGGAAUCGAGGCGCGUCCUGUUUUAACUCGGGGAUCGGGACGGUUUGGCGACGGGAAGAGGCGGUGGGGAUAUUACAGCAGGAAGAACAGGCUUUUUCUAUUUGCCGCCCUGUGCGGUAGAU
rnacentral:lncRNA from 1 species